rnacentral:lncRNA from 1 species
UCAGGACCAAAUUGCAGAGCAUCUAUUGUCACAAAAUGUAAAAGAGAAGGUAAUCUCAUACAGGAAGGACACUCCGAUUGUUCAGAAAGAGAUCUGUAAGCCCUGAGAUAAUAAGAGCUCCUGGAGUUGUGAAUAGCAAAAAUAGCCUAGGGGAAUAAUCUAUGCUAAGAAAAUUCAGUUAACAACUACUAGAACUACUUUGCAGGCUUGCACCCAUCUAACAAACCGAAGCACAGGAUCAUCACGGGUCAGGUGAUUCUGCCCUCAUGUACUUCAGAGGAACUGAACUGAGGCCACGAGAAUGGUUCACAGCUUUGGAUCACGCGCUCCUGGAGCUCAGCAGUCUGGCUUCAUGCUGCCGUCGGAUGAUGAGAGACUGCUGGUAAAGGUUCAGGUCAAGGCCAUCGACGUUACGUGCUUGCAGAAUCGCCUGCAGGAUGCCCGUAAGCAACAGAUUCGAUCGAUGUAGCAUCAUUGUUCCAACGAUACCAGCUAUAUAUAAUUCACUAACAGAAGCUGGAGAAGGACAGAGAAUUACGUCAUCGUUCGGCCGGAUCAGGAGCUCACCAAUGAACUGGAACAUAGAACCGCUGCGGAAACUGAUGUCCCGCAGGUGCUGGGCGUCGACCUUCAGCGUCGCGCUGCCAUCUCGAAUGACAGCAAUCGCAGAGUCCACAUCGUAUGACUGAAGGCUAGAGAAUUGCAAGACAAGAAGGCUAGCACGGUUAAAACUUGUAGUUUUGAGGAGAAAUAAAAGUAACCGGCAGACAUACAUUCCUGUUACCCGGAGGGACGCCCCUUGCUUGAACAUCUCCGAGGAGGGCGCUAGCUCUUGCAGAGUGACAGGCACACCUGGUUUCAGAGUAGAAGAUGCCAUCUAGCUAGCACACGGGGAACAGGCAAAAUGAGGCGACAGUCUUCGCAAUCAAGAAAAGUACUGAUACUGCUUCAACAUUACAAGAUUGUACACCGGUAGUUAAUACAACUAUGGUACUGAUACUGUUUGACUGUAUCAACAUUUACCCUGCUACUCAACAUUAUACCUGUUCAGAUACAUGAGACUGCAAUAUGCAUGCUACUGCUGCAUACUGAUCUAGCAUUGUAAAUUCGUAAUCUCAAUUAUGGGGAAGGAGGCAAAAUGUAUCAGCUACCAAAGAAGGGCUUCAAAUCAGUAACAUGCAAUUCCAAUCCCAUUCGCAUACAGUACAUACAGUGAUUCCAACAUUCUGGCAUGAGAUCUAAUCUGAAACUUGACUCAAUCCUUAUUUUUGCACCUGACAGAAACCGCUAACAACGUACCCUAAUGCGCACGGGCUGCCUGAUGAAAUCCACAGCCCUGGCAAAGAUUGCCUCCUGCUCCUCCACCGCGCGUCGCCGGCGAGGCGGCCUCGCCAAUGCGCGCAAACAGUACAGCCGCUCGAGGCACGAGGACGGAAACUGGUGGACGGGAGGGAGGGAGGGAUUGGGUCGGAGACGCGAAGAUCGCCUGGGGGAGGAUGGGUGGAAGGACGGCGGCGGGGGAGAGAUUCCGGCGAACGGCGGCGGAUGGAAACGGGAGGAGACGAGGAGCACCUGUACUGGUACUGUACUUUUUUUCUUUUUGUUGUACUGGUACUGGCACUGGCACUGGAAAACCGAAAAUCCCUAUAUGACGCUAACGGCGUCAAAUUGCCAGGGAAACGCACAGGCCGAGUCAUCCGCUGGUGACCGACCGAUCACACUACUGUCCAGCCACCACCACGUUAGAUUUUGGACGAAAUGUACCUUUGUAUUCCCUUUGAACAUCACUGCUUGAAUAAAUUAACAAAAACAUCACUACAUGAAUAAAUUAUAAAAAAGCAUCACUACUUGCAUAAAGAAUGUUGUUUAUCUAAACAAAAAAGGCAUCCUUUAUAACCCAAUAACGAGCGUUGUUUAUCAGAUGGAGUAUUUUGUUUUCUCGGGCCGGUUUCUAUAGGUUUUCUCGGUCGGUUUCUGUCCACAAAAACGUCUAUUGGGUUUCCUUUACAGGUUUAAUUUUAGAAAAUAUUGAUAAAUCAAUUUUUUAAAUGUUAUGGAUUUUUUGGAUAUAAUUUAAAAAGUAUGUCAAUUUAAUAAAUUUUAGAAAAUGUUCUCGAAAUGUAUAGAAUGUUCUUGAAUUUGAUCCUUUAUAAAAUGUAAACAUAAUUUUGGAAUGUGAGCAUUCUCCAAAAAACAUUUUAGAAUGUUUUAUAAAAGGUCUGAACAUUUUUUUGAAAAUUUUAAAGACUUUUUAAGACAUGAACUUUUUUAAAAAUUAUGUUAAUUUUUUAAACAUUUUUAAGGCAUGCCUCAGCACCGCAUUGCGUGGAGACCUGAGAAGUGGCGGAGGUGGAAGGCGCCUCUAGUUGGUACACUUAGUUGCAUGGUGCCCUUUCUGCCCACACUUGUGGCAAGUCACAUCUGAGAGCGGGCGAGACUGAGGAGGAUCUCCUGUCCUCGGAGCAUGAGGCCUCUCCUGAUAAGCUAGGUUGGGAGGGUGGGAAGGACCACGAUCUUCGAGCUGCUUGUGUUGUUGAGGACGAAAUGGAGGACCUGGAGCCCAAAAUUUUUGCUGCUUGUGAAAAACCCGAGAGGACGAAGAAGGUGGGGUGGAGUCCCUGAACCUCUUCCUUGAAGCUUCCAUCUUGUUGUUAGCUGCUUCUUGCUUAAGAGCCAAGUUGAAGACCUCACAAUUAAAGGAUGGAAAAAAGUUAUGAAUAAUCGCAGGGAGCUACUUGGAGGCAAAAUGGUGCGAAGCCCACGAAUUGAAGACAGGAUAAUCUCCAUUCUCCAUAAUGUAGAGUCAGGGACUAUCCUGUUUUAUGCUAUUUUACCUUAGAGAGGGUAGCAGGUCCUAGCUAGCUAGUACUCAUGAUCAUGUGCUAAGAACAAUUAACUAGUGUUGGUUAUGAGUAUGAUGAAGAGGAGGAGUUGUUAUUAUGAUUAUGAUGAUGAGUGAUGUGCUAUAAUGAUGAGUUGUUAGAUGACUAUGAUCAUGAUGAGUAUGACUUGUUAUUAUGAUAAUGAUGAUAAAUUAUUAUUAUUAUGAUGAUGCUGAGUUGUUAUAUCAUGAUCAUAAUGAUAUAACAAUCUCUAAAUUGCUACUGUAUCAAAACUUGUAUAACAGUAUAUAAAUACGCUACAAAACAAUAAAGAAAUGGAAUACAGACAUGUAGUAGUAGCGCGGAUCCUGAGCUCGUUACUACUAAUAACUAUCUGUAGCACUGGUAGGGGCCGGUGCUACUGCUAUAUGAAUUAGCAGUAGAGUUUGCAUGAAGCGUGCUACUGCUAAACUUUAGAUGUAGCGCCGUACUAGUAGCUAGCGCGCACCCGCACUAUUGCUAUGCCAAAAGCCCGCGCAACUGCUAGAAUUUUCUCUAGUAGUAUUUGGUUUUAUGAGGAUUUAAAAAUCAAGAUUCUCAAUGUUUGAGGCUGAGCCAGGGCAUCAAUACGUUUAUAAUUCAUUCUCAUUUUUUGCAUGGGACCUAAACAUACACCCAAAACUUGAAACUGUGUCAUUUCUUGUAUGCAGUAAUGGUUUCCAUUUAAAUCUUGCUAAUCAUUGGCAGGUGAUAAAUUAUCCUUCCGCUAGUUCAAAGUAAGUGGACGGUUUAGAAUCAUCUGGAACCACUCAAUAUUUCUCUUCAGUUACACAACGAAUGCAGGAUGAGCUUAACUACUAAACGGAGAGAUCACAAGUGACAUGCCGAAGAACAGUGCCAAUCAGAAACACGGUUAUUUUUCCAUAUUUACAAGAUAAACGGCUUCCUGUAGAUGUCGAAUGCUUCGGACGCGCACAGCUGAGGCUCCUGCAAAAUUGAUCGAGGAAAGGUGAGGAUGAAUUAAUUCUUGCGAUUUGAAGUAGUUAACCUUAGUUAGUUUCAACAGUAAUAAUAAUAAGAGUAGCUAAUUGAUGGAUUACCUGUGCGCUGCUGAAGGUGAUGACCCGGCGGAAAAAGGAGCCGAUGGGCCCAGGGAUGCCGGAGUCACCGCCGUUGUCGCGGAUGGUGGCCCGCAUCGCGCUGAGCAGGCGACCGUAGGUGGUGCCCGGCUCAGACUCCACCGCCUUGAUGAAGCUGUACGUCAUGGCGCCGGUGGAGGUGGAGCCCAAGAACGCCUUCCUGUCUGACUCUGCGGAGGUUUGGCUGUCCCCGCAGCCGCUGAAGGAGAUCGCCAGGCCGCCGCUGGUGCCUUUCUGUGCAUCUGGCUGACGGUUGUGGUUCUCCCAUUGCCAGUACCCAGUUCUUGAUUCCACGGAGGAGAAAAUUACAGCAAGGCAAAGCUACAGUGCACUGGAAAUUAGCUACUGUAGAUUAGAUGGUGUACGCACCUGGAUAUGCGACAGAGGUAGGGGAGAUCGAGGAUGGUGCCGCUGUGGCAGGUAUCGAUGAUGGCGUGGAGCUUGACGCCUGCGCCGAGGGGGCGGACGAUGGUCUCGUUGAUCUCGUCAUCGAGGAUCACGCCGCGAUCCUCGAAGUCCUGAGGGCAGAGCGCCUCGUCGUAGCCGUCCACCUCGUCGCCGUUGUUGUCCAGCUUCUGGACGCCGUGGCCGGAGAAGUGGAACACCAGGGAGUCUCCGGAGGUGCAGCCCUCCACCAGCCACCGCAUCGCAAGCCGGAUGUUGUCCUUGGUCGGCCAACGGUACGGGUCCUUCUCCUCCUCUGUCCAUGGGAUCGGAUGGAUGCUCACAAAAUCGAGCUUUACGUACGUGUUCAACUUUGACGAAAAUGGUUUCUUUGUUUGCUUUGCUUACGCGUGAGGGCGAGGAUGGAGUCGCCGGGGAAGCCGAACCUCUGGCGGAGCAAGUAGGCCAUGCAGUUGACGUCGUUGACGGUGCCUUUGAGCUCGUACUUGGUGAAGCUGUAGCUGAUGCCGACGAGGAGCGCCCGCUUCUUGCCGCGGGCGCGCGGGUAGCUGGCCGGCAGGCGGUACGGGUCGCCGGCACGCAUCGACCCGGAGGACGCGGGCGGCGGCGGCUGCGGCUGCGACGGAGACCCGAAGAGCAGGCCCUUGAUGAAGCCCACGGCCUGGUGCAGGCCGCCGUUGUGCUGCGGCCGGCGCUCCACGCGCGUCGUGGUGUGGCAGAGCGCGCAACGAACGGAGCGCGCGCCCGGCGGCGCGGAGAUGGACGCGCCGCAGCGGCUGCACCAUGUUGUCCGCGUCUGCCUUGAGCUCGCCAUGAAUGACAUAUGUGAGUAGCUAGCUAGCUAGACAGGCGGCAUCAAGUGAAGAAGAAGGUACGUAUGAAGGUGAUGAGUUCAUAUGUGUCAGUGUUUCUGCGUAGGAGAUGGAAUCGAGCGAGUUCGACAAGUGGACCCUGUUGCGGUGUGGUGCGUUGUGGGUGGCCAAUGGCAAGGUGAUGGUAUUCCCCGAUGCUCCCUUUCGGUUCGUCCAUAUGGCUGCUUUAUUCCGACGAGCAUUCGAUGCUUCAUAGCGACGUGCGGGUAAGAAGGAAUCAUAUUUCAUACUAGGGGUAACGCGUGCUUUGCCGUGCAGGUUCGUUAGCUGUAUAUAACUAUUUUGUUUUUCUCAUUGGUUAUUGUAGCAACUCAUAAUUCCACGCAUACAAUCAUUCCGAGCAUACGACGGAGGCGGUCGAGCAAACGCGGACCCAAGGGCCCUAUUAGCAAAAAUGGUACACACAUGGCCGCAUGUAUUAUUCCAUUUUGGUCCACUGAAACAUGUGCUUAUAAUUCAAAUUCAAAUUAUGAAUAUUAAAUGUCUAAAAAAAUAAUUAAUGUAUAAAAAGCCAAAUGAACCCUGAAUAAUUCCAUAUUUCAAUACGACACUUAUAUUUAUCUAUGUUGCAUGUAGAAAAAAAAUCCAAGACGAGCAUUCGAUGCUUCAUAGCGACGUGCGGGUAAAAAGCCAAGUGACACUUUCCCUAUCGCAAUCACGAAACUUCUUGUGUGAAGCUACGAUUUGUAAGAGGCUUGUACUAAAGUUUGCCUUAAAUUGGAUAAUUUUUUACCACAAUAUAUAUGUGCCAUGUCAUGACACCAUUGUCGGUGUCAAAACCGGCAGAUCUCGGGUAGGGGGUUCCAAGCUGUGGAUCAUGGAUCGAUGGGUAACAGGAGACAGGGGACACGAUGUUUACCCAGGUUCGGGCCCUCUCUAUCGAGGUAAUACCCUACUUCCUGCUUGAUUGAUCUUGAUGAAUAUAGGGUUACAGGAGUUGAUCUACCUCGAGAUCAUAUGUUGUGGUCUAAACCCUAGAGGUAUGAUGAGUAAUGUCAUAAUGAUCUAGCAUCUAGCCUGGCCUUGGCUUAUAUAAUGUACCAGAGGCUUAGGAUAACAAGAGUCCUAGUCGAAUACGCUGGUGGAGAUGAGUCCUUGUCUUGAUCAAGUCUUGUGGAAUCUUCCUCGUGUAUGCAUCGGCUGUCCGAACUGGCCCAUGAGUAAACGGCCAUGGGGUCCUCGGCCCAAUCCAACUGAUCGGGAGACGACGUGGUGAGUACCCCCUAGUCCAGGACACCGUCAGUAGCCCCCUGAACCGGUCUUCAAGUUGGGGACGCUCCUCGAUUCUUCCGAACUGUUCUUCAUUUUCGGCCGUCGGUCGUGAAAACUGGUUCAACAAAUCUUCUCAUCUUUAAUCUUGAGGAUCGCCGAAGUGAAUCCGAAGAGCUUACACGUCGGGUAUCCGAGGAGCCCUUUAAGUCUUCGGCCUUUAUCAAUGCCUUGUUAUUUUUAUGCCACGCCUCGGGUUUGAAGUGUUGCCCGUGCGGCGGUGUCCUCUUGCAUCCGAGCUCCAACGCCGGACUGCAUUCGAGGUAUCUUUUGCAGCCGAGCCCCAACGCCGGACCGCUUCUGAGCUCCAAUGCUGGAAUGUAUCCGAGCUCCAAUGCCGGACUGUAUCCGAGCUCUAACGCCGGACUAUGUCCAAGCUCCAACGCCGGACUAUGUCCAAGCUCCAACGCCAGACUGUAUCCAAGCUCAAACGUCGGACUAUAUCCGAGGUGUCAUAGAUCACCUUGGUUCAAAAAAGUUGAAGGAGUUAGCCGAGCUUAAUGCCGGAAAUGUCCUCUAUGGAGCUAGCCACUUGCAUCCGAGCUAUAUCCCGAAAUGCUUUCGAGGUGGUUCAGCACCUCGGUCAUAGGCUGAUUGUUUGCGGAUUUUAUUUCCGACUUAUGCAAUUUUUUUUCUUACGAGAUAUGUAGCCAAUAGCCCUCAAGGUGUGUGUCGGCCUAAAAUUCCGAGAUGCACUCUAGAGGAGAGAGUGAUUGGCGGACGGGCCCUUGAGAGAGGGUUUUGAGAAGUCGUCGUAAUAUACUAGCUUGAUGCCGGAUAGGUCCAUAUGGUACCUAUUGUUGUCCGAAGACGCGUUUGCGCAUAGUUCGGUCAAGCCGAACACUGAGCACUUUGAAUUUUCUGCAUUGAAUAGGCAAUGCAAUAGCCCCCGAGACACUGGUCGGGUGGCAACACCAGAUCAGGGGAUCGAUGUACCCCUUUAAUAUUUGUAAAUGAUAAGCACGAAGCCCAGUAGCCCCCGAACCUUAAUGUGGGCACGGGUGACCGAAUUAAGGAUCGAUAUCCAGAGUAAAAUCACAAAGUAUGUGUAAUGAUUCUAUGUAUCCAAGUACUCUACAUCAUUAAUGCUCGGAUCCGCAUUGUACAAAACUUUAUUGACCGACCAUCGGCUUCAACCUCCUCGGCCAGCAGCCAAGGAGUGUUUGUCCUACUUUAUAAAGCCUUUAUGAGGGCAAAGAUUUACGACAAACAAGGCAAUCCGGCCAUACAGUUUUAUAAACAAAGGUACGCAGAGAGAUAUGUUAUAUUACUUUUUAACGUAAGAAACAUCUUCCAAAGAAAAUAGUUUGGGGAAAGCAUGAUCAUGAAACCUCAGCUCCGAUCAUGAAACCUGCUAUCGGUUCAUUUCUUUGGGUUGUCAUGCUAAGCAUGAUCAUGAAACCUCAGCUCCGAUCAAUGUGGGAGCAAAAUAUUGAAGAUUUAGUUUGGGGAAAGUUCCUGAACUAUGUGGUCUUUAAAGAACCUAAAUGUUCACUUCCGUCGUUGCCGACCAAUUAUAUCCUUUAAGAUCGCUAGCUUUCGGCUUCACCCAGUCUGAGGUACUAACUCGGAUGACCCGGUAGUAACAAUCACAGAGGUGCUCCCUUUACCGCCUAGCCGAACAACCGGGAACGUAGGGGUAAGCACAGGAGCCAGGCAACCCAGCUUGGCCAAAAUCUUCAGUCAAAUUGAUGCAUAUUUAUGGCUUUAUAACGAUGAUUAUGGAAGGCAGCCCUCGUAUAUUAAAUACAAACGCUGAUGAUAUGUUUAUUUUGACUCCGUUGCGACCAUUUAUCAGUUGAAAGUGGCCCAUCGUCGGCUUCCACCCCCUUGUAGAUGCUACGCAGGGUGUUUCCGUAAUAACAAAACAACCCUUAGCCGACGUCUCGGUGCCCAAAGGCGGUUGUGUUAGCGGAAACGAGGCAAUCAGAUAUGCGGGCUUUAUAACUUUCACUUAGUCAUAGGAGCUUAAAGUUGGGAGGCCAGCUACUAGCCCCUGUUUAGUGUUCGGCGACAGACGAGGUCAAGCCGAAAACACUUCGGCCAAAGUUAUGAACGGCCCGUCAUUUAACACAUUCAUCGGACCGCUGACCAAUUUACGCUUAUUGUGACAGUCAGUUUUCGGCUUUCUCCACUGAGGUGCUUAACCAUGCGAGUUGGAAGCACAAUCGCAGUGGUUCUCCCUUUGCACACCUAGCCGAACAAAGCGGAACGUAGGAGGCAAGCACAGGAGCCGGGCAACCCAACUAUUUACCGAAGACACAAUUUGAAACCGAUGCAUAUAUAGCAAUAUCCGAGAAUGUUUUUGCCGAAUCUAUAAAGGUGUCCGGCGUUGCACUGCGAGACUUAUGCUGGAAACACACAAAAAGUUUAAAAGUGCCAUAUGCUUGGAUAACCAAAAAACUUCAAUAAAAACUUGACGUCCGAACUAGAUCAAGUGUUCGGUGCCAAUCUGAAAAUUGGCUUAGAAAAAAAAUUGUGCUUCUGUCGUGCUUUAAAAUGACACAUCCUAUCUCAAGACUUUAAGCGGGUCAGCCUACGGCUUCAACCUCCUAUCCCGAAGGCGGAGUACUUCUCGUUAGGCCAGUUUAGCAAACUAAACUCUAGUGGCUUUGAGAGAGAAAUUAGGCUCCCCGGCUAUUGACCACACACUCGCGUCGAAAAAAGGAGUGAUAGAAAAAAGGCUUUGCAACGACUAAGAAGAAGAACACUUAUUAUAAAACAGCUCAUAUUAAUUUAAGAGCCCCCAAGUGACUUGGGUAAAAGAAUUUUAUGUAUAAUGAUAGUAUGUACCGAAGUACUAAUAUCAUAUAUGUGUUCACCCGAACUUUAAACGCGUCUUAACCGACCGUCGGCUUCUCCCUCUUCGGUCAAGGGCCAAAAAGUGUUAUGUACUCCACCUGUCGAGAAUAUCGAUGGUGUUUCCGAUAACCAGGCAAUCAGACCAUAAGGCUGUAACAGACAAAGCGCGCUCAGGGAACUUAUGCUAUAUUACUGACCAAGUGUAAGAAGCAUCUUCGAAGAAAAUAGUACCUCACCGGUACCUUUCUUCGGUUGCUCAUUGUUACUAUGAGACUUGUGCAAUAGAUUGUAUGUACUCAUGAGUUCCGUUGUGUGCCGACCAUAUUGAAAACAAUAAGAGUGCUAGCUUUCGGCUUCACCCAGUCUGAGGUCCGAGCUCGGAUGACCCGAUCGUGACAAUCGCAGAGGUGCUCCCUUUACUCCCUAGCCGAACAAUCGGGAAUGUAGGGGUAAACACAGGAGCAAGGCAACCCAGCUUGCGGAACACUUAAGUCAACAUGGUGCAUAUUGUGGCGUAAUACACGAACAAGGAACGAAGCCAUGCAAGUAUAAUCAUAUGCAAAGUUAAAGGCUUCAUAAAGGAAGCCCCCAAGCAAACGGGGUAUUUGAAUUUGUGUGUCACAAACAAAGUUUUGACAAGGAAGUUUUCACAAACAACUUUUUGCAAAAAAGUAUAAUGCUUGGUCGAACCGAACACAAGUUAAAAAUUUAAAACUUUGAGCAUGAAAGCGACUUAGCUGGUUAAUGUGUUCGGCAUUGAUGACGCGGUCCGAGCUUGGUGCGGGACGAGGUUCCAUCCCCCAAGCCGGUCCCGAGGUGGCGGAGCAAAGAGCUCGGCACUCCGAAGUGGUGACAUAGCAUGGCCAAUGCAGGCCGGCAGAGUGACGCUGAGGUCCCUGGCGUGGGUUAAUGAAGUGUUGACGAAGCCCCCCGUCCAGUCGAGGUGGCGUGGUAUGUCAGUACGCCGAGGUGGCAACACUGCCUGACCCGAAUCAUUUACUUGUGCACAAAAAAUAGUGCAAACCGGAGAUAAUAGUAAUAAUAAUAAAUUUAAAAAAUGUAGCAUAAUAAAUAAUUUAUGCAAAGUGAAUAAUUAAAAGAAUAUGGCCCAUGCGCCGAACAGCCGACGAGAUAGAACCCUCUUGAUGAUGCCGAAGUCCCCGAGGCAACCGAACAUGUCGGUAUAGCAAUUCGACCAACAAGGUGAUCAUGCGAGCAAAUUUAUGCCGAUUGGGACGACCACGUCGGCUUGCCAAAGUGACCGCGUGACGCAGUCGAAGUCGAUUACCUACACACAUAAAACAGUGCGGUCCAAAAAAUAAUAAUAUAAAUUUAUAUAAAAUCCUUGCAUAAUUGCUUUACGCAAAAAUAAUUUAUUUAAAGAGAUGUGGCCUGGCGCCAAAGUCAAUGUCGAUGCAGGGCGUCGGCGCGACCCGGUGAAGGCAUGGCAAAGCCUGAAUUCACAGGCCGGUCCGAGUUCCGGAUGCGGCAUUCGCCGAACUAUAUACGGAGACUGACCGAACCACCACGCGGCCGCCGUUAAUGCGGCCAUCAUUUGAUAGACCUGUAUACAGAUGAUGGAAGAAACCAGAGUAAUAAUUCCUCAGAAAAAUAAACCUAAGCAAGAAAAAAUUACUAGGAUUAACAGCACCUAGUUUAUCUGUUGUAGCAAUAUGAAGAAAGGUUACUCCCAAAAUUGGGACUCGAUCCGCACACCCAUUGCCUGAUGGGCGAUGAAGCGACGGCAUGGCGAUGCUGGCAAAGGUUGGCUCGCCGAGGCAAAGCCCCCGGUCCAGCUAAUGUGACGAAGCUGGUUGGCUGGUGACGCCGAAGUCUCCGGAGUAGGCUGAUGAAGAGAUGGCGAAACCCUCGGUCUAGGCCGAGGUAACGGAGCGGGUCGGUAAAGAGACGUUGCAACUGCCAUGUCAGCCGAGGUGUUGAAGUAGUUCGCCGUGAUGGACAUCAGCUUGAAGAAGUAACAGUGCGGUCAUGCCGACGCUGGUCAUAACUUGCGAUGCUGUCAAAGCCGGAUUGAUGAAGUGACCGAGCGGCGAUGUCGGCGCGCCUGACCCGUGCAAUCCGUGGGGGCGAUGGUGUGGGUGAUAAUUUAGUCUUCGUGACGUCGAACUCUUGUUCGGCUUGCCGAGCUGAUGAUCCGAUAAGGUUGGGCUCGGCUCGAUGAAGCGAUGAUCUGUCUAACGCAGGUCGGCAGACAUGGAGUAAGGGCUGGUUUGACACCGGCGUGAUGGUGAAGAUUACCUCUGAAAAGGAGCAAAUUUUAUGAGCAUGUGUUCGGAAACAAAACACAAUACCCUACAAAGAGAUUCUUCUAAAAAGGUUGUCCAAUAUCCCGUUCAUGAAGAAAGAUGAACUCAGGUCGGACUCGUAUUCGUGCUGAAAACAGAUCCGAAAAGUGAUGCACUAAUCGAAAGGUUCCCGGAGUUUGGACGGUCGGAUCGAGCUGCAAUUUUGAGGGGUGGUAGAUAUAGGAAUUCCGCAGCCGAUCAACGGUUGGAUCUUCCAAAGGACGUCCAAGCUAGAUGCUGGACACUACGCUCCAAACUCGUCCAGAUUCCCGUCCAGAUUCGACACAGCUCCGGUGUAUCGGAGGUCGGCGUAGAUUACUCCAUCGGAACGCGAUAAAAUUUUGCAUGGUUGUUGUAGACUUAAUUCCGCACAAUUCCAUCGAAGCAAUCGUUAAAACGACACUCGAGGAGGCGGUGGCGGCGGAUACAAGUUUGCUGUCCAGAAAAACAGCACGGCCGCUCAAGGGCAAUGUUGACGUUGAGCCCUCGAGCUCCAUGGAUGAUUCCUCCAUGAUCAUGAUAGAGAUCGGAGUUGACCUUGUUGUAGGUCAUCGAUCGAACAUGACGAUCUGACGCGGAGUGCAGUCCUUGGUCGAGUCAAGGUGACCAGUCGAGCCGGCGACGAAGAUGCCGACGUCGCAGUUGAUCUGCAGUCGAGUCAUUGAUCCUUUGCCGAUACACAGCGGAACUCUCAAUGAAAGCACCAUUGUUGGUGUCAAAACCGGGAGAUAUCGGGUAGGGGGUCCCAAGCUGUGGAUCGUGGAUCGAUGGGUAACAGGAGACAGGGGACACGAUGUUUACCCAGGUUCGCGCCCUCUCUAUCGAGGUAAUACCCUACUUCCUGCUUGAUUGAUCUUGAUGAAUAUAGGAUUACAAGAGUUGAUCUACCUCGAGAUCAUAUGAUGUGGUCUAAACCCUAGAGGUAUGAUGAGUAAUGUCAUAAUGAUCUAGCAUCUAGCCUGGCCUCGGCUUAUAUAAUGUACCAGAGGCCUAGGAUAACAAGAGUCCUAGUCAAAUACGCCGGUGGAGAGGAGUCCUUGUCUUGAUCACCAAGUCUUGUGGAAUUUUUCUCGUGUAUGCAUCGGCUGUCCGAACUGGCCCAUGAGUAAACGGCCAUGGGGGUCCUCGGCCCAAUCCAACUGACCGGGGGACGACGUGGUGAGUACCCCCUAGUCCAGGACACCGUCAACCAUGCCAAGUUUCAUAAAUUUGACGAGUUUUUAAUUUAUGGGCAUUUAAAAACAAAGAUUAUCCAUGUUUGAGGCCGAGCCAGGACAUCGAGAUGUUUGUAAUUCACACCCAUUUUUUGCAUUAGACCUAAACAUACAGCCAAGGAUACAUACAUACAUACAUACAUACAUAUAUAUAUAUAUAUAUAUAUAUAUAUAUAUAUAUAUAUAUAUAUCAUUUUUAACCCAUUUUGAUGCACUGGAGCAUGUGCUUGCAGUUUAAAUUUGAAUUAUGCACAUUAAAUGCCUAGAAAACUGAAUUAAUGUAUAAAAAGUUCAAACGAACCCUGAAUAAUUUCAUGUGGUAGCACGGCACUCCUAUUGGUCUACGUUGCCUGUAGAAAAAAAUCAAGGCGAGAAGAUUCAGCGAAUGUCGUUUCGCUCACAAGGUUGAUAAGUUUCCCAUCGGAACCGCGAGGCUUCUAGCGAGAAGUUCCGGUUUGUAAGAGGCUUGUACCAAAACAUGGCCCAAAUUGGAUAAUUUUUUACCACGGCAUAUAUGUGCCAUGUCAUGACACAAUGAUAAGUUUCAUAAUUUUCAAGUGAGUUUUGGAUUUACGGGGAUUUAAAAAACCAAGAUUCUCAAUGUUGGCUGAGUCAAGACACCCAUAUGUUUGUAAUUUUUUCCCUUUUCUUGCAUGGUACCUAAACAUGCACCCAAAGACACAUAUAUGAUUUUUCAACUCAUUUUGAUGCACUGGAGAAUGUGUUUGUAGUUCAAAUUUGAAUUAUGCACAUUAAAUGUCUAGAAAACUCAAUUAUAAUGUAUAAAAAAGGCCGAACGAACCCUGAAUAAUUUAAAGCAAAAAAUUCUGGUCAACUGUUUGGCACCCAUGGGUGAGCACUAUGUGCACACGUCGUGCUAGCUCGUGCUUCCUUCUUUCAUAAGUUUUCUAUAUUAAUGGUGUUAUAUAUCCAAUUAUGCUACCGUUUCCCGCCAUUCCCCCAAUCGGUUUUCCGCCACUCCUUUUUUUGAGAAGAAUCCGCCACUCCUCCCAUUGGUUUUCCGCUGCCAGUGUCAAUGGGCAUAGAAGGCUAGGUGGCGACACACCGGCCAUACGGCAGUAUACCAUUCCAAGCAUGCCAAUCCGGCUAAGAGCCGCCCUCAUCAUCAACCUCCUCAACGAGGAGAACGAGCCGAAGCAAGCCGAAGAGCAAGAACGGCCAUGCGCGGGCGAGCAAGAGCUGCAUCGCUCCACCGAGCGUGAGCAGUAUCAUCGCGCCCGGUGCUUGAGUGGGCCAAUAUCUACACAUGCACUAGUAGAAAACUGGGCUUUGGUCACAGGGCAAUGUUCACAUUAGUCCCGGUUCAGUCACGAACCGGGACUAAUGUGAGCAUUGGUCCCGGUUCGUGCGGCCAGGGGCCUGCCGGGCAUCGUGGGGGCAUUGGUCCCGGUUCGUCCGAACCCUGUGGUCCUGGUGUUGGAAAUAUGCCCUAGAGGCAAUAAUAAAUAGGUUAUUAUUAUAUUUCCUUGUUCAUGAUAAUCGUUUAUUAUCCAUGCUAGAAUUGUAUUGAUAGGAAACUCAGAUACAUGUGUGGAUACAUAGACAACACCAUGUCCCUAGUAAGCCUCUAGGAGACUAGCUCGUUGAUCAAUAGAUGGUUACGGUUUCCUGACCAUGGACAUUGGAUGUCGUUGAUAACGGGAUCACAUCAUUAGGAGAAUGAUGUGAUGGACAAGACCCAAUCCUAAGCCUAGCACAAGAUCGUGUAGUUCGUUUGCUCAGAGCUUUUCUAAUGUCAAGUAUCACUUCCUUAGACCAUGAGAUUGUGCAACUCCCGGAUACCGUAGGAAUGCUUUGGGUGUACCAAACGUCACAACGUAACUGGGUGGCUAUAAAGGUGCACUACAGGUAUCUCCGAAAGUGUCUGUUGAGUUUGGCACGAAUCGAGACUGGGAUUUGUCACUCCGUGUAAACGGAGAGGUAUCUCUGGGCCCACUCGGUAGGACAUCAUCAUAAUGUGCACAAUGUGACCAAGGAGUUGAUCACGGGAUGAUGUGAGUUACGGAACGAGUAAAGAGACUUGCCGGUAACGAGAUUGAACAAGGUAUCAGGAUACCGACGAUCGAAUCUCGGGCAAGUAACAUACCGAUGGACAAAGGGAAUUGCAUACGGGAUUAAUUGAAUCCCCGACAUCGUGGUUCAUCCGAUGAAAUCAUCGUGGAACAUGUGGCAGCCAACAUGGGUAUCCAGAUCCCGCUGUUGGUUAUUGACCGGAGAACGUCUCGGUCAUGUCUGCAUGGUUCCCGAACCCGUAGGGUCUACACGCUUAAGGUUCGAUGACGCUAGGGUUAUAGGGAAAGCAUGUACGUGGUUACCGAAUGUUGUUCGGAGUCCCGGAUGAGAUCCCGGACGUCACGAGGAGUUCCGGAAUGGUCCGGAGGUAAAGAUUUAUAUAUGGGAAGUCCUGUUUUGGUCACCGGAAAAGUUUCGGGUGAAAUCGGUAAUGUACCGGGACCACCGGGAGGGUCCCGGGGGUCCACCAAGUGGGGCCACCAGCCCCAGAAGGCUGCGUGGGCCAAGUGUGGGAGGGGACCAGCCCCAGGUGGGCUGGUGCGCCCCCCCACCAAGGCCCAAGGCGCAUGGGAGAGUGGGAGGGGGCAAACCCUAGGUCCAGAUGGGCCUUAGGGCCCAUCUAGUGGGGCGCCUCCCCCUCUCCUCCCCUUGGCCGCCCCCUUGAUGGGAUCUAGGGCUGGCUGCCUCCUCUUGGGGGUGGAAACCCUAAGGGGGGCGCAGCCCCCUUUCCCCCUAUAUAUACUUGAGGUUUGGGCUGCCAUAGACACACGAGAAAGUCUCCUUUUGGUGCAGCCCUACCCCUCUCCCUCCUCCUCCUCUCCCGCGGUGCUUGGCGAAGCCCUGCGGGAUUGCCACGCUCCUCCAUCACCACCAUGCCGUCGUGUUGCUGCUGGAUGGAGUCUUCCCAACCUCUCCCUCUCUCCUUGCUGGAUCAAGGCGUGGGAGACGUCACCGGGCUGCACGUGUGUUGAACGUGGAGGCACCGUACUUUCGGUGCUUAGAUCGGAAUCAACCGCGAUCUGAAUCGCUACGAGUACGACUCCCUCAUCCGCGUUCUUGCAACGCUUCCGCAUCGCGAUCUACAAGGGUAUGUAGAUGCACUCCCCUUCCCUUCGUUGCUAGUAAACUCCAUAGAUUGAUCUUGGUGAUGCGUAGAAAAAUUUGAAUUUCUGCUACGUUCCCCAACAGUGGUAUCAGAGCCAGGUUUAUGCGUAGUUUCUAUGCACGAGUAAGAACACAAAGUAGUUGUGGGCGUCGAUGUUGUCAAUUCUUCUUGCCGCUACUAGUCUUAUCUUGUUUCGGCGGCAUUGUGGGAUGAAGCGGCCCGGACCGACCUUACACGUACGCUUACGUGAGACAGGUUCCACCGACUGACAUGCACUAGUUGCAUAAGGUGGCUAGCGGGUGUCUGUCUCUCCCACUUUAGUCGGAACGGAUUCGAUGAAAAGGGUCCUUAUGAAGGGUAAAUAGAAAUUGGCAUAUCACGUUGUGGUUUUACGUAGGUAAGAAACGUUCUUGCUAGAAACCUAUACAAGCCACGUAAAAACUUGCAACAACAAUUAGAGGACGUCUAACUUGUUUUUGCAGCAUGUGCUAUGUGAUGUGAUAUGGCCAGAAGACAUGAUGAAUGAUAUAUGUGAUGUAUGAGAUUGAUCAUAUUCUUGUAAUAGGGAUCACGACUUGCAUGUCGAUGAGUAUGACAACCGGCAGGAGCCAUAGGAGUUGUCUUUAUUUUGUAUGACCUGCGUGUCAUUGAAUAACGCCAUGUAAAUUACUUUACUUUAUUGCUAAGCGCGUUAGCCAUAGAAGUAGAAGUAACCAUUGGCAUGACAACUUCAAGAAGACACAAUGAUGGAGAUCAUGAUGAUGGAGAUCAUGGUGUCAUGCCGGUGACAAAGAUGAUCAUGGUGCCCCGAAGAUGGAGAUCAAAGGAGCAUAAUGAUAUUGGCCAUAUCAUGUCACUAUUUGAUUGCAUGUGAUGUUUAUCAUGUUUUUGCAUCUUAUUUGCUUAGAACGACGGUAGCAAGUAGGAUGAUCCCUUAUAAUAAUUUCAAGAAAGUGUUCACCCUAACUGUGCACCGUUGCGAAGGUUCGUCGUUUCGAAGCACCACGUGAUGAUCGGGUGUGAUAGAUUCUUACGUUCGAAUACAACGGGUGUUGACGAGCCUAGCAUGUACAGACAUGGCCUCGGAACACACGCAAUACACUUAGGUUGACUUGAUGAGCCUAGCAUGUACAGACAUGGCCUCGGAACACGGAGGACCGAAAGGUCGAGCAUGAGUCGUAUAGAAGAUACGAUCAACAUGGAGAUGUUCACCGAUCUUGACUAGUCCGUCUCACGUGAUGAUCGGACACGGCCUAGUUAAACUCGGAUCAUGUUUCACUUAGAUGACUAGAGGGAUGUCUAUCUGAGUGGGAGUUCAUAAUCAGAUGAACUUCAUUAUCAUGAACAUAGUCAAAUAGGUAUUUGCAAAUUAUGUCAUAGCUUGCGCUUUAGUUCUACUGGUUAAGAUAUGUUCCUAGAGAAAAUUUAGUUGAAAGUUGGUAGUAGCAAUUAUGCGGACUGGGUCCGUAAACUGAGGAUUGUCCUCAUUACUGCACAGAAGGCUUAUGUCCUUAAUGCACCGCUCGGUGUGCUGAACCUCAGCGUCGUCUGUAGAUGUUACGAAACAUCUGACAUACACGUUUUUGAUGACUACGUGAUAGUUCAAUGCGUAAUGCUAACGGUUUAGAAUUGUGGCACAAGAGACGUUUUUGAAACAUCGCAGAACACCUGAGAUGUUCCGAAGACUGAAAUUGAGAUUUCAGACUAGUGCCCACGUCAAGAGGUAUGAGACCUCUGACAAGUUUCUUAAGCCUGCAAACUAAGGGAGAAAAGCUCAAUCGUUGAGCAUGUGCUCAGAUUGUCUGAGUGCCACAAUCGCUUGAAUCGAGUGGGAGUUAAUCUCCCAUGUGAGAUAGUGAUAGUUCUCCAUAGUCACUACCACCAAGCUAGUAGAGCUUCGUGAUGAACUAUAACAUAUCAGGGAUAGUUAUGAUGAUCCUUGAGCUAUUCGCGAUGUUUGACACCGCGAGAGUAGAAAUCAAGAAGGAGCAUCAAUUGUUGAUGGUUAGUAAAACCACUAGUUUAAGAAGGGCAAGGGCAAAAGGGAUACUUCAUGAAACAGCAAGUCGUUUGCUGCUCUAGUGAAGAAUCCCAAGGUUGAACCCAAACCCGAGACACAGUGCUUCUGUAAUGAGGGGAACGGUCACUGAAGCAGUACUACCCUAGAUACUUGGUAGAUGAGAAGGCAGGCAAGGUCGACAGAAGUAUAUUGGAUAUACGUUAUAUGAAUGUGUACUUUACUAGUACUCCUAGCAGCACCAGGGUAUUAGAUACCGGUUCGGUUGCUAAGUGUUAGUAACUCGAAAUAAAAGCUGCGGAAUAAACGGAGACUAGCUAAAGGUGAGAUGACGAUGUGCGUUGGAAGUGUUUCCAAGGUUGAUGUGAUCAAGCAUCGCAUGCUCCCUCUACUAUCGAGAUUUGGUGUUUGCGUUGAACAUGAUUGGAUUAUGUUUAUCGCAAAAUGGUUAUUCAUUUAAGGAGAAUAAUGGUUACUCCGUUUAUUUGAAUAAUACCUUCAAUGGUCUUGCACCUAAAAUGAAUCUCGAUCGUAGUGAUACACAUGUUCAUGCCAAAAAGAUAUAAGAUAGUAAUGAUAGUACCACAUACUUAUGGCACUGCCACUUGAGUCAUAUUGGUAUAGAACGCAUGAAGAAGCUCCAUGUAGAUGGAUCUUUGGACUCACUCGUUUUUGAAAUGAAUGAGACAUGCGAACCAUGUCUAUUGGUAUAUAUGCAUGAAGAAACUCUAUGCAGAUGGAUCGUUUGGACUCACUUGAUUUUGAAUCACUUGAGACAUGCAAAUCAUAUCACAUGGGCAAGAUGACUGAAAGGCCUCGUUUUCAGUAAGAUGGAACAAGAGAGCAACUUAUUGGAAGUAAUACAUUUUGAUGUAUACAGUCCAAUGAGUGCUGAGGCAUGCAGUGGAUAUCGUUAUGUUCUUACUUCACAGAUGAUUUGAGUAGAUGCUGAGAAUAUUUACUUGAUGAAACACUAGUCUGAAUUAUUGAAAGGUUCAAGUAAUUUCAGAGUGAAGUUGAAGAUCGUCGUAACAAGAGGAUAAAAUGUCUGUGAUGUGAUCAUAGAGAUGAGUAUCUGAGAUACGAGUUUGGCACACAAUUGAGACAUUGUGGAAAGUGUUUCACAAUUAAUACCGCCUGGAACACCAUAGUGUGAUGGUGUGUCCGAACAUCACAACUGCACCCUAUUGGAUAUGGUGCACACCAUGAUGUUUCUUAUCAAAUUACCACUAUCGUUUAUGGGUUAGGCAUUAGAGACAACCACAUUCACUUUAAAAGGGGCACCACGCAAUUCCGUUGAGACGACACCGUUUAUAGAAACCUAAGUUGUCGUUUCUUAAAAGUUUGGGGCUGCGAUGCUUAUGUGAAAAAGUUUCAGGCUGAUAAGCUCAAACCCAAAGCGGAUAAAUGCAUCUUCAUAGAAUACCCAAAAACAGUUGGGUAUACCUCCUAUUUCAGAUCUGGAAGCAAAAGUAAUUGCUUCUAGAAAUGAGUCCUUUCUUGAGGAAAAGUUUCUCUCGAAAGAAUUGAGUGGGAGGAUGGUGGAGACUUGAUAAGGUUAUUGAACUGUCGCUUCAACUAGUGUGUAGCAGGGCACAGGAAGUUGUUCCUGUGGCACCUACACCAAUUGAAGUGGAAGCUUAUGAUAGUGAUCAUGAAACUUCGGAUCAAGUCACUACCAAACCUCGUAGGACGACGAGGAUGCGCACUACUUCAGAGUGGUACGUGAUCCUGUCUGAGAUAUCAUGUUGUUGGACAAUACUGAACCUACGAGCUAUGGAGAAGCGAUGGUUGGCCCAUAUUCCGAAAAAUGGUUAGAAACCAUGAAAUCCGAGAUAAAUGGAUCUUUGAGAAGAAGACGGAUGUGGACGGUAAUGUUACCGUCUAUGAAGCUCGACUUGUGGCAAAGAGUAUUUUCACAAGUUCAAGGAGUUGACUACGAUGAGUUUUUCUCAUCCGUAGCGAUGCUUAGGUCCGUCGGAAUCAUGUUAGCAUUAGCUACAUUUAUGAAAUCUGGCAGAUGGAUGUCAAAACAAGUUUCCUUACCAGUUUUCGUAAGGAAAGGUUGUAUGUGAUACAAUCAGAAAGGUUUUGUCGAUCCUAAGGAUGCUAAAAGGUAUGCUAGCUCCAGCGAUCCUUCCAUGGAUUAGAGCAAGCAUCUCGGAGUCAGAAUAUACGCUUUGAUGGGGUGAUCAAAGUUUUUGGGUUUAUACAAAGUUUGUUAGAAACUUGUAUUUACAAUAAAGUGAGUGGGAGCGCUACAACAUUUCUGAUAAGUAUAUGUGAAUGACAUAUUGUUGAUCCGAAAUAAUGUAAAAUUUCUGGAAAGCAUAAAGGGUUGUUUGAAAGGAGUUUUUCAAAGGAAGACCUGGAUAAAGCUACUUACAUAUUGGGCAUCAAGAUCCAUAGAGAUAGAUCAAGACGCCUGAUGAUACUUUCAAAAGACAGCACACCUUGACAUGAUUUUGAAAGAGUUCAAAAUAAAUCAGCAAAGAAGGAGUUCUUGGCUGUGUUACAAGGUGUGAGUAUUGAGUGAGACUCAAGACCUGACCACAGCAGAAGAUAGAGAAAGGACGAAGGUCGUCCCCUAUGCUUUAGACGUAGGCUCUAUAGUAUGCUAUGCUGUGUACCGCACAUGUAGUGUGCCUUGCCAUGAGUUGGUCAAGAGGGUACAAUGGUGAUCCGGGAAAGGAUCUCAUGACAGCGGUCGAACUUAUCCUUAGUAUCUAGUGGACUAAGGAAUUUUCUCGAUUAUGGAGGUGGAAAGGAGUUCGUCGUAAAGGGUUACGUCGAUGCGAACUUUGACACUAAUCCGGAUGACUCUGAGUAGUAAACCGGAUUCGUAUAGUAGAGCAAUUAUUUGAAAUGGCUCCAAAUAGCGCGUGGUAGCAUCCACAAGAUGACAUAGAUAUUCGUAAAGCACACACGGAUCUGAAAGGUUCAGACCCGUUGACUAAAUAACCUCUCUCACAAGCAUAACAUGAUCAAACCAGAACUCAUUGAGUGUUAAUCACAUAGAGAUGUGAACUAGAUUGUUGACUCUAGUAAACUCUUGGGUGUUGGUCACAUGGUGAUGUGACCUGUCAGUGUUAAUCACAUGGUGAUGUGAACUAGAUUAUUGACUCUAGUGCAAGUGGGAGACUGUUGGAAAUAUGCCCUAGAGGCAAUAAUAAAUAGGUUAUUAUUAUAUUUCCUUGUUCAUGAUAAUCGUUUAUUAUCCAUGCUAGAAUUGUAUUGAUAGGAAACUCAGAUACAUGUGUGGAUACAUAGACAACACCAUGUCCCUAGUAAGCCUCUAGGAGACUAGCUCGUUGAUCAAAAGAUGGUUACGUUUUCCUGACCAUGGACAUUGGAUGUCGUUGAUAACGGGAUCACAUCAUUAGGAGAAUGAUUUGAUGGACAAGACCCAAUCCUAAGCCUAGCACAAGAUCGUGUAGUUCGUUUGCUCAGAGCUUUUCUAAUGUCAAGUAUCACUUCCUUAGACCAUGAGAUUGUGCAACUCCCGGAUACCGUAGGAAUGCUUUGGGUGUACCAAACGUCACAACGUAACUGGGUGGCUAUAAAGGUGCACUACGGGUAUCUCCGAAAGUGUCUGUUGGGUUGGCACGAAUCGAGACUGGGAUUUGUCACUCCGUGUAAACGGAGAGGUAUCUCUGGGCCCACUCGGUAGGACAUCAUCAUAAUGUGCACAGUGUGACCAAGGAGUUGAUCACGGGAUGAUGUGAGUUACGGAACGAGUAAAGAGACUUGCCGGUAACGAGAUUGAACAAGGUAUAGGGAUACCGACGAUCGAAUCUCGGGCAAGUAACAUACCGUUAGACAAAGGGAAUUGAAUACGGGAUUGAUUGAAUCCCCGACAUCGUGGUUCAUCCGAUGAGAUCAUCGUGGAACAUGCGGGAGCCAACAUGGGUAUCCAGAUCCCGCUGUUGGUUAUUGACCGGAGAACGUCUCGGUCAUGUCUGCAUGGUUCCCGAACCCGUAGGGUCUACACGCUUAAGGUUCGAUGACGCUAGGGUUAUAGGGAAAGCAUGUACGUGGUUACCGAAUGUUGUUCGGAGUCCCGGAUGAGAUCCCGGACGUCACGAGGAGUUCCGGAAUGGUCCGGAGGUAAAGAUUUAUAUAUGGGAAGUCCUGUUUUGGUCACCGGAAAAGUUUCGGGUGAAAUCGGUAAUGUACCGGGACCACCGGGAGGGUCCCGGGGGUCCACCAAGUGGGGCCACCAGCCCCAGAAGGCUGCGUGGGCCAAGUGUGGGAGGGGACCAGCCCCAGGUGGGCUGGUGCGCCCCCCCACCAAGGCCCAAGGCGCAUGGGAGAGUGGGAGGGGGCAAACCCUAGGUCCAGAUGGGCCUUAGGGCCCAUCUAGUGGGGCGCCUCCCCCUCUCCUCCCCUUGGCCGCCCCCUUGAUGGGAUCUAGGGCUGGCUGCCUCCUCUUGGGGGUGGAAACCCUAAGGGGGGCGCAGCCCCCUUUCCCCCUAUAUAUACUUGAGGUUUGGGCUGCCAUAGACACACGAGAAAGUCUCCUUUUGGUGCAGCCCUACCCCUCUCCCUCCUCCUCCUCUCCCGCGGUGCUUGGCGAAGCCCUGCGGGAUUGCCACGCUCCUCCAUCACCACCAUGCCGUCGUGUUGCUGCUGGAUGGAGUCUUCCCAACCUCUCCCUCUCUCCUUGCUGGAUCAAGGCGUGGGAGACGUCACCGGGCUGCACGUGUGUUGAACGUGGAGGCACCGUACUUUCGGUGCUUAGAUCGGAAUCAACCGCGAUCUGAAUCGCUACGAGUACGACUCCCUCAUCCGCGUUCUUGCAACGCUUCCGCAUCGCGAUCUACAAGGGUAUGUAGAUGCACUCCCCUUCCCUUCGUUGCUAGUAAACUCCAUAGAUUGAUCUUGGUGAUGCGUAGAAAAAUUUGAAUUUCUGCUACGUUCCCCAACAGUGGUAUCAGAGCCAGGUUUAUGCGUAGUUUCUAUGCACGAGUAAGAACACAAAGUAGUUGUGGGCGUCGAUGUUGUCAAUUCUUCUUGCCGCUACUAGUCUUAUCUUGUUUCGGCGGCAUUGUGGGAUGAAGCGGCCCGGACCGACCUUACACGUACGCUUACGUGAGACAGGUUCCACCGACUGACAUGCACUAGUUGCAUAAGGUGGCUAGCGGGUGUCUGUCUCUCCCACUUUAGUCGGAACGGAUUCGAUGAAAAGGGUCCUUAUGAAGGGUAAAUAGAAAUUGGCAUAUCACGUUGUGGUUUUACGUAGGUAAGAAACGUUCUUGCUAGAAACCUAUACAAGCCACGUAAAAACUUGCAACAACAAUUAGAGGACGUCUAACUUGUUUUUGCAGCAUGUGCUAUGUGAUGUGAUAUGGCCAGAAGACAUGAUGAAUGAUAUAUGUGAUGUAUGAGAUUGAUCAUAUUCUUGUAAUAGGGAUCACGACUUGCAUGUCGAUGAGUAUGACAACCGGCAGGAGCCAUAGGAGUUGUCUUUAUUUUGUAUGACCUGCGUGUCAUUGAAUAACGCCAUGUAAAUUACUUUACUUUAUUGCUAAGCGCGUUAGCCAUAGAAGUAGAAGUAACCAUUGGCAUGACAACUUCAAGAAGACACAAUGAUGGAGAUCAUGAUGAUGGAGAUCAUGGUGUCAUGCCGGUGACAAAGAUGAUCAUGGUGCCCCGAAGAUGGAGAUCAAAGGAGCAUAAUGAUAUUGGCCAUAUCAUGUCACUAUUUGAUUGCAUGUGAUGUUUAUCAUGUUUUUGCAUCUUAUUUGCUUAGAACGACGGUAGCAAGUAGGAUGAUCCCUUAUAAUAAUUUCAAGAAAGUGUUCACCCUAACUGUGCACCGUUGCGAAGGUUCGUCGUUUCGAAGCACCACGUGAUGAUCGGGUGUGAUAGAUUCUUAUGUUCGAAUACAACGGGUGUUGACGAGCCUAGCAUGUACAGACAUGGCCUCGGAACACACGCAAUACACUUAGGUUGACUUGACGAGCCUAGCAUGUACAGACAUGGCCUCGGAACACGGAGGACCGAAAGGUCGAGCAUGAGUCGUAUAGAAGAUACGAUCAACAUGGAGAUGUUCACCGAUCUUGACUAGUCCGUCUCACGUGAUGAUCGGACACGGCCUAGUUAAACUCGGAUCAUGUUUCACUUAGAUGACUAGAGGGAUGUCUAUCUGAGUGGGAGUUCAUAAUCAGAUGAACUUCAUUAUCAUGAACAUAGUCAAAUAGGUAUUUGCAAAUUAUGUCAUAGCUUGCGCUUUAGUUCUACUGGUUAAGAUAUGUUCCUAGAGAAAAAUUUAGUUGAAAGUUGGUAGUAGCAAUUAUGCGGACUGGGUCCGUAAACUGAGGAUUGUCCUCAUUACUGCACAGAAGGCUUAUGUCCUUAAUGCACCGCUCGGUGUGCUGAACCUCAGCGUCGUCUGUAGAUGUUACGAAACAUCUGGCAUACACGUUUUUGAUGACUACGUGAUAGUUCAAUGCGUAAUGCUAACGGUUUAGAAUUGUGGCACAAGAGACGUUUCUUGAAACGUCGCAGAACAUGUGAGAUGUUCCGAAGAAUGGAAUUGGGAUUUCAGACUAGUGCCCACGUCAAGAGGUAUGAGACCUCUGACAAGUUUCUUAAGCCUGCAAACUAAGGGAGAAAAGCUCAAUCGUUGAGCAUGUGCUCAGAUUGUCUGAGUGCCACAAUCGCUUGAAUCGAGUGGGAGUUAAUCUCCCAGAUGAGAUAGUGAUAGUUUCCCAUAGUCAUUGCCACCAAGCUAGUAGAGCUUCGUGAUGAACUAUAACAUAUCAGGGAUAGUUAUGAUGAUCCUUGAGCUAUUCGCGAUGUUUGACACCGCGAGAGUAGAAAUCAAGAAGGAGCAUCAAUUGUUGAUGGUUAGUAAAACCACUAGUUUAAGAAGGGCAAGGGCAAAAGGGAUACUUCAUGAAACAGCAAGUCGUUUGCUGCUCUAGUGAAGAAUCCCAAGGUUGAACCCAAACCCGAGACUAAGUGCUUCUGUAAUAAGAGGAACGGUCACUGAAGCAGUACUACCCUAGAUACUUGGUAGAUGAGAAGGCAGGCAAGGUCGACAGAAGUAUAUUGGAUAUACGUUAUAUGAAUGUGUACUUUACUAGUACUCCUAGCAGCACCAGGGUAUUAGAUACUGGUUCGGUUGCUAAGUGUUAGUAACUCGAAAUAAAAGCUGUGGAAUAAAUGGAGACUAGCUAAAGGUGAGAUGACGAUAUGUGUUGGAAGUGUUUCCAAGGUUGAUGUGAUCAAGCAUCGCAUGCUCCCUCUACCAUCGAGAUUUGGUGUUUGCGUUGAACAUGAUUGGAUUAUGUUUAUCGCAAAACGGUUAUUCAUUUAAGGAGAAUAAUGGUUACUCUAUUUAUUUGAAUAAUACCUUCAAUGGUCUUGCACCUAAAAUGAAUCUCGAUCGUAGUGAUACACAUGUUCAUGCCAAAAAGAUAUAAGAUAGUAAUGAUAGUACCACAUACUUGUGGCACUGCCACUUGAGUCAUAUUGGUAUAGAACGCAUGAAGAAGCUCCAUGUGGAUGGAUCUUUGGACUCACUCAUUUUUGAAAAGAUUGAGACAUGCGAACCAUGUCUAUUGGUAUAUAUGCAUGAAGAAACUCCAUACAGAUGGAUCGUUUAGACUCACUUGAUUAUGAAUCACUUGAGACAUGCAAAUCAUACCACAUGGGCAAGAUGACUGAAAGUCCUCGUUUUCAGUAAGAUGGAACAAGAGAGCAACUUAUUGGAAGUAAUACAUUUUGAUGUGUGCAGUCCAAUGAGUGCUGAGGCAUGCAGUGGAUAUCGUUAAGUUCUAACUUCACAGAUGAUUUGAGUAGAUGCUGAGUGUAUUUACUUGAUGGAACACAAUUCUGAAUUAUUGAAAGGUUCAAGUAAUUUCAGAGUGAAGUUGAAGAUCGUCGUGACAAGAGGAUAAAAUGUCUGUGAUAUGAUCAUAGAGAUGAGUAUCUGAGUUACGAGUUUGGCACACAAUUAAGACAUUGUGGAAAGUGUUUCACAAUUAAUACCGCCUGGAACACCAUAGUGUGAUGGUGUGUCCGAACAUCAUAACUGCACCCUAUUGGAUAUGGUGCAUACCAUGAUGUUUCUUAUCGAAUUACCACUAUCGUUUAUGGGUUAGGCAUUAGAGACAACCACAUUCACUUUAAAAGGGGCACCACGCAAUUCCGUUGAGACGACACCGUUUAGAGAAACCUAAGUUGUCGUUUCUUAAAAGUUUGGGGCUGCGAUGCUUAUGUGGAAAAGUUUCAGGCUGAUAAGCUCGAACCCAAAACGGAUAAAUGCAUCUUCAUAGAAUACCCAAAAACAGUUGGGUAUACCUCCUAUUUCAGAUCUGGAAGCAAAAGUAAUUGCUUCUAGAAACAGGUCCUUUCUCGAGGAAAAGUUUCUCUCGAAAGAAUUGAGUGGGAGGAUGGUGGAGACUUGAUAAGGUUAUUGAACCGCCACUUCAACUAGUGUGUAACAGGGCACAGGAAGUUGUUCCUGUGGCACCUACACCAAUUGAAGUGGAAGCUUAUGAUGGUGAUCAUGAAACUUUGGAUCAAGUCACUACCAAACCUCGUAGGACGACGAGGAUGCGUAAUACUUCAGAGUAGUACGUGAUCCUGUCUUGGAAGUCAUGUUGUUGGACAACGAUGAACCUAUGAGCUAUGGAGAAGCGAUGGUGGGCCCAUAUUCCGACAAAUGGUUAGAAGCCAUGAAAUCCGAGAUAAAUGGAACUUUGAGAAGAAGACGGACGUGGACGGCAAUGUUACCGUCUAUGAAGCUCGACUUGUGGCAAAGAGUAUUUUCACAAGUUCAAGGAGUUGACUACGAUGAGUUUUUCUCAUCCGUAGCGAUGCUUAGGUCCGUCGGAAUCAUGUUAGCAUUAGCUACAUUUAUGAAAUCUGGCAGAUGGAUGUCAAAACAAGUUUCCUUACCAGUUUUCGUAAGGAAAGGUUGUAUGUGAUACAAUCAGAAAGGUUUUGUCGAUCCUAAGGAUGCUAAAAGGUAUGCCAGCUCCAGCGAUCCUUCCAUGGAUUAGAGCAAGCAUCUCGGAGUCAGAAUAUACGCUUUGAUGGGGUGAUCAAAGUUUUUGGGUUUAUACAAAGUUUGUUAGAAACUUGUAUUUACAAUAAAGUGAGUGGGAGCGCUACAACAUUUCUGAUAAGUAUAUGUGAAUGACAUAUUGUUGAUCCGAAAUGAUGUAAAAAUUUCUGGAAAGCAUAAUGGGUUGUUUGAAAGGAGUUUUUCAAAGGAAGACCUGGAUAAAGCUACUUACAUAUUGGGCAUCAAGAUCCAUAGAGAUAGAUCAAGACGCCUCAUGAUACUUUCAAAAGACAGCACACCUUGACAUGAUUUUGAAAGAGUUCAAAAUAGAUCCGCAAAGAAGGAGUUCUUGGCUGUGUUACAAGGUGUGAGUAUUGAGUGAGACUCAAGACCUGACCACAGCAGAAGAUAGAGAAAGGACGAAGGUCGUCCCCUAUGCUUUAGACGUAGGCUCUAUAGUAUGCUAUGCUGUGUACCGCACAUGUAGUGUGCCUUGCCAUGAGUUGGUCAAGAGGGUACAAUGGUGAUCCGGGAAAGGAUCUCAUGACAGCGGUCGAACUUAUCCUUAGUACCUAGUGGAUUAAGGAAUUUUCUCGAUUAUGGAGGUGGAAAGGAGUUCGUCGUAAAGGGUUACGUCGAUGCGAACUUUGACACUAAUCCGGAUGACUCUGAGUAGUAAACCGGAUUCGUAUAGUAGAGCAAUUAUUUGAAAUGGCUCCAAAUAGCGCGUGGUAGCAUCCACAAAGAUGACAUAGAUAUUCGUAAAGCACACACGGAUCUGAAAGGUUCAGACCCGUUGACUAAUAACCUCUCUCACAAGCAUAACAUGAUCAAACCAGAACUCAUUGAGUGUUAAUCACAUAGAGAAGUGAACUAGAUUGUUGACUCUAGUAAACUCUUGGGUGUUGGUCACAUGGUGAUGUGACCUGUCAGUGUUAAUCACAUGGUGAUGUGAACUAGAUUAUUGACUCUAGUGCAAGUGGGAGACUGUUGGAAAUAUGCCCUAGAGGCAAUAAUAAAUAGGUUAUUAUUAUAUUUCCUUGUUCAUGAUAAUCGUUUAUUAUCCAUGCUAGAAUUGUAUUGAUAGGAAACUCAGAUACAUGUGUGGAUACAUAGACAACACCAUGUCCCUAGUAAGCCUCUAGGAGACUAGCUCGUUGAUCAAUAGAUGGUUACGGUUUCCUGACCAUGGACAUUGGAUGUCGUUGAUAACGGGAUCACAUCAUUAGGAGAAUGAUGUGAUGGACAAGACCCAAUCCUAAGCCUAGCACAAGAUCGUGUAGUUCGUUUGCUCAGAGCUUUUCUAAUGUCAAGUAUCACUUCCUUAGACCAUGAGAUUGUGCAACUCCCGGAUACCGUAGGAAUGCUUUGGGUGUGCCAAACGUCACAACGUAACUGGGUGGCUAUAAAGGUGCACUACGGGUAUCUCCAAAAGUGUCUGUUGGGUUGGCACGAAUCAAGACUGGGAUUUGUCACUCCGUGUAAACGGAGAGGUAUCUCUGGGCCCACUCGGUAGGACAUCAUCAUUAUGUGCACAAUGUGACCAAGGAGUUGAUCACGGGAUGAUGUGAGUUACGGAACGAGUAAAGAGACUUGCCGGUAACGAGAUUGAACAAGGUAUAGGGAUACCGACGAUCGAAUCUCGGGCAAGUAACAUACCGUUAGACAAAGGGAAUUGAAUACGGGAUUGAUUGAAUCCCCGACAUCGUGGUUCAUCCGAUGAGAUCAUCGUGGAACAUGUGGGAGCCAACAUGGGUAUCCAGAUCCCGCUGUUGGUUAUUGACCGGAGAACGUCUCGGUCAUGUCUGCAUGGUUCCCGAACCCGUAGGGUCUACACACUUAAGGUUCGAUGACGCUAGGGUUAUAGGGAAAGCAUGUACGUGGUUACCGAAUGUUGUUCGGAGUCCCGGAUGAGAUCCCGGACGUCACGAGGAGUUCCGGAAUGGUCCGGAGGUAAAGAUUUAUAUAUGGGAAGUCCUGUUUUGGUCACCGGAAAAGUUUCGGGUGAAAUCGGUAAUGUACCGGGACCACCGGGAGGGUCCCGGGGGUCCACCAAGUGGGGCCACCAGCCCCAGAAGGCUGCGUGGGCCAAGUGUGGGAGGGGACCAGCCCCAGGUGGGCUGGUGCGCCCCCCCACCAAGGCCCAAGGCGCAUGGGAGAGUGGGAGGGGGCAAACCCUAGGUCCAGAUGGGCCUUAGGGCCCAUCUAGUGGGGCGCCUCCCCCUCUCCUCCCCUUGGCCGCCCCCUUGAUGGGAUCUAGGGCUGGCUGCCUCCUCUUGGGGGUGGAAACCCUAAGGGGGGCGCAGCCCCCUUUCCCCCUAUAUAUACUUGAGGUUUGGGCUGCCAUAGACACACGAGAAAGUCUCCUUUUGGUGCAGCCCUACCCCUCUCCCUCCUCCUCCUCUCCCGCGGUGCUUGGCGAAGCCCUGCGGGAUUGCCACGCUCCUCCAUCACCACCAUGCCGUCGUGUUGCUGCUGGAUGGAGUCUUCCCAACCUCUCCCUCUCUCCUUGCUGGAUCAAGGCGUGGGAGACGUCACCGGGCUGCACGUGUGUUGAACGCGGAGGCACCGUACUUUCGGUGCUUAGAUCGGAAUCAACCGCGAUCUGAAUCGCUACGAGUACGACUCCCUCAUCCGCGUUCUUGCAACGCUUCCGCAUCGCGAUCUACAAGGGUAUGUAGAUGCACUCCCCUUCCCUUCGUUGCUAGUAAACUCCAUAGAUUGAUCUUGGUGAUGCGUAGAAAAAUUUGAAUUUCUGCUACGUUCCCCAACACCUGGUUGGUGGGACAAACCGGGACCAAUGGGCCAAGCUCCUGGCCCACCAUCCUUUAGUCCCGGUUCAUACCACAAACCGAGACUAAAGGGCUGGUCCUAGUUGCGGCCAGUGUUUAGUCCCACCUCGCCAACCGAAGGGCGCUCACACCAGUUUAUAAGCCUGUCCCUCUAUGCCUUGUUGAGCUUCUCUUAAAGUGAAAAUAGAUGCCCUUAUACAGGGAAUUUCACCUAAAUUCACAGUAAAUUGAAAUUUACUGUGAAUUUAGGUUUAAUUUUCUCUAUAAGCGCAUCUAUGUUCAUUUUUUUAUAUUUAUAAAAUAAAUAAACCUUAAUAAAAUAAAUAAAACUAAAUAAACCUUAAUAAAAUAAAAUAAAAUAAACUAUAGUAACUACAAUAAAUAAACCUUAAUAAAUUAAGUAAAAAUAGCAGCAGUAAAAUAAAUAAAAAUAGCAGCAGUAAAAUAAAUAAAAAUAAAAUAAUUAAAGUAAAAUACAUAAGUAAUUAGAAAUAAAAUAAAUAAGUUUUUUGUUGUAAGUAGAAACAAAACAAAACAAAUAAAGCAAAAGAGAAAAAAAUAACACGAGCCAUCAACUCCAUAACCGCCAUAUCUGGGAUAGAGAAGGGCGAUCCCUUGGAGUGGGAUUCACAUACAGUUGCCCGUAACAUCUACCAUUCGAGCCUAGCAGGUGGAACUCGGAUCUGUCAACAGUGUCAAAGCGGCAAAUAGCAGGCGGAGGAGAAGCCACCGAUGUCAUGUGUAGAUCCCUUCUAGGUCUUGCGGAUCGUGCUAUUACAACAAUUUGGUUGGUUGAUCCCAAAAAAAAGGAAUUUGGUUGGUUUUCUUGAAGCCCUAGCUUGUUGUGCCGUCCUAUUCUCUCAAUGCAAUUUAGCAAAUGCUACUACAGUACAGUAAAGGGCAUAAAGAAAAAGCACGCAGUGAAGGAAAAUACCUCCAUAUCAAAGCUGCUACUUAUCUUGUUGGUUAUCAGGAUGUGGAUAUGUAGAAUUUUCUCUAGCCACGGCAACAGACAUGCAUUCAUCGAGGGGGUUCACUACAGAACAAAAUAAAUGCUGACGUUAGUUGUUGAGGGUACGUUUGACAUCCCUAAGAGACUAGAUAAUGAAAAGAUGAAUCGUCAAACCUGGAUGAACAAAGACGCUACCAAGUGGAUGAAUCUGAUGGCCUGUCCUCCCUUGAAGAUCAUGCGUCCUCCCUUGAAGGCGCCACCAGGGCCAUGGACGCCUCAUACACCGCCGCCGACAUGUUGUAGUGAUGAGGUAUCGUGCAGGAUCUGACACAGGAUCACCUUCAGGCAAGAUGAAUAGGUCUUCAGGGGCACGACGGCAGCGGCGGCGCCAUGGCCGGGACUGGUGACGACGGCGGCGGCGAGCGAGCGGGAGGGUGGCGGCGGCUGCGUGCGAGUGGGAGGCCGGAGGAUCACCACUCAUUGUGCUCGACAUAUCACUACAAGAAACCUGUUAAUCCAUGACGGAUUUCUAAUGACAUUUUUGGAAACUCUCAUCGAUGACCUGGUAAAACCCCACAAGCCCGGUGAAAGCCCGCUAAAGCCCGUCUAACCGUUCCCGUAUAAAAACUUAACCCUAAAUUCCCUCCUCGGCCCCUGCAUCGUGUCCCACAGCACGUCGCCACCCCUCGUCCCUCCCACAGCUCGUAAACCUUAAUAAAAUAAAAUAAAAUAAACUAUAGUAACUACAAUAAAUAAACCUUAAUAAAUUAAGUAAAAAUAGCAGCAGUAAAAUAAAUAAAAAUAGCAGCAGUAAAAUAAAUAAAAAUAAAAUAAUUAAAGUAAAAUACAUAAGUAAUUAGAAAUAAAAUAAUUAGGUUUUUUUGUUGUAAGUAGAAACAAAACAAAACAAAUAAAGCAAAAGAGAAAAAAAUAGAGGAAAAAAUUAUGCCACCUACUGGGCCACCACGGCCUGAAUACGACUAGAAACCCAUCCAUGGGCCAGGAUUCAGGCCCGCAGAAGGCCCAGUAGGCCCCACAGGCAAAGAGAACAGUUAAGCCCGAAAGCCUGCAGUUGAGAGGAGUUCGAGAGGGUGGGCGCAGCAGCGCUUAUAAACCACUCUCGAGCUCUCUCAACUAGCGAGGUGGGACUAAACUUUUGACGCGGGGCAGCACAAGGCCUUUGGUCCCGGUUGGUGCCACCAACCGGGACUAAAGGGGGCAUUGGUCCCGGUUCGUGGCACCAACCGGGACCAAAGGCCUUUAGUCCCGGUUGGUGCCACCAACCGGGACCAAUGAGUUCCCUAUAUAUACCCCAUCGCCACAGCAGAGCACUCCAGAGUGCUCUGUUUUUUCUGGCCGGCGAGGGGAGGGCAUUUGGGUGCUCUAGCUCACCUCCUAUGCACAUGAGGUGUUCGAUGAAAUGUCUGAGCCACACUAGUUAAUCUUUGUCCUCUCGAAACUCAACCUCCGAGCUCCAUUUUCCCCGAGAUUUGUCUAGGUUUAGCGGUCCAUCACAUCCCGUCCCCGUCUUCACCGCCGUCGAUCGCCCGCGCCGAUCUCGUCGCCAGCACCACCGUGGUGAGCCUCUUGUUCUUAUCUUCUUUCUGAAAGGAAAAAAAAUUCUUACUUUAGAUAGUUACUUGUCUAAUUUUGUUACUUUUAUUAUUCCUUCUUAUUACAUAGUGCGAUGGUUUUGGUAUCCGCCCCCGUCGGCCCUCGUCCUGUCUAUGAUUCAGAUGUGGUAUAUAUUAUCUUUUUAUAACUAUUUGGUUCAUUUAUUGUUUAUGACAAAUAUACCGACCAACGUGACAUAGAUUUUAUUUAUCUAGGAGGUGGCUGAACCGGAAAUUCUAACCGACCCUAUUGUCGAGAGGUUAAAUUUAGUUGAAGAAGAAAAUAAUUACUUGAAGGAAAAAAUAAAAAAAUUGAGGAGGAGAAGAUGAUAUUGGAGUUGCAUGUUGCGGAUGUCGUCGAUGAUCAUAAGAGCAAGAUGGAUGCAAUGCGCUUGAAGAUUAGAAAGAUUAGAAAAUAUGCCAUUCAUACCGAGGCUUGGUAUCAUUAUGCCGUUGGAUCAAUUGUUACCUUGGUUGCGAUUAUGAUCGCAUUUGUUUUCGCAUUGAAAUGUUUUACAUAGUUUCAAUGUAUGGUUUAAUUAAUUAGAUGCUCUAGAGAGCUAUAUAUAUGUUGUUAGAUGAGAACUAUGUAUGUACUUUGGUUCUAAUGUGAUGAUGAACUUCUAUUAAUUUGGUCACUUAAUUAUCUAUUCAUGAUGUUCUGUAAUGGUUUUUGACACACUUAAUUAUAUAUAAUGCACGCAGAUGAACCAGCAAUGGAUGUACGGUGACAGACACACCGCCGAGUACAUUAAGGGCGUGCAUGAUUUUCUCGAAGUGGCUGAGGCAAACAAGCAGAAUGGUUUUAUGUGUUGUCCAUGCCCUAUAUGUGGCAAUACGAAGUCUUACUCUGACCGAAAAAUCCUUCACACCCACCUGCUUUACAAGGGUUUCAUGCCACACUAUAAUAUUUGGACGAGGCACGGAGAAAUAGGGGUUAUGAUGGAAGACGGCGAAGAAGAAGAGGACGAUGACAACUAUGUGCCCCCUGAAUAUGGUGAUGCUGCAACGGGGGAAGCUGCUGAAGAUCAAGAGGAACCAGACAAUGUGCCCAAUGAUGCUGCAAGGGGGGAAGCUGCUGAAGAUCAAGAGGAACCAGUGCCCGAUGAUGAUGAUCUCCGCCGGGUCAUAGUCGAUGCAAGGACGCAAUGCGAAAGUCAAAAGGAGAAGCUGAAGUUCGAUCACAUGUUAGAGGAUCACAAAAAAGGGUUGUACCCCAAUUGCGAAGAUGGCAACACAAAGCUCGGUACCGUACUGGAAUUGCUGCAGUGGAAGGCAGAGAAUGCUGUGCCUGGCAAAGGAUUUGAGAAGCUAUUGAAAAUAUUGAAGAAGAAGCUUCCUAAGGAUAACGAAUUGCCCGACAGUACAUACACAGCAAAGAAGGUCGUAUGCCCUCUAGGAUUGGAGGUGCAGAAGAUACAUGCAUGCCCUAAUGACUACAUCCUCUACCGCGGUGCGUACAAGGAUCUGAACGCAUGCCCGGUAUGCGGUGCAUUGCGGUAUAAGAUCAGACGAGAUGACCCUGGUGAUGUUGACGGCGAGCCCCCCAGGAAGAGGGUUCCUGCGAAGGUGAUGUGGUAUGCUCCUAUAAUACCACGGUUGAAACGUCUGUUCAGAAACGAAGAGCAUGCCAAGUUGAUGCGAUGGCACAGUGAGGACCGUAAGAAAGACGGGAAGUUGAGAGCACCCGCUGACGGGUCGCAGUGGAGAAAAAUCGAGAGAAAGUACUGGGCUGAGUUUGCAGCUGACCCAAGGAACGUAUGGUUUGGUUUAAGAGCGGAUGGCAUUAAUCCUUUCGGGGAGCAGAGCAGCAAUCACAGCACCUGGCCCGUGACUCUAUGUAUGUAUAACCUUCCUCCUUGGAUGUGCAUGAAGCGGAAGUUCAUUAUGAUGCCAGUUCUCAUCCAAGGCCCUAAGCAACCCGGCAACGACAUUGAUGUGUAUCUAAGGCCAUUAGUUGAAGAACUUUUACAGCUGUGGAAUGGAAACGGUGUACGUACGUGGGAUGAGCACAAACAGGAGGAAUUUAACCUGCACGCAUUGCUGUUUGUAACCAUCAACGAUUGGCCCGCUCUCAGUAACCUUUCAGGACAGACAAAUAAGGGAUACCAUGCAUUCACGCACUGUUUAGAUGACACCGAAAGUAUAUACCUGGACAAAAGCAGGAAGAAUGUGUACGUGGGCCAUCGUCGAUUUCUUCCGACCAACCAUCAAUGUCGAAAGAAAGGCAAGCAUUUCAAAGGCCAGGCAGAUCACCGGAAGAAGCCCGCCAUGCGUACCGGUGAUCACGUACUUGCUAUGGUCAAUGAUUUACACGUAAUCUUUGGAAAGGGUCCCGGCGGACUAGCUGUUCUGAAUGACGCUGAGGGACACGCACCCAUGUGGAAGAAGAAAUUUAUAUUUUGGGACCUACCCUACUAGAAAGAGCUAGAGGUCCGCUCUUCAAUCGACGUGAUGCACGUGACGAAGAACCUUUGCGUGAACCUGCUAGGCUUCUUGGGCGUGUAUGGGAAGACAAAAGAUACACCUGAGGCACGGGAGGACCUGCAACGUUUGCACGAAAAAGACGGCAUGCCUCCGAAGCAGUAUGAAGGUCCUGCCAGCUACGCUCUUACGAAAGAAGAGAAAGAAAUCUUCUUUGAAUGCCUGCUCAGUAUGAAGGUCCCGACUGGCUUCUCGUCGAAUAUAAAGGGAAUAAUAAAUAUGCCAGAGAAAAAGUUCCAGAACCUAAAGUCUCAUGACUGCCACGUGAUUAUGACGCAACUGCUUCCGGUUGCAUUGAGGGGGCUUCUACCGGAAAACGUCCGAUUAGCCAUUGUGAAGCUAUGUGCAUUCCUCAAUGCAAUCUCUCAGAAGGUGAUCGAUCCAGAAAUCAUACCAAGGCUAAGGAGUGAUGUGGCACAAUGUCUUGUCAGUUUCGAGCUGGUGUUCCCACCAUCCUUCUUCAAUAUCAUGACGCACAUCCUAGUUCAUCUAGUCGACGAGAUUGUCAUUCUGGGGCCCGUAUUUCUACACAAUAUGUUCCCCUUUGAGAGGUUCAUGGGAGUCCUAAAGAAAUUUGUCCGUAACCGCGCUAGGCUAGAAGGAAGCAUCUCCAUGGGCCAUCAAACAGAGGAUGUCAUUGGGUUUUGUGUUGACUUCAUUCCUGGCCUUAAGAAGAUAGGUCUCCCUAAAUCGCGGUAUGAGGGGAGACUGACUGGAAAAGGCACGCUUGGAGGGGGGACUCAAUAAUAUGCAGGGACGGAUAUUCGUCGUCUCAAGCACACUACACAGUUCUACAGAACUCUACCUUGGUGACCCCGUAUGUUGAUGAACACAAGAACAGUCUGCGCUCCAAACACCUGGAGCAGUGUGACGACUGGAUUACAUGUGAACACAUCAGGACUUUCAGCAGUUGGUUGGAAACACGUCUCAGAGGUGACACCACUGUUUGUGAUGAGUUGUACUCGUUGUCCAGGGGACCAUUUUCGACUGUAUUGACUUACAAAGGAUACGAGAUAAAUGGGAAUACAUUUUACACGAUCGCCCAAGAUCAAAAGAGCACCAACCAAAACAGCGGUGUCCGCUUUGAUGCAGCAACCGAGAGGGGAAAGGACACAUAUUAUGGUUACAUAAUGGACAUAUGGGAACUUGACUACGGACAUGAUUUUAAGGUCCCUUUGUUUAAGUGCAAAUGGGUCAAUCUGUCAGGAGGCGGGGUACAGGUAGACCCACAGUACGGAAUGACAACAGUGGAUCUGAACAAUCUUGGGUACACUGACGAACCGUUCGUCCUAGCCAAUGAUGUGGCACAGGUUAUCUAUGUGAAGUACAUGUCUACCAGACUGAGGAAAAGAAAAGAUAAGGAAGCGAAUACAUCAUACGAUGAGCCAAAGCGCCACAUAGUUCUUUCAGGAAAAAGGGACAUUGUGGGAGUGGAGGGCAAGACAGACAUGUCUGAAGAUUAUGAAAAGUUUCAUGAAAUUCCUCCCUUCAAAGUCAAGGCUGACCCAAGCAUCCUGAUAAACGAUGAAGAUUAUCCAUGGUUACGGUGCAAUAAGCAAAUGACACAAGCGAAGAAAAAGUGAAGACUUUCUCCCGCAACUAUUAUGAUGAUACCAUGCCAACUUUGUAAUAGACGAGUAUGAUACCAUUGUCCGUUUUGUACAAGAAGUGCAUCUAGUUUUUGCCGUAACCCUCUCAACUUUCUUGCACAUGCUAUGUGGAUGAAAUGAUGAUACCAUGCCAACUUUCAACCUUUUCAGAGUUCAUUUGAAAUGCUUUUCAAUUUUAGGGUCUUAUAGCUCAAAAUAAUUAGUAAAUGCAUGAAAAAUAACAGGCGAAAAAUUAAAAAUUAUGCCACCUACUGGGCCAGCAUGGCCUAAAUACGAUUAGAAACCCAUCCAUGGGCCAGGAUUCAGGCCCGUAGAAGGCCCAGUAGGCCCACAGGCAUGUACAGAGAGGUUAGGCCCGUAAGCCUGCUUUAGAGAGGAGCUCGACAGCUCAGGCGCACCGCACCUUAUAAACAGGUGUGGCUCUCUCUUAGCUAGCGAGGUGGGACUAAACUCACCACCACGCCGUUGUGCAAGGCCAUUGGUCCCGGUUGGUGGCACGAACCGGGACCAAUUCCACCCUUUGGUCCCUGUUGGUGCCACGAACCGGUACUAAUGAGGCUGUGGUCCCACGAGCACCUUUAGUACCUGUUCGUGGCACGAACUGGUACUAGAGUUUCUUACUAAGAAGUUUUUUAGUCCCACCUUGCUAGCUGAGAGGCACUAGGAGCGGUUUAUAAGCCCUGAGUGCAGAGACGAUGAAGAAGAGGCGCAAUGCUCACGUUGCUUAGCUUCAAACCUUGAGGAAUAAGGUAGACUGCAUCGAGCUAUGUGCAGUGCAGUCUACACUAUUCCGAAAGGCUUGAAGCAAAUCAACGAGCAUUGCGCCUCUUUUUUAUUUUUAAUAACUUAUUACAACUCCGGACUUCUUGUGUUCCGACAAAAUAAAAUAAAAUUUAUGAAACUAAAAUUAACAAAGUAUUUUCUGUUCAAAAAAUUAUAAGAAACCUCUAUUAUUAUUGAAACUAAAAUCAUAUAAAAUUGAUGCAACUAAAAUUAUCGAAGUAUUUUCUGUUCAAAAUCAUUAAAAGCAAAAAGAAUUUUCAUAAAGAACUUUUUUUGAUAGAAACUUUAAUAGCAAAAAGAAUUAUCAUAAAGUAAAAUAAAUAAGUAAUUAGAAACAAAAUAAAAUAAAGUAAAUAAGUUUUUUGUUGUAAGUAGAAACAAAACAAAAUAAAUAUAGCAAAAAAGAAAACAAAAAAACUAAAUACAGCAAAAAGAAUUUUCAUAAAGAACUAAUGGCACUAAUAGAAAGUUUAUAUUUUUUCUAAAANNNNNNNNNNNNNNNNNNNNNNNNNNNNNNNNNNNNNNNNNNNNNNNNNNNNNNNNNNNNNNNNNNNNNNNNNNNNNNNNNNNNNNNNNNNNNNNNNNNNNNNNNNNNNNNNNNNNNNNNNNNNNNNNNNNNNNNNNNNNNNNNNNNNNNNNNNNNNNNNNNNNNNNNNNNNNNNNNNNNNNNNNNNNNNNNNNNNNNNNNNNNNNNNNNNNNNNNNNNNNNNNNNNNNNNNNNNNNNNNNNNNNNNNNNNNNNNNNNNNNNNNNNNNNNNNNNNNNNNNNNNNNNNNNNNNNNNNNNNNNNNNNNNNNNNNNNNNNNNNNNNNNNNNNNNNNNNNNNNNNNNNNNNNNNNNNNNNNNNNNNNNNNNNNNNNNNNNNNNNNNNNNNNNNNNNNNNNNNNNNNNNNNNNNNNNNNNNNNNNNNNNNNNNNNNNNNNNNNNNNNNNNNNNNNNNNNNNNNNNNNNNNNNNNNNNNNNNNNNNNNNNNNNNNNNNNNNNNNNNNNNNNNNNNNNNNNNNNNNNNNNNNNNNNNNNNNNNNNNNNNNNNNNNNNNNNNNNNNNNNNNNNNNNNNNNNNNNNNNNNNNNNNNNNNNNNNNNNNNNNNNNNNNNNNNNNNNNNNNNNNNNNNNNNNNNNNNNNNNNNNNNNNNNNNNNNNNNNNNNNNNNNNNNNNNNNNNNNNNNNNNNNNNNNNNNNNNNNNNNNNNNNNNNNNNNNNNNNNNNNNNNNNNNNNNNNNNNNNNNNNNNNNNNNNNNNNNNNNNNNNNNNNNNNNNNNNNNNNNNNNNNNNNNNNNNNNNNNNNNNNNNNNNNNNNNNNNNNNNNNNNNNNNNNNNNNNNNNNNNNNNNNNNNNNNNNNNNNNNNNNNNNNNNNNNNNNNNNNNNNNNNNNNNNNNNNNNNNNNNNNNNNNNNNNNNNNNNNNNNNNNNNNNNNNNNNNNNNNNNNNNNNNNNNNNNNNNNNNNCAAAAAAACUGAAAAAAAAACUAUUUUUAUAGUAAAGUUAAUCACAAACUUGUGAUUCACACAAAUUUCAUAGAAUUCAAAUUUUAACUAUUUAAAUUUGAAAACUAAUGGCACUAACAGAAAGUUUAUAAAUUUUCUGACCUAAAAGCACAAAGAAUUAAAAAAUAAAGCAAAAAACAAAAGAAAAUAAAUAAUGCAAAAAACAGAACCAAAAAACUGGAAAAAAAAUUAAAAAAACUGCCACCUAUUGGGCCACCACGGCGUAAAUACGACUAGAAACCCAACCUGGGCCAGGAUUCAGGCCCGCAGAAGGCCCAAUAGGCCCACAGACAGGACAGUGUGACAUUAGGCCCGUAAGCCUGCAUUUGAGAGGAGCUCGAGAGGGCAGCCGCAGUGGGGCUUAUGAACCACUCCGAGCCCCUCUCAACUAGCGAGGUGGGACUAAACUUUUGGCCGCGGGCAGCGCAAGGCCUUUGGUCCCGGUUGGUGGCACCAAUCGGGACUAAAGGGGGCAUUGGUACCGGUUCGUGGCACCAACCGGNNNNNNNNNNNNNNNNNNNNNNNNNNNNNNNNNNNNNNNNNNNNNNNNNNNNNNNNNNNNNNNNNNNNNNNNNNNNNNNNNNNNNNNNNNCCCCGAGCCCACCCCUCGACGUCCCUGUCGCCGCCUGCCGUCCCGAGACCGCCGUCCCCGUCACCGCGUGCCGCCCCGAGCCCGUCGUCCUCGUCGCCGGACUCCUGCCAUCGCCGCCCCCCUCGAAGUGAGCCCCCCCUUUCCCAUGGUCCCGAUCGAGCGCCGCUCUUGCGCCCGAGUGCCCCUUGCUCUCUGCCGCCCCUGCUCCAUGGUCGCCGCCGGCCCCGACGCAUUGAAGACCAGAAGGAGAGGAGAAGGAGAGGAGAGGAGAAGGAGUGGAGCAGCAGCAAGACGCCGUCCAAUUUUCUGAAAUUUCUGAUUUUUUUACAGAUAUGAACAGUGCAUAUAGAGGGUGUUUGAUCAAAUGCUAGAUGGCUUUGGGAAUUUUUAGAAUUUAUGAUAUUUUUUGUGGUGAGGUACUGAUGCAAGACAAAGGUGAUGGCAAAAUUUCAGAAUUUUUGGAUUGGUUUAGAAUAGGUUUUCAGCAAGGAAUUUGAAUCUGGUUCAAAUUUCAUUUGAAUGGAAUUUGAAAAUUUUGAACUAUGGAUCAGAAGGUUUUUGGUGAAAUGGAGUGUGGGUACUGUCAUGAAGUUGGAGUAAUUUUUGUGGUUGUAAAAGAGUUAGGAAAAUUUAGAAUGUGCUAAAUAUGUCAAAAAAUGUUUUUUUGUUCAUAUACAGAAAGUUAUUAUAUAUGACUAUGGAUAUAUGAGCAAUGAUGAUCCAUGGAUGUAUGCAUUGAUAUAUAUGAGAAACGAUGUUCAUAGAAUAUUUACCAAGUAUAUAUGUAUUUUUGUUCAUAGCAUUUUUUUCCAUUUAUAUAUGUAUGUGGCUAUAGAUGGAUAUAUAUGAGAAAUGAUGAUCCAUGGAAAAGUUUUAUAUAUGCAAAAGUUACAUUUGAAAAGUUUUAUAUAUCUAGCUAGGAAAGGAAGAAGAAGAAAAAGAAGGAGAGGAAAAAGGAAAAUAAGAAGAGGAAGAAAGGAGAAGAAGAGGAGAGGAAGAAGAGGAGAAAUAAAUAAGAAGAGGAAAAAAGAAGAAAAAGAAGAGGAGAAGAAGAAAGGAAUAGAAGAGAAGAAGAAAAAAUAGAAAAAAUUCUAUUUUUUCUUCUUCUCUCCUCUAUUCCUUUCUUCUUCUCCUCUUUUUUUUCUUCUUUUUUUCUUCGAUCUUCUCCUCUAUUCCUUUUCUUCUUCUCCUCUUUUUAUUUCUUCUUCGUUUUCUUAUGUUUUAUCGGGUCUGUCGUCGUCGAUAUACCCCUCUCCCGAUAACUUCAACACGAGGGGGGGUCGAUAUACCCCCUCCCCGCCAAUAAUAUUAUUUUCCCAUGUACGUAUGUCGUCGUUGUCGAUAUAACCCCCUCCCGAUAACUUCAACACGUGGGGGGGUCGAUAUACCCCCUCCCCGAUAACAUUAUUUUCCCAUGUAUGUAUGUCGUCGUUGUCGAUAUAUAUAACUCCCUCCCAGAUAACUUCGACAUGAUGGACGGUCGAUAUUUAUACCCCUCUCGACCGUGAUAACUUAUACCACGGGAGCACCCCCCGGCCCUCUCGCUCGACCAAAACUCUCGAGGACACCCAAACCCUAGAAAAAAAAACGAUGUCGGUCUCCUACCCCCACCCGCCGCGACCCUACCCUUGAAGCGUUGCCUAGGCCACCCCAAACCCGGAAUAAGCUAGGUCUACGUUUGCACUAAUAUAUCCACCUGCUGUCAUGUUUGUGUAAUAAUUGCCAUGUUGUAAUAUUUGCAUAAACAAUGGAGCACGGACGAGAUGAGCAAGCAGAAGAGGUGUUGGGGGACAUAAUCUUAGCCGGAGGUGAUAUCUUGUCGUAUCUUAACGACAAUGAUGGUCUGGAAGAACAGGGUGAAGAAGCAGGCUACGGUGAUCGAAGAGUGGAGGAGGAAAGACAUGAUUAUGAUGGCUCCGGUGACCCAAUGCUGGUGCAAGAAGGAGCCCGUGGUGACGGCUCCGGUGACCGAACAGAGUCCGGCCAGGUAAAUAUAUUAGUUAAGCCUGUGCUGACUAGCUAAUUGAUGCAUUCAUUGUUUUGGUAUGUACACAUAUUAAUUAACACUCGUCUUUCUUCUUUUUUCUAGCCCUCCGGAUCGAGCACAACUUUGGUAAAGAGACGAGGCCCGAAGAGAAAGUUGCGCUCGGAUGAAAGGUUUGAGAUCACAGCAAUCGCGCGCGACGGCCAACCGAUUGAACCCCUCCGGACAAAGGAUGCAUUUGCUGCUCAGUGCGGGGUUCUAGUUAGGGACAAGAUCCCGAUCAGCAUCCACCAAUGGUAUAAGCCUAAGAAGGAAGACCCUGAGGUGUCUUAUGUCAAUGAUAUGCAGAAAGAUGAUCUGGACUGAGCUGAAGGCAAAUUUCACCCUACCGCCAGAGGAGGAUCCGGAGAAGCCAGUUAUAGAGCAAUUAAUCAAGUCUCAUGCUCUUAAGAAGAUGGCAGACCUAUUCAGGAGGUGGAAGAAUGAGCUGAAAACGUUUGUCGACAAAGAAGAGACACCAGAAUUCAUCGGCCGGUAUGAGAAGAUCAGAGAUCACUGGCCCGCAUUUGUGGCCCACAAGACAUCGGAAAAGAGUAAGAAGAUGUCAGCGACAAACAAGAAGAAUGCUGUGAAGAAGAAGCUUCACCAUCGCACGGGGUCAGGUGGCUACCUCAAAGCCCGACCUAAGUGGGCCAAGGCUGAGAAUGAUCUGCUUGAAAAAGGGAUCGAACCACAGACAAUGAACUGGACAGACCGUUGCCGGACUUGGUUCUUCGGGGCUGGCGAAACCUUGGACCCUGUAUCAGGGAGGUGCAUUUGGACGAACGAGCUUUUGAGAAUACCAGUCAAGAAGAUUCAGCAAUAUAUCGAUAGAGCGCAGGAAGGGACGUUCGUUCCAGACAGAGAGAACGACGAGCUCACAAUGGCCCUCAGGAAUCCUGAGCACCCUGGACGGACACGAGGCACGCCAGGCUCCGUUCCGUGGAAGGCUGGUUUUCCGGACGCGGGCGGUUACAAAAGCUAGGAGAGGAGGAAAAAAGUGGAGCAGAUCCAAAUUCAGAAGCUGCACGAAAGGGUUCAAGCGCUAGAGGAACGAGACGGCAAUCGACAUGCCGAAACUGCCCCCGAAGCUACACCGCCAUCUCAGCAGAGAAGCAGCGUGGCUUCCACCGAGCUGCUUCAGCUGGAGCAUGCGGAUCCUGCUAGCUACCCCGUGGAUGCUAUCACGGAGUCUCAACAUUUCCACCUUAUGGCGGAAUGGCAGAACUUCAAAGUCAAGGCGGCUGUUGGCUCUGUUUUACCUCCUGAACCCGGCGCAACCUACCACUGCCGGCCGAUUCCAGAAGGAUAUGCUAGGGUGAUGGUGGAUGAAAUAACGGAGGGAUUUGAGGAGCUCCAGCUUGACCACCCUACCGGUAAAGGGGAGACUCGGCUGGGUUCUGCUCUGAAGACUCCAUGCCUAUGGCGGAAGGAGCUCAUCGAGCUUCCGAACUGGACGGCUCCGGCGAGUAAGGGCACUCCGCCUCCUCCUCCGCCUCCUCCUCCGGCGAGUGAUCAGGGCACUCAGCCUCCUUCUCCGGCGCGUGGCGGCACUCUGCCUCCUUCUCUGCCAGCGCCGGCGCGCCAGAGCAGCCAGCCUCCUCCUUCUCUGCCUCGUCAGCAAGGGCGGAAGAGACCCGCCGCCGCUGCGGCUGCUCCGGCGCGUCAUAGUCCUUCUCCUCCGCCUCGUAAGCAAGGAAAGAUGACAGCCGCAGCCACUCCAUCUGCUCUGCCGGCGUCUAGCAGUACAGCUGCCAGAGGCGGGAGGCAAUACAGAUUCGGUCCUUCUCUGAAGACUCCAGAGAAGUUACCAUACGAGAGGACCGAGGAGGAAACCAGGAAGAUCGUGCGAGCCGAAGUGACAAACUUCUUUAAAGGGGUGAAAGCAAAGAAACAUCCACCUCCGGAGGAGAAGGUAGAUCCGGUGAAAGCAAAGCGCACUCUGGCUGCCCUGACAAAACCACCAAAGUCUCUGCCGAGAGGCAACUAUGAGCGCAUUCUUGCAAAGACAUAUGCCGAAGCAGAGCGGUCGGGAAGUACUGUCAGUGACAAAAGGUUAAAAGAACGACGAGCUGGGAAAAAAAUUGCCCAGCUCGGCGAACAAGCGAACCAAUCGUGCCCCCCGCUCAAGGUGUCAAAAGACAUCGUCGCUAGUGAUCCGAGUAUGGUGCCCGGUUAUAGCAAUCUUGGAGAUUACCUGCCCGACGAUGUACAUUAUGAAAUCAUGGAGGUGGACGAACACAAAUACCAUUACGGGAAGCCUCUCGUCAAAGAUGAAAGAUCUCUAAGCACGAUGAUGCGAAGACUACAUGAUUGGUACAUGAAAACCUGCAGAGAGUCUGAUGGGAUGGAUACUUUGACGCUGAGAGUUAAACCGGAGCAUGACCUCGUUGGAAUUGAUCUGCUGAAUGUUCCAUUUGAGGAUUUCUUCCAGUUUUACAAUCAAAAGGUCCUCGAUAAAACAACGAUCACUUGCUACUGUCUGUAAGUAGUACUACUUCUGUCAUUAAGUCUCUCUAUAUAGGUCAGCUCUUUCAUUGCAUGUAUUUAUACUUAUCCUCACUAUAUUAUGCAGAUUGAAGAUCGCCGAAUUGAAGAAAAGACAAAUAGGUGAUAUUGGGUUCAUUAACACAAAUCUCAUAGAUGCAUAUACGGUUGAAAAACAUCCCAAAGAAGCCGAGGCCAACUUGCUACAAUCGUUGGUAUUAAAUCAAAACAAAGAUAUAAUACCCUUUCCUUACAACUUCAAGUGAGUGUUACUGUCUUGUUCAUAUUCGGUUUCCCUUAUUAGUCCAGGUUAUGGUAAUGUAAUUGAUGACUUAUGCAUGCAUGCGCAGCUUCCACUAUAUUCUCCUAGAGAUUAAGCUUGAGGAGGGAGUAGUAACCGUCUUAGACUCGACACGAAAAGAUCCCCAGGACUAUGCGAACAUGACUCAAAUGCUCGAGAAGUAAGUUAAAUCGAUCAUUAUCCACCAUAUCAGCAACUUUGUUCAUUUCCUGAUAUCAAGUAAUUGUUUUCUUUGUCUGGCAGGGUUUGGAGAAAAUUCACCUCAAAAGCUCCGGGACUGCCGAAGAAGCUGCAAUUUAAUCACCCGAAAGUAAGUACUAUAGUAGCAUGUUCCGCGCAUCUCCUAGUGAUUCAAGCGCUAGUUUCAUCAAUACCAUUUAGCAUUGCUUAUCAGUUUGAUUGACCUCUAUUUCUUGUAAAGUGGUUGUGGCAGGAACCCGGGAAUAAUUACUACGGAUACUACGUUUGCGAGUCCAUCUGCUACACGACCUGUGAGCGGGGCUACACUGAAGAACAAUAUGAAGUGCGUAAGCAAUAAUAUUUACAAUUUUAUUUUAUUACCAUCAUUUGUGUUGAGUUUCAUUUAUUCAUAUAUAUAUGUAUUGACCCCCUUCUUCAAAUUAGAUGUUUCGGAAGCGGGAUGAACUCCUAGCACCAGAUCGUAUGCGAGGAAUUGAAGAGGAAUUGGCAGCAUUCUUCCUUGACCACGUGAUCGCUGAAAACGGAGAAUACUAUGUGGACCCUGUGUUCCUACAAUUUAAUUAGGAGAUUGUAUUGUAAGAGAUAAUUAUUGUAUAUAUGUAGCCGGUAGUGUCGGAUAGAUAUACGAGAACUUGUUGUUCGACCAAUAUCUCGGAGAAGGAGAGGUGGUCGAUAUCACUUCUCUCUGUAUGCAUAUGUUCAUGACGAUCUUCUGUUUCCUUCAUUUGAUUACUAGCUAGCGUGUCUACUCCUCUCCAUACGUAUAUAGUACGUAGCGUCGACCAAGCACGGAGAUAAGAGAGGACACUUCUCUCUAUUAAUUAGCUAGCUAACACAAUAUAUGAAACACCUAAAUUAACCCCCCAAAACCCCUAAACCACCCCCUUUCAAAAAAACAAAAACCUCAGCUCCUGCCAGCUGCUGACGCGUGGAUGCCUAUUGGUCCCGGUUGGUGACACCAACCGGGACAAAAGGCCCUGCCUAUUGGUCCCGGUUGGUGGCACCAACCGGGACCAAAGGCCCUCCUGCUUGGGCUCCCCGCACCGGCCACGUGGACGGCCUUUAGUCCCGGUUCGUGUAAGAACCGGGACUAAAGGGCUAGGGCAUUAGUAACGACCCUUUAGUCCCGGUUCCAGAACUGGGACUAAAGGCCCUUAUGAACCGGGGUAAAAGCCCAUUUUCCUACUAGUGAUGUGUUCAUCACCGCCCAUGGAGCGGAGCAGAGCAAGAGUGGCAAAGCGCUACCGUGCAAGAGCAGGAGAACGCCGCCGCGCAUUAGGUGUGGUGCGCUGCACUAUUUGAGUGGAGCCGUGUCAGCACCCUGUUGAGUCAACCACUCGAGAUUGCACACAGUUUCUAAGAGCACAAACGUGUGUGGUAGUAGGGAGUAAGUCCCACACUAUGACCAUGGGGAAAUGCCUUAAACACGAGGAGGCAACACUUAUCAACAAGGUGCAGGUUCCCAUCUGCUAGCUGAGUCGAAUAGAACACACAGGUUAAGCGUGUUGGGGCUGGAGCAGUCUAAGGAUGGGUGACUGGGUGGGAAGUUGCUAUAUCUCAAGAUUUAUUUAAGCGAUAUGAUACAUUCAUUACAGACAUUUAGCUUCUAAAUGUGUCUGUAGUGACCUGUCAUGUCGAUUAAAUAAAGCAUGAGAUACUUGUUUUGCAAAUUUGGAGAAUCAUUUUUUUGUUUUGUCUUGUUUUCAAAAAUUGGAGAAUGAUCGAGAUCUGUGGGUCCGCGUGAACUAUCCCUUUGACCCACAACAUACGAGAAGGGUUUAACCAUGACGGGUUCCUCUUGGUUUAUGUUACGAUAGGUCAUGGUGGCAUGUCAGACCAAAAUUAAGUUUGAGCACAUGGUUGGAUUCCCUCCCGCCGGCUCGAUGUUGGGGAACCGGCACCGUACGUCUUGAACCAUCUGUCUUCUUGGGGGUACGGUGUUCGGUUUGUAAUGCAGAUGGUGCCCCAUUAAAAUCGUGCAUUGGGGAUUUGAACACCUCAUGCUACCUAUACAUAUAUUUGGGCCGCAUGCAGGGUAUAGGUCUUCUGAUCGACCCCGUUUCCCUUGUGCGGUAUUCAACGACACCUAUCUGCGGGCCCUGUGGUCUACAUAUAUAUAUAUAUAUAUCAUUUAUUGGACCAACAACAAGAGGGGUUCAUGGUGACAUGUCCGAGCAAAAUUCGAGCUCAUGCGUUCUUAGGUUUCCCUCCCACACGCUCGAAUUGGUGGGAUGGACCGACACCCUACGUAUGUCGUUCUUAAUUACCUAGCUUUCAUGGGGUUGUCCGGGUCGUGAGAUAGGCGCCACAUCAGAAAUGUACAUUAUUGGGUAUUUAAAACACAUCACCCUUCCUACGUACAUUAAUUUGGGCCGCAUGCAGGUGGUGCUGGUUUUCUGGCCCCUCUUGUUGUCCAAUCUGUGGGUGCGCGUGGCCUAUUAUAUCCCUUUUUGACUGACAACAGCAGUGGUCAUUUGACCAAGAUAGAUUCACUUGAUCCAUGUUGUGGUAGGUCAUGAUGACAUGCAUUUCCGACCGAAGUAUGAGUGCAUGCGUCCCACCGACACGAAGUGGGGGUGGGGCAAGUACCCUAUGACCUAACCUGUCAUUAUAGAUAUCCAAGUGGCCUUUCCAGUUUGCCAGGCUGGUGCCACAUUAAAGUUGUCAAUUGUGUAUUUAAACAUCACACCACCCUUUUAUUCCUACAUAUAUUUGGCCACUUCCAGGUGGUGAUUGUCUUCUAGCCCCUCUCAUCCGAUCUUGGACUACGCGCCCACCCAUGGGCCUGCGCGGUCUAUCCCUUAGGACCACAUGUCAUGAACCCUUUUCUGACGCACCGAAAGCUUUUAUGCAUGGAUAUAUAUGCAUCAUGUGCCACAUCAAAGUUGUGCAUUGGGAACUUAAACAUCACACACCAUAUUUUUCAUACAUAUAUAUUUGGGCCACAUGCUAUUGUGGUUGUGUUCUGACCCUCUCUGAAGUUUUUUUUAGCAUUUUUCUUGUUGCCAAAUGGUGGUAUAUAAAAUAGCAAACGACUCGGAUGAAACAACUGUCUGCGAACAUAUGCGCAACGGACACGGGUGCACCGGAUUAACCGUGUGCGAUGCUCGUGCCCUGUAAAAUCGCCAUGACUUCGCAAGUGCCAGCAAGGGUAAAGGGGUAAUGUGUAUAGGAUAUUUAGGAUGAAUUGCACGUCUGCGUCUGAAAAUUAGGACGAACCAUGUGUAAUGAACCAGCUAGCUAGAAAUCUCAAAAAGCUACCUACCUUGAGCGAUGCAAAAAUUGGUUGUUUGUGGCUUUUCCUUAUUAUCAUACACAAUUUUUAUGUUUAGACCGUGUGCGAUGUUGGUUGCUCCCUCCCCGCUUGAAUUCCUUUACCCAAAUUUUAGUAGCCGCAGUAUUUGAACCGUCGCCCUCACUCCUCCACCAUCGAUCUUAUAGUAAAUUUCAGUAGCCGAGGCGUUUGAACCGUCACCCUCCCUCAUCCACCACUCUCUCCACCCAUCAUUACUGAAAUUUUUAGUAGCCGUGGCAUAUCCUCAAACACCAUGACGCCCCCUCACGAGUCCAAUUUAUGUGAUAGCUUUACUAUGUAUUUUGUGCCUACAUGGUAGGUUUUGUGGAAUUUACCGCGUUCGCGCACUUCUUUUUGUUGAUAACCCCUCAGGUGAAGUCUUUUGGGUCAAUUAUCAUUUAAUGGAGAAAAUCCUCAGAAAUGCUAGUGGAGUCAUGUAUUUAAAGUUAUAAUCACUUUCCAUAGGUAGUGGCAUCAAGUAAAAAUACUUCCUCCAGAUCCCGAAGUGUGCCUCGCAUCCGAGGUACAUCUCACAUAGGGCAACAAAUCCCGCGACGUGCAUGAUGGCAUUGAGCAUUAGGUUGUGGAGUUGGAUCCAAUAGAACUCAAGAAGGCCCUGAAGGAAUGGGUGGAUGGGGAAUCCAAUGCCCCGCAAUAAGAAAGGGAUAAAAUAGACACACUCCUCCCCACAGGGAAUAGGAUGGAUGUCUGUUUGCGCUCGCCCGUCCAAGGAUGUAAAGCCUGGGCAGGUGGUCGCGAGAUCUGGAUCUGACAAAUAACCUUGAGUGGCGAGCCGGUUCAGUUGUAGACGGGUGACUGAGUAGCUUCCCCAGUCACCUUGGAGAGGUCCGUGGGAUCUCUUCGAUGAGCCCGCAUGGUUCACCAUUGCCAGAGCACUCGAGCUACAACUUUGAAGAGAAGAUUCUAUGUUAAGAUGAGAAGAGGGAAAGUUGGGGCACGGUCUCCACUGUAAUCUUGGGUUAUGUACCUCAUACGUCUCCAACGUAUCUAUAAUUUUUUAUUGUUUCAUGUUAUUAUAUUAUCAAUCUUGUAUACUUUAUAUGCAUUUUUAUACUAUUUUAUAUCAUUUUUGGGAACUAACGUAUUAACCCAGUGCCUAGUGCCAGUUGUCGUUUCCUGCACAUUUUUUGUACCAAACGGAGUCCAAACACUACGAAACGUUUGACGAUUUUUUUCUGGACAAAAGAGACCCUAGAAGGUUCGGGAGGAGAGUGUAGGACAAACGAGGAGACGACAAGGAACAGGGCACGACGAGGGGGUAGGGCGCGCCCUAUUACCUCGUGGGCCCCAUGUUGCUCCGUCUAACCUAAUUCCACUUCUAUAAAUUCUCAAAUAUAUGGAAAACCCCAUAGAUCCACGUGAAACACUUUUUGCGCCACCGAAAGUCUUUGUUCUUCCGCGACCCCAUCUGGAGGCCUUUUCCGGUACUCUACCAGAUGGUGUAUCGAUCACAGAGGGCUUAUACAUCAUCCUUGCUUCAUUCUAAUGAUGCGUGAGUAGUUCACCACAGACCUACGGGUCCAUAGCUAGUAGCUAGAUGACUUCUCUCUCUUUGAUCUUCAAUGCAAUGUUCUCCUUAAUCUUCUUGGAGUUCUAUCCGAUGUAAUCUUCUUUUGCGGUGUGUUUGUUGGGAUCCGAUGAAUUGUGGGUUUAUGAUCCGAUUAUUCAUUGAAAGUGAUUGAGUCUUUUCUGAAGUUUAUUUUUCAUGAUUAUGAUAGCUUUGUAUUUCUCUCCAAUCUAUCCGUUUGGUUUGGCCAACUAGAUUGACUUAUCUUCAGUGGGAGAGGUGCUCUGUCGUGGGUUCAAUCUUGUGGUGUCCAAUGAUAGAAAGGGUAGUAAGGAACGUAUUGUAUUGUUGCUAGUAAGGAUAAUACGAUUGAGUUUAAUUUAUUUACAUCAUGUCAUCUUGCUUAAGGCGUUACCCUGUUUGUUAUGAACUUAAUACCAUAGAUGCAUGAUUGCUGGAUAGCGGUCGAUUGGUGGAGUAAUAGUAGUAGAUGUGGGAAGGAGUUAGACUACUUGUCAGGGACGUGAUGCCUAUAUGUAUGAUCAUUGUCAUGAAUAACGUCAUAACUGAUACGUCUCCGUCGUAUCUAUAAUUUUUCAUUGUUCCAUGCCAAUAUGAUACAACUUUUAUAUACUUUUUGGCAACUUUUUAUACUAUUUUUGGGACUAACAUAUUGAUCCAGUGCCCAGUGUCAGUUCCUGGUUGUCGCAUGUCUUUGUUUCGCAGAAUAUUCAUAUCAAACGGAGUCCGAACGGGAUAAAAACGGACGGAGAAUUAUUUUGGAAUAUUUAUGAUUUUUGGGAAGUAAAAUCAACGCGAGACGGUGCCCGAGGGGGCCACGAGGCAGGGGGGCACGCCCCAGGGGGGCAGGCGCGCCCUGGACCCUCGCGGGCACCCCGUAAGGCAGUUGACGCUCUUCUUUUGCCGCAAGAAAGCUAAUUUUAUAAGGAAAACCUGGGCGAAAGAUUCAACCCAAUCGGAGUUACAGAUCUCCGGAUAUAAAAGAAACGGUGAAGGGCCAGAAUCAGAGAACGCAGAAACAGAGAGAGACAGAGAGACAGAUGCAAUCUCGGAGGGGCUCUCGCCCCUCCCACGCCAUGGAGACCAAGGACUAGAGGGGAAACCCUUCUCCGAUCUAGGGAGAAGGUCUAGGAAAAAUAAGAAGGAGGGGGCUCUCUCCCCCUCGCUUCCGGUGGCGCCGGAGUGCCACCGGGGCCAUCAUCAUCACCGCCAUCUUCACCAACAACUUUACCGCCAUCAUCACCAACUCUUCCCCCCUCUAUGCAGCGGUGUAACCCCUCUUUUUCCCACUGUAAUCUCUACUUAAACAUGGUGCUCAACGCUAUAUAUUAUUUCCCAAUGAUGUACGGCUAUCCUAUGAUGUUUGAGUAGAUCUGUUUUGUCCUAAUGGCUAUUUGAUGAUCAAGAUUGGUUUGAGUUGCAUGUUUUAUUAUUGGUGCUGUCCUAUGGUGCUCUCCGUGUCGCGCAAGCGUGAGGGAUCCCCGCUGUAGGGUUUGCAAUAUGUUUAUGAUUUGCUUAUGGUGGGUGGCGUGAGUGACAGAAGCACAGACCCGAGUAAGUAGGUUGUUUGCGUAUGGGAUAAAGAGGACUUGAUACUUUAAUGCUAUGGUUGGGUUUUACCUUAAUGAUCGUUAGUAGUUGCGGACGCUUGCUAGAGUUCCAAUCAUAAGUGCAUAUGAUCCAAGUAGAGAAAGUAUGUUAGCUUAUGCCUCUCCCUCAAAUAAAAUUGCAAUAGUGAUUACCGGUCUAGUUAUCGAUUGCCUAGGGACAAAUAACUUUCUCGUGAAAAAAAGCUCUCUACUAAAACUAAUUUAGUUGUGUCUUUAUCUAAACAGCCCCUAGCUUUUAUUUACGCGCUCUUUAUAUUCUUGCAAACUUAUCCAAAAACACCUACAAAGUACUUCUAGUUUCAUACUUGUUCUAGGUAAAGCGAACGUCAAGCAUGCGUAGAGUUGUAUCGGUGGUCGAUAGAACUUGAGGGAAUAUUUGUUCUACCUUUAGCUCCUCGUUGGGUUCGACACUCUUACUUAUCGAAAGAGGCUACAAUUGAUCCCCUAUACUUGUGGGUUAUCAAGACCUUUUUCUGGCGCCGUUGCCGGGGAGCAAUAGCGUGGGGUGAAUAUUCUCGUGUGUGCUUGUUUGCUUUAUCACUAAGUAAUUUUUAUUUGCUGUUCUUAGUUGUUCUUUAUCAUUAGUUAUGGAUAUGGAAUAGGAAAUACCAAAAAAAUAGGUGUACUUGCUGCUCAUGGAGAUGGGGAACCUCCUAAAACCCUCGAUGCUUAUUAUGUGAGAAAUAUUAUGUACUACUUUAAUAAUCCUGAGAAAACCCCAUUCAACUAUGUUAUGGGAGUAACGUUGGAUCAACGUGAAUACUUUAGGGAUUAUCGCUUGACACAAAAGGGGAAACUAUUAUGGGAUCAAAUUAUUAUGUUGUAUGUGUAUGCUAGGCAACUAUGCUUGAGAUAUGAUUAUACUUGAUGCUCUAGGACGAAGUCUCCACACCUUCCCUUUUCAUGCGAAUUUAAUGAUAAUGAAACCUUGGCUUCUUAUGCUAGACGUAUAUAUGAUUACUAUGAUGUGGAACGAAUAGAAGAAUUUGUUGCUUUUAUGGGUGCUUAUGAAAUUGAAUCUAUGUUUAAAGAGUUUGAAGAUUUUGAUGAUUCAGUUUAUAGACCUGAAAAUUUAGCUAUCCUUAAAUAUUGUUAUGAGAAUUAUGAAUACAAUUAUGAUAUUAAUGCACUUAUUGAGAAAGUCUCCGCUGUCCAAGAAGAGACUAAUAUUUUGCAGGAAUCUAUGGAAGAAGAAGUUGAUGAAACUGUGAGCUCAUUGGAUGAAAAAGAUGAGGAGAGCGAAGAACAAAAGGAGGAAGAGCGGAUUGAUCACCCGUGCCCACCUUCUAAUGAGAGUAACUCUUCAAUUCAUACAUUGUUUAAUUCCCCUUCGUGCUUACCGAAGGAUGAUUGCUAUGAUGACUGUUAUGAUCCCUUUGAUUCUUUUGGAAUAUCCCUUUUUGAUGAUGCUUGCUAUGCUUGUGGCUAAGAAGCCAAUAUAAAUUAUGCUUAUGGAGAUGAACUUGCUAUAGUUCCUUAUGUUAAACAUGAAAUUGUUGCUAUUGCACCCACGCAUGAUAGUCCUAUUAUCUUUUUGAAUUCUCCCGAUUACACUAUAUCGGAGAAGUUUGCACUUAUUAAGGAUUAUAUUGAUGGGUUGCGUUUUACUACCACACAUGAUGAUUUUGAUAGAUAUAAUAUGCAUGUGCUUGCUGCUCCUACUUGCAAUUAUUAUGAGAGAGGAACUACAUCUCCGCCUCUUUAUGUUUCCAACAUGAUAGAAUUGCAAGAAACUGCUUAUACUAUGCAUUGGCCUUUACUUCGCGUGCAUGAAUUGUUCUUUUAUGACAUGCCGAUGCAUAGGAAGAUAGUUAGACUUCGUUGUUGCAUGAUAUAUGUUACUUUGUGCUCACUACUAAAUUACAAAUCAUUGUUAAUUAAAUUUGGCUUUGAUAUACCUUGGGAUCCGGGUGGAUCCAUUACUUGAGCACUAUAUACCUAGCUUAAUGGGUUUAAAGAAAGCGCUGCCAGGGAGACAACCCGGAAGUUUUAGAGAGUCAUUUAUUUCUGUUGAGUGCUUUUAUAUAGUUUAAAAACAAAAACAAUAAAGAGGGGAACCCAAAACUUUUCAAAAAAGAAAAUUGAAAGUGAGAUAGACGAGCAUUGUGAAAGUGGGGGACGUCCUUGAACUUUGUUCAUGCCCAUGGGAACUUUGUGAAUCUUAAUUACAGAAACUUUUCAACAAAAAUAAUUAUCCCUUGUACAAUUCCAUUGUAUUAUAAAAAUAAUGUGCCAAGGUUUGCCUUUAGGAUGUUUACAAUGCUUGUUGGUUUGUACGGUGCAGGACAGAAACUUUGGCUGUAGUGAGCGAUUUUACAUUUUUUACUGGAACGUCAAAUGGUUCUGAUUCUUUUUGCACUGUCUUUCUACACAAAUUUUUUAUUUUUCCUAAUUUUGGAAGAAAUUUUCAAGUAUCAGAAGUAUGGUGAAUGUUCAGAUUAUUACAGACUGUUCUGUUUUAGACAGAUUCUGUUUUUGAUGCAUAGUUUGCUUGUUUUGAUGAAACUAUCAAUUUAUAUCAGUGGAUUAAGCCAUGAAAAAGCUAUAUUACAGUAGACACAAUGCAAAUACAAAAUAUGAAUUGGUUUGCAACAGUACUUAGAGUAGUGAUUUGCUUUAUUAUACUAACGGAUCUUACCGAGUUUUCUGUUGAAGUUUUGUGUGGAUGAAGUGUUCGAUGAUCGAGGAGGUCUCGGUGUUAGAAGAAGGAAGAGAGGCAAGAGCCCAAGAUUGGGGAUGCCCAAGGCACCCCAAGUAAAUAUUCAAGGAUACUCAAGCGUCUAAGCUUGGGGAUGCCCCGGAAGGCAUCCCCUCUUUCUUCAACAAGUAUCGGUAUGUUUUCGGAUUCGUUUCAUUCAUGUGAUAUGUGCAAAUCUUGGAGAGUCUUUUGCGUUUAGUUUUCAUUUUUCUUUUAUGCACCAUGAUGGUAUGAGAUAGUCCUUGGUUGAUUUAUAUAAUGCUCAUUGCACUUCACUUAAAUCUUUUGAGUAUGGCUUUAUAGAAUGCUUCAUGUGCUUCACUUAUAUCAUUUGAAGUUUGGAUUGCCUGUUUCUCUUCACAUAGAAAACCGCCAUUUGUAGAAUGCUCUUUUGCUUCACUUAUAUUUGUUAGAGCAUGGGCAUAUAUUUUGUAGAAAGAAUUAAACUCUCUUGCUUCACUUAUAUCUAUUUAGAGAGAUGACAGGAACCGGUCAUUCACAUGGUUAGUCAUAAAAUCCUACAUAAAACUUGUAGAUCGCUGAAUAUGAUAUGUUUGAUUCCUUGCAAUAGUUUUGCGAUAUAAAGGUGGUGAUAUUAAAGUGUGCUAGUGGGUAGUUGUGGAUUAGUAGAAAUACUUGUGUUGAGGUUUGUGAUUCCCGUAGCAUGCACGUAUGGUGAACCGUUAUGUAACGAAGUUGGAGCAUGAUUUAUUUUUUGAUUGCCAUCCUUUGUGUUGAGGUCGGGAUCGCGCGAUGGUUAACUCCUACCAACCCUUCCCCUAGGGGCAUGCGUCUAAUACUUGGUUUCGAUAGCUUCUAAAUUUUUGCAAUAAGUAUGUGAGUUCUUUAUGACUAAAGUUGAGUCCAUGGAUUAUACGCACUCUCACCCUUCCACCAUUGCUAGCCUCUCUAGUACCGCGCAACUUCCGCCGGUGCAUUACACCCACCAUAUACCUUCCUCAAAACAGCCACCAUACCUACCUAUUAUGGCAUUUCCAUAGCCAUUCCGAGAUAUAUUGCCAUGCAACUUCCAUCAUCAUCAUAUACAUGACUUGAGCAUUCAUUGUCAUAUUGCUUUGCAUGAUCGUAAGACAGCUAGCAUGAUGUUUUCAUGGCUUGUCCGUUUUUUGAUGUCAUUACUACGCUAGAUCAUUGCACAUCCCGGUACACCGCCGGAGGCAUUCAUAUAGAGUCAUAUCUUUGUUCUAGUAUCGAGUUGUAAUAUUGAGUUGUAAGUAAAUAGAAGUGUGAUGAUCAUCAUUUUUAGAACAUUGUCCCAUGAGAGGUUAUCAAACUAAAAGUGGCCAAAGAAGCCCCCAAAAAAGAGAGAGAGGCCAAAGAAGCCUAUAAAAGGAGAGAAAAAGAGAGAAGGGACAAUGUUACUAUUCUUUUACCACACUUGUGCUUCAGAGUAGCACCAUGUUCUUCAUAUAGAGAGUCUCUUGAGUUAUCACUUUCAUAUACUAGUGGGAAUUUUCAUUAUAGAACUUGGCUUGUAUAUUCUGAUGAUGGGCUUCCUCAAAUGCCCGAGGUCUUCAUGAGCAAGCAAGUUGGAUGCACACCCACUUAGUUUCCAUUUUGAGCUUUCAUACACUUAUAGCUCUUAGUGCAUCCGUUGCAUGGCAAUCCCUACUCACUCACAUUGAUAUCUAUUGAUGGGCAUCUCCAUAGCCCGUUGAUAUGCCUAGUUGAUGUGAGACUAUCUUCUCCUUUUUGUCUUCUCCACCACCAUCAUAUUCUAUUCCACCUAUAGUGCUAUGUCCAUGGCUCACGCUCAUGUAUUGCGUGAAAGUUGAAAAGGUUUGAGAACACUAAAGUAUGAAACAAUUGCUUGGCUAAUUCCGGGGUUGUGCAUGAUUGAAAUAUUUUGUGUGAUGAAGAUGGAGCAUAGCCAGACUAUAUGAUUUUGUAGGGAUAACUUUCUUUGGCCAUGUUGUUUUGAAAAGACAUGAUUGCUUUAUUAGUAUGCUUGAAGUAUUAUUGUUUUUAUGUCAAUUGAUAGACUGUUGCUUUGAAUCACUCGUGUCUUAAUAUUCAUGCCAUGAUUAGAUACAUGAUCAAGAUUAUGCUAGGUAGCAUUCCACAUCAAAAAUUAUCUUUUUUAGCAUUUACCUACUCGAGGACGAGCAGGAAUUAAGCUUGGGGAUGCUGAUACGUCUCUGUCGUAUCUAUAAUUUUUUAUUGUUCCAUGCCAAUAUGAUACAACUUUUAUAUACUUUUUGGCAACUUUUUAUACUAUUUUUGGGACUAACAUAUUGAUCCAGUGCCCAGUGCCAGUUCAUGCUUGUUGCAUGUCUCUGUUUCGCAGAAUAUCCAUAUCAAAUGGAGUCCAAACGGGAUAAAAAUGGACGGAGAAUUAUUUUGGAAUAUUUAUGAUUUUUGGGAAGUAAAAUCAACGCGAGACGGUGCCCGAGGGGGCCACGAGGCAGGGGGCGCGCCCCAGGGGGGCAGGCGCGCCCUGGACCCUCGUGGGCACCCCGUAAGGCGGUUGACGUUCUUCUUUUGCCGCAAGAAAGCUAAUUUUAUGAGGAAAAUCUGGGCGAAAGAUUCAACCCAAUCGGAGUUAUGGAUCUCCGGAUAUAAAAGAAACGAUGAAGGGCCAGAAUCAGAGAACACAGAAACAGAGAGAGACAGAUAGACAGAUCCAAUCUCGGAGGGGCUGUCGCCCCUCCCACGCCAUGGAGACCAAGGACCAGAGGGGAAACCCUUCUCCGAUCUAGGGAGAAGGUCAAGGAAGAAGAAGAAGGAGGGGGGCUCUCUCCCCCUCGCUUCCGGUGGCGCCGGAGUGCCACCGGGGCUAUCAUCAUCACCGCCAUCGUCACCAACAACUUCACCGCCAUCAUCACCAACUCUUCCCCCCUCUAUGCAGCGGUGUAACCCCUCUUUUUCCCGCUGUAAUCUCUACUUAAACAUGGUGCUCAACGCUAUAUAUUAUUUCCCAAUGAUGUAUGGCUAUCCUAUGAUGUUUGAGUAGAUCCGUUUUGUCCUAAUGGCUAUUUGAUGAUCAAGAUUGGUUUGAGUUGCAUGUUUUAUUAUUGGUGCUAUCCUAUGGUGCUCUCCGUGUCGCGCAAGCGUGAGGGAUCCCCGCUGUAGGGUUUGCAAUAUGUUUAUGAUUUGCUUAUGGUGGGUGGCGUGAGUGACAGAAGCAUAGAGUAAGUAGGUUGUUUGCGUAUGGGAUAAAGAGGACUUGAUACUUUAAUGCUAUGGUUGGGUUUUACCUUAAUGAUCUUUAGUAGUUGCGGACGCUUGCUAGAGUUCCAAUCAUAAGUGCAUAUGAUCCAAGUAGAGAAAGUAUGUUAGCUUAUGCCUCUCCCUCAAAUAAAAUUGCAAUAGUGAUUACCGGUCUAGUUAUCGAUUGCCUAGGGACAAAUAACUUUCUCGUGACAAAAAGCUCUCUACUAAAACAAAUUUAGUUGUGUCUUCAUCUAAACAGCCCCUAGCUUUUAUUUACGCGCUCUUUAUAUUCUUGCAAACUUAUCCAAAAACACCUACAAAGUACUUCUAGCACUAGUAGAAAAGGGGGCUUUUGUCCCGGUUGGUAAGGGCCUUUAGUCCCGGUUUUUGAACCGGGACUAAAGGGUCAUUACUAAUGCCUCCCCCCUUUAGUCCCGGUUCUUACACGAACCGGGACUAAAGGGCGUCCACGUGGACACAGCCUGGAGCUCCACCUUUAGUCCCGGUUGGUGUUACCAACCGGGACUAAAGGAAAUUUUAUGAUUUUUUUUUUGAAAUUUUUUUUUUGUGAAUUUUUUUUAAAAAAAAAUGAUUUUCAAAUUUCUGAAUUAUUUUAACCUCUAAUCUCUAAUCACCACCCCUCAUCACUGCUCAAUUUAUCCUCUAAUCUCUAAUCACCCCUCAUCAUUCCAAAUCAUCUAACUUCCCGGACGGUCACCCAUCCUCUCACUACUCCAGCCUGAGCACACUUAACUUCCGGGUUCUAUUCUCCCUCAUUUCCAAGUCUCCACUUGUUGUUUUCCUGACAAUAGUAAGAUGUCAAUUCUAUUAACUCUCAGGAAUUUAGCUUGAGCAUGAAGUGACACAUUUCACUGUUUGAGUUUGAAACUAUUGUUUUAAAAAACAAUAAUUAUUUAGUAACACUAAUAUUUCUGGAAUAAUUAGUUUGACCAUUGUUUGACCACUGUUUGACCAUAGUUUGACCACAGUUUGACCAGAUUUGACCAAAAUUCAAAAAAACUGAAAUAAUUAUUUAGUAACACUAAUAUUCUAGAAUAAUUAGUUUGACCAUUGUUUGACCACAGUUUAAUUUUUUUUCCAUUUUUUCCCUCUCUAGAUCUUAAAAGCCCCAUAACUUUUUUUCUGUUAGGUUUUUGAGGAUUUUGAAAAUGUUUAACGGGGUUCCCCCCGUUAAAUUCGGAUGUAACUUUUCGAGUAGAUGAUUUUUCAUAUAAAAAACUUUUUCAUCUGAGUUCGUAUGCAAAAGUUAUGCCCAUUUUAAGAAAUUCCAGAGAGAUUUUGCAAAUAAAGUCGAAAUUCAUAUUUGUUAAUUUUCCCAACAACUAGACCACAUAUCACAUGGGAAACUUAUUUUAUUUUAUUUUUUUUACAUUUCCAUCAUUUUCUUUUGUUUUUUCUAAAACUGAAAAGGCGGUCCAGGGGGGGUAGAGUUUGAAAAUGGGCCCUUUAGUACCGGUUCGUGCCAUGAACCGGUACUAAUGCCUCAAAGCCCAUUAGUACCAGUUGGUGGCACCAACCGGUACUAAUGGGCAUCGCACCCUUUAGUCCCGGUUCGUGGCACCAACCGGGACUAAAGGGCCCAGGUGAACCGGGACUAAUGCCUUAGCCGCACGAACCGGGACCAACACAUUAGUCCCGGUUCGUGACUGAACCGGGACUAAUGUGAAUAUUGCCCUGUGACGAAAGCCCUGUUUUGUACUAAUGUAGUUUCAUACUUGUUCUAGGUAAAGCGAACGUCAAGCGUGCGUAGAGUUGUAUCGGUGGUCGAUAGAACUUGAGGGAAUAUUUGUUCUACCUUUAGCUCCUCGUUGGGUUCGACACUCUUACUUAUCAAAAGAGGCUACAAUUGAUCCCCUAUACUUGUGGGUUAUCAAUAACCAUGCGAUUUUCUAUCAAUUACCCAACAGUAAUUUGUUUACCCACUGUAUGUUAUGUGUUCAAGAGAGAAGCCUCUAGUGAAAACUAUGGCCCCCGGGUCUACUUUAAUCAUAUUGCAAAAACCAAAAAUAUCUCGCUGCAUUUUAUUUUUUAUUCAUUUUUGCAAUUUAUCUACGUUAAUAUACAAGAUUUAGUCCUUGCAAGUAACGAGUUCAAGAAGAUUGACAACCCUCUUCCCGGCGUUGGGUGCAAGUAUUUGCUUUUGUGUGUGCAAGUGCCGUUCACGAGGCUUGGUGUGAUCCUCCUAUUGGUUCGAUAAACCUUGGUUGUCACGGAGUAAAAUACUUAUCUCUAUUGUACUACUUUACCCUUCCUCUUCGGCAAAAAUUCCAACGCAGCUCACAAGUAGCAGUACCCACUAAAACAAGCAAAAGGGGGAUGCUUCGAUGCCCAGCCAUAAAUAAAACAUGGUCCCGGCGACACGGAAAUUGAGAAGAAUUAUAAAUAACUGAGUGGGUCGCACAUGGUGGGACCCAUGGUAAGGUCCUUGGAUUGCCUUUAAGCAUUGAUCUCCUAGAAACUGCGUAGAUCUUGCGGAUCCUCGGGUUGAACCUGACCUGCUAGGAAAGGAACUCGCCUGUCAAGCCGAAUACUUCAAGCCAGAAGACACCGGUCCGAAAACGAUUGCCAUCCUCGGUUUCGAAGACAAGUUCAGAGGCUACUGACGGUAUCCUGGACUAGGAGGUACCAACUUAGUUGGCCCUCAGGCCGAUCUUACAGCCCACCAAUCUCAAUAAGGAAGGACUCCGGGAGCCUCGAACCUAUACGUGAUCUAGCUAGAGACAGUCGAAGACUUGGCGUAUACUUUAAGGAUAUCUCCCGUGGAUGGCGUGUCUACUCCUAGUUGGCAACCAACCAUGUGUAACUCCAGAUACCCCCAACACAUAUAUAAGGUUAGUGGUUUAGUCUGUAGAGGCACAACCCCAAUUACUCACCUUAUGGUUAGAACAUUACAUACGAUCUCGAGGUAGAUCUACCCUGUAUUCGAUACUUCACCGCCAAUACAAUAAAAAGCAGGAUUAUGGUUUUACCUCUUCGAGAGUGCCCGAACCUGGGUAAACAUUGCGUCCCUUGUCUCGUGUUACCUAUCGAUCUGAGAUCGACAGUUUGGGACCCCCUACCCGAGAUCAGUCGAUUUUAUUACCGACACUAGGCCCUCACGAUGUGAGUAACAACCCUAGAAAUGCUUGUCUUAAAUAUUACACUCAGGGGGAAGGAGGUUAGUCUCCCACUGUAUGAAGUGAGGUAAUUUUACAACAUGGUUGGUAGAAAGUUACGUUUUGCAUAUGAAAUAUCACACUAAAAAGAGAUGAUGUAAUUUUACAACAGGAAAUGAGGUACAUGCAUACUAGAAAGUUACAUUCUGCAUGUGAUAAAAAAUGUGGCUAUGUCGACUCGCCAAGGUUAUUCUUCACUCUGUCCUAAUAGAGUAUCUAUAAUAGGGUGUCUAUAAGGAGUGAUCGAUGCGGCCAUCUCCGUGAAGCCAAAACAUCUUGUGUACAUGCCAAUGGUCUGCUUCCGGUCUUCCUCGCGCCGUCCGCCUCAGACGCGUCGAUCUGCUCCGGGCCUUCCUCGCACUGGCGUCCUCAUACACACCACACGCGGGCAUCGCCGCCGCGGUCCUGAUUUCAGUGGCACGCUCAACUCCUCUGGGCCUCCUCACACCAGCAGCAUCAGACCGUACGCGUCUGAUGCGGCCGUCCCCACGCAGCCCAGUGAGCAGGGGCGGGCCCACCUCUAUUCAAGGGUAUUCAACUGAAUACCCAUUAUUUUUGGCAAAAAACUGGUAUAUAUAGCGUAUAUAAUGUGUCUCUAUAUGCAGAAAACGAAACUGAUACAUGUACGCCCAUAAACAAAACUAGCCCAGCAGUCCACCCUCUUUUUCCCGCAAGGCCUCAACACCCACGGCCCAAAUGGCUAGAGCACACCGCACAUAUAUAUGUUGAACGGAACCAAGUUAUUAUCAAUUUUUAUUAAAAUUUCUUAUGCGAUAUUUUUUUUAUAUAGUUUAGAAAUAGUACAAUAUGCUGCUAUAAUCGGUUAUACUCGCCCAAAGUAAAGCUAUAGGCUUUCAAAAAACGUUUUCAAAUUUUGGAUACACAUCCCUCAAUUCCUGGGCCCGCCCCUGCCAGUGAGCCUGUACACACGCGUUGCUCUGCUCGAGAAUCUCCUCACGCCAAUGGCCUCUAACGCACUGGACCCAGUCAUCCUUGUUGGGAAUUAGCACACAAAUGCACUUGUGGUUAACUGAAAACUGCAGCAGAAACAAGUAAUCUCAGCACCACAUCAUAUACUAACUCAAAGAUCGUUGUUUAGCACGGAAGGAAACAUAUGCAGCAGCAUAUAGUGAGGCAGGAAAUGUUACUCAGCAGGCAAGACACUCCUCAGCCUAGCGUCUUGUGGUAGGAGUAAGUUUCUGGAAAACACCAAGCAUCAACAAAGAGACACCAGAUUUUUACGUGGAAAACCCCUCAACUUGAGGGGGAAAACCACGGGCCGAAGCCACCCAAAUCAUCUUCCACUAUUAUCAAAUGUGGGAUACAACAAGUUCUUCUCUAGACAGCACUAGAGGAUCUCAUACAUCAAGAUUUCUGAAUCUUGGAUGAACACAACAAGAUUUGGGGCUCAAGAACUAGGGAUUGGAACAAUCUCACCAAAGAUGGUGGAACCGAAGCUUGAAGGAGACAAUGUAGUGGAUCUGGACCAUCAUAACCUUGGGGAGGAGCUCCCUUUUCUUCUUCCUUCAAUCUUCCUCUUCUUCCCUUGCUCUCUUGGUUUUCUCUCUUCUUCUCUCUUGGAUGAUGAACUGAUUUUCGUCACCCUUGGUGGUGGCUGCUGAAUGGAGGGUAAAGCAUCCCAUCCACUCAUGUGCAAAGUCCAAAAUGACCCUAGGUCAUAGCCCUAAUGGGUAGUGGGCUUCUGCACCUCUUUGGGCUGCCUAAAAGGCCUCAAAUGGUCAUCUCCUCACAGCCCACAUGAGGAGGAUAUCCCAACAAUCCUCGUCGCGGCCCCAGUUCCAGCGAGAUGAAUUCGGGAAGGACAAGCUGGCUCCCCCCACCCCCAACCCCCUGCAUCCUCCCUGUCCCGGCGUCACUAUCAACACCGCAAGCCCAACCUGAAGAAGAGCGUGAGCGUCUCUUCUCCUCAUGAUUGGCCGUCACUUCAUGCACUUAUUAGCUGUUGUAGUUUUGGGUUUCUGGUGGUGUGCUUGGGCUGUUGAAUCUUCUUUCAUUUUUGUGAGACUUCUAUGGCAUGGAAAGCUUCUAUCAAGAUCGGUAUCGAUGGUGAGCUCGAGCCUUCGAUCCGAUCUGGUUUACUUGCCUCGUGAUUUGCUUGAUUUGGUGUGGUAAUGUGGUAUUAUUAUAUUUCUUGGGGCUUGCUGGUAUUUCUGAGGUGCUUGCUACCUUCAACUGGGCGAGGACAGCGACCUACGAACUACAGCAACAACGCUUCUACAGUUCAAGGCCAUGUACUCCUGUUCUUCAGUAGUUUUUUCCAUGUGCAACCGUACAUGCUAUAGGUACACAAUGUUUUCAUCCAUUGCUGCUUCUGCAUCUUUGUGUGCUUUAUUAAUAUCUAAAUUUAAUUUUCCUCGACUGAUCAUUGCCGGUCCCAGAUGCUCAUGUUCCCGUGUGUUGUUUCUUGAGAGCAUUUUGUUCUUCGGAUAAGGGUGUGACAAACUGACAAUGAAUUAGUGCUUCUUGAUGUGCAACCUAAUCGUACUUCCCAAAUUCAUAUAUAACUAUCUCACAGAUUUGGUAAGUACUGUUAGCACUAAUUUUGUCAUGAUGUAUUUGCAUAUUUGUUUUAGUUUGCAUGUAGUUAGAGUUAGCCAGGUGAUUCGGUCAAGUAGUGAUAGAUGCAUGCGUUGAGGUUGUUGGCUGCAUGCACGUACUAGUAUUUGGGAUCCUAGAGAGAUUCCAGGAGGUGGAUAAGGUCAUGGGUUAGUUCUGUUAGUACUGGAGAGUCCCUUGUACGUGGACGUGCAUGUAGGUAAUUAGUUAGUCCAUGCAUUAGUUGAGUUAGUGGCCGAGUGUGGCUGCUGGGUCAUGGCGUGAGUUGCAUGGCAGAAGUGCCUAAACUUUUUGUAUAUAUAGUGCUUUGAGUAAUGAAAAAAGAAGGCCGUGAGGGCUGAUGCAAAGAUGUAGCCACGGUGUGCCAUCAAGGGAGUGCCUUUGGCAAAGCAAUUGCAUUUCUCUUGGUGCUGGUGUGUGUGUGUUUCUUUCUCGGUUUCUUCCAGCGUGUGUGUUCUUGAGAGAAACAAGAGGAAGAGAGAGUCAUGUGAGGUAGAAGAAGAAGCGGCGCCAACAAGUACGAGCCCCAUCCUAUUCUUUAUUACAGUAUCUUUCAAGAAUCAAGACUACAAGGAAAACCCAGGUUAGUAAUAAACAAUUGAGUUUCAGUUCCUUAACAAAAAUGUAGUUGUGUUUCAGUUCUGUAAGCCCCAUCUUAUUCUUUAUUUCAGUUUCUUUCAGGGGUCAAGACUGCCAAGGACAACCCAGCUGAUUAGUAAUAAAUAAUUGUGUUUCAGUUCCUUUAAAAAAAUGUAGUUGUGUUUCAGUUCUGUAAGUAUAAAGUGCAUGCUUCAUAUUGUCAAUAAACUCAUCAAAUUAAAAAGAUGCAUGAUGUAUAGUUCUGUCCCUCCCCUGAUCUUUACACUUUUCUCUAGAUGUUCUCUUCUUUUGAUCCUUGCCGCUCUGGUUGCUCUGUGUAAAAUGCUACCCGCUUAUGAAAUGAAAAGAGCACUUGCUGGGUAUUUACACCAUGCAGCUACAAUCCUUUUAGAAAUUGUUGCUUUGUUGGAACAUAAAAGAUAAAAGCAUCCGAAGUAGGGAAUUCGGUAUACAAUGCACAACCUACAACAGCAAGACUUUCAGAAAUUGUUCUCAUUCUCACGCAAUAAUAAAUAUUUGCUUACAAUAUUGCUUGAUACCUUUGGAUGUUUACAGCAUAUAUCUCAGCUUUAGCUCAUGCCUCGCUUGAUGAUAAGAUAUCUAAGUUUUAGGUGCUCUUUAUCGGUACAAUCAUAUGGGCGCCAUAGUUUAUUAUUCUGUUCAUAUUUUAUUUUUUUCCUGUGUUACAAGACUUGGCUACAUAUAUUUGAGCAUUUGCGUACAGGUGAACAAAUGCCUCUUUUGACUCUAAUCCAAUCAAGUAUACUAGAGUUAUGUCGGUGCUCUUACCUGCCAGUUUGACAACUGAGGAUUGAAACACCUACGCUUUAGUAUUAAACUCUUUAUGUUCAUACAAUAUGUAGUAUUGUUUAACAUUUCGAGUGUAAAUAUCAAUAGAGAAAUGUGUAACAGCUCUCGUGUGCCCCUACACCCUCAGGAACAGUAAAUUCAUAAAAAAAUUGAAAAAAAAAACUUUCAGGGGUCAAAGAUUUUAUGUUCUUGCAAAGUUUCAGCAACAAAUAACCUUUGUGGAGCCCUCACCGAAAAAACAACAUCACUGCUCAAAAAUGUACAUAAACUUUGAACAAUGAUUUUGUUUUUUUACUUAGGGCUCUUCGAAUGUUAUUUUUAGCUAAAACUUUGCAAGAUCAUCAAAAGUUUGAUCAUGUUCGAUGUCCCAAAGUUUUUUUUAAUUUAUUUUGAAUUUACUGUUCAUAGAGGGUGUAGGGUCACCCGGAUGCUGAAAAUCCUAUCUCAUAUCAAUAACCCAUUGGAUCUUUAGCUGAUGCAGUAUUUCUUAUUCAUUCAUUAGGCACAAUCUUUCCUCCAAAUCAACUCAUAGAAGAUAGAAAGUCCCACAGCAACGGGGUAUCAUCUAGAGAGAGUGUGUUAGAGUGUGUGUGUGUGUAGUACAAAGUGGGGUCCAACGACUUGUACACUAUGUCAAUGGGAUAUAUAGUGUACCUUGACCCGUCAUCAAUUGAGCUGAGGUGUUUUUGUCUUACUACCUCAACUCGGUCAACCUUGCGGCGCUAUUUAUACGCCAACUCGCAUGUGUUGUGCCAUGCAGUUAGCUAGGAUACAACUGUGCAACAAAUAGGUACAGCGUGCAUCUGAUCGUCAUCCUUCCAUGGCACCAACGGGCGGUGGCGUAGUACUGGCGAUGUCAGCCCAUGUGGUCCACUGUUGUUUAGCGUACUUAUUAAUGCUAGCUAUCCAUAUGGCUGCAUGCAUCGCCCAAAUACGAGCCAGGGUUAUAUCCUUUUAAAAAAAAUACUAGCUAUCCACACAACAUCUUAAAUUCUUAAUAGAAAAAAGCAUCUUCGCAUACAAAGGGGAACGAUUGACCUUUUUUUGCAUUUUUUUAGUAAGUUAGUGAAGUGCAGGGACAAAAAUGUCUAUAAUUGAGGUUUUCUGGUCCAUGUUAUUCAGCAAAUUAAUGAGUACAAUUCAGUAGCCAUGUCCAUUAAGUAAUGGACUGGUGUUUAUGGUACUGUCUGGCACUAUAAUCAAUUGAGAUGAGGUGUCCUUUGUCUUACUCUACGCUUCUAGCUUGGACAUCACUCGGUCAAUCUUUCGGCGCUAUUUAUAUGCCAGCUCCCUGUUCUGGGUCGCGCAGUUAGCUAUAGGCUACCAUUGCACAACAAAAAGCUAUUGUGUAUCUGAGCAUAAUCCUUCCAUGGCACCAACGGACGGAGGUGCAGCUAGCGCGGCGAUGCUGCAAUUCCUCCUCUUCACUCACCUCAUCGUUGCCGCCUGCAGCAGCGGACAGGUCCAAUUAAUAUUCCAUAUAGUUGUCAAUUUAGCAUAUAUUUGAUGCAGUUAGGUAUGCGAAAUUCUCUAGAAUUCAUGAUGCCAUCGUCGCUGUCAUGACACCAUCGUUGAGUAGGAUCAAAGUCUGUAUGCUAUGUGGUAUCCGAGGUCCUCUUCACCUUUUUUUUCUCGGGGACGAGAGACCAAUUCAUCAAACUGUCCAUCUACUGUUGGUUGGUAGUGUAUGCUAUGUGCCGUGUGGUGGAGGCCAGAUGCACGCCAGUAGAGGCAUCCGCCCGUGUCAUCCUCCUCAAUCUUGUGCCGUUGUGGUGUGAUGGUUUUCAGGCCGGAUCGAACACGCUGACGGUGGACUCACGCACACAGGGAACACACGCGAACACAGAGGCGAGAGAGAUUUUGCGACGCGUAAAAACCUGCGUCUUUUCUGCUCCUUUUUUUUAUUCUCAGGUGCACGACGUCUUAGCGAUCGUGACCGAUUCCUACGCCCUCCACGAUCCUUGAUUGCCUGUGCCAUCCCACAAGACCAGAUCGUGCAGCGCUUACAACUGAAUAAGCGGAAACUAACUAACCUCCACGUGAACGCAGCACGUGUCAGGGUUAUUUGCAACAAGCAAAACAUAAAAACAAGUCUUUGACAUGAUCAGAUAAUCUGUCCAUGUCCUACUGAAAACGAAAUUCAGACUAAAUGUGACACAACGCCACAGCUAGCUCAAUAAGACUGACAUGGUGGAGGAAGGAAACUGAUGGCACAUACGGAUGAGGCCGCCAACGAACUUGCCCAGUUCUCAGGACUGGUUGCUAAAUCUUUAGAUCAAAUGGCGACCAUGCGCCGACCUCCAUGGGAGGUGGCUGGCAAACCAAAAUGAAAGCAGUUUCCUGGGCUCAGCCUGGCGUCCAUAGUUUCUUCCUCUGGUGAGUCUCUGGCGGUGUUGCUGUGCCAAACCCUCCGCCGCAAACAGUCAUGUCCACGAACACAGUUGGUUUGGGGAAGUGUUGAAACCAAUGUCUAGGACUGGAUUACAAUAUAGUUUUGUUUUCAAGGGUUCUGUCCGCCGCUUUGUUUACAAGGGUCAUGUUGCCUAAUGUUUCGAACCAGCUCUAAUUUUUAGUUUACUGAUGAGUCAGGUCGUAUGCGGUUCUUGAAUGUUUCUAAUGUGAUCUAAUGUGAAUCGGGGGUCCUUCGAGACCCUUGCAUUGUUCAGAAAAAUGUGGAUUGAUUAUUUCUUACCUACUAGUAACGUGUACAAUGCAUGUUGAUAUUAGGCAGGAUAUUAGGUGCACAUUGAUAUUAGGUAAGAUAUUAAUUGUGUUAAAUGUGUUUGGUGCUCAGCGUUGAAGCGGUUUGGACCUUUAGAUCCAUGUGGUUUUAUGUUUGAGAUUUUUGGAUCUGCUCCAUUAAUGCCUUUUAUGUAUUAGUAUAGAUAAUAAUGCCAGUAUACAAGUUUAUUAUUUUUGUACACUCCUCUAAGAGUUCGGUCAUCAGCCCUACCUGGUUAUAUUUUUAACCAAUAUUAAAUCGCAAAAUUUGGCAUGAAGUCAAACUGUGCGGACCAAAUUUGGCGGAACUUCAUAUAUUAGGCCAGUAUUAUAACAAGGAAAUAUACCUACUAGGCUUAGCAUCAAUUAAGAAUUAAUUCUGGGCCAAUUUUAUUGCAAAUUUGAAACAUUACGUCAGUUUGUAAUAAAUGUCCGAGUCCAAAAUCACCUAAAAUCUCCACCUACAGCAUGUUUGAAUUAGCUGCUCUUUCAACAAGCACGCACCAAUGGUUGCUGCUUCUUUGCAUACAUCACCAAACGCUUGUGGAAAUGGAAAUUUUGGGCUUGAUGGUACAAAAAACAAAAGGUUGUUGUUCCCUUCAAAAAAACAAAAGGUUGUUGUUUCUCAUUACUGAUACCACAACGUUUGGGGUUUUGUGUAAGUUACUCAAUUGUGCAUAAAUUUACUUUGUCUUUUUGUCUUUUUCCCACAUGUAUGCAGGGACCAAAUCUUGAAGGAACUCCUGGUGUACCUAUGGCCGUCCCCAUGCCCAUGCCGGCAAUCACAGCUGACUCACCUGACCAAUUCCGUGGAAAGCUUCGACUCCCGCGUUUUGCUAUGCCAACCCACUAUAAGCUCCAUUUCCACCCAGACCUAGUCUCCUCAACAUUUUCUAGUGUGGUGUCGAUUAAUGUCUUCAUUUUAGCGCCCACUCGUUUCCUUGUGCUAAAUGUUGUGGAACUCACCAUCGACCAUGCUUCCAUCCACUUCAAGGUACACACUGAUGUGCCGACCUGUAAUGAAAGAUCUACUCUCUAAAGAUGCUUAUUUCUUCAAAGUACAUAAUAAACGCCAUCUUCACUGGUGUCAUGGUUCCUGGUUAUUGCAGAGUUUGGAGCCAACCGACGUGGUGUUCUUCAAGGACGACCAGAUUAUGGUACUCGGGUUUCUUAAAGAGCUUCCACUAGGUGAGGGUGUGCUAAGUAUGCACUUCAAUGGCACCCUUAGCGAUGAGAUGAAGGGAUUUCACAGAGGGUAUGAGUUUCUUCUUGCAUUUUUCAUUCCUGAUAUUUCCAAUAUUUUUAAAAUAAUUCAUGCAUGAAAAUGUAAUGUUGUUGAUAUGAAGUGUUAUAUGAAGUUGCCACACACACACACACACACACACAGAGUACAAUCAAGAGUUGUAUUAAGUUGCCAUGCACCAAGAUCUAGAUAAGUCAUGUCAUUUCUCAUCACCACGCAUAGCGUUGACUUCAAAAAAUAAGCACACACCCAGUGACUAUCUAAUGGUCAGAAAAUCCAUAUAGAUUUAAUUAUGUAUAUCAAUGGAUCAUUAUGUAUACAAUAGGAGAGAUAACAGAUGAAUUGUUUGUUUCCAUAUGCUCAGAACCUUUUAGGACACCAAAGUCACUAGCUAGUGGUAUCACUACUGAAACUACAGAAGACACUAGCAUUUGGGAAGUAUGUGUGUACAACUAAUACUAUUGUAUUUCACGUUUCAUGAUUUUUUUGUGUAUUAUGCUUUCAGUAAAUACCACUAUAAGGGGGAGAUGGCAUACAUGGCGUUCACAGUGUUUGAGCCCGUGCAUGCGCGACGGUGUUUUCCUUGUUGGGAUGAACCUAAUUUCAAGGUGAUUAUCGUAAUAAGAUUUAUAGAUUCUCUAGAGGCUCAAUCUAUGAUUUUUAUUUCUUCAGCAGCAUUGUCCGUGCACUCAUAAGGCCACAAUAUGUAUGUAUGUUCGAACAACUGUAAUUCCUCAUCAGAAGUCUUAAUCUUCCUCUCAUAUGUGUGCAGCAGGGGCCUCAGUGAGGUUGUAUAUUCUAUUAUUUUUCUCACGUUAUUUCAAACUUUCAGGCUAAGUCCAAGUUAACUUUAGAAGUUCAAUCUGACUUGGUAGCUCUAUCCAACAUGCCUGUACUUGGUGAGAUGGUGGAUGGUUCUAUCAAGGUUGUCCAUUUUGAGGAAUCACCCCUGAUGUCAACUUAUUUAGUUGCCAUGGUUGUUGGUAUUUUUGAGUUUAUAGAAGGUGUGACGUCAGAAGGUAUCAAAUCCACUUUUGUUAUCGCAUUCACAUCAUCCUUUGAAAUGUCAAUGGAUUCAUUAUUUUAUACCACUUUCCACCAUUCUAAUUAUUUAGGCACCAUAGUCCGUGUGUACACCGAAGUUGGCAAGUCUAAACAAGGGCAGUUUGCAUUGGAUGUUGCAGUGAAGUCAUUGGAUCUAUAUGAUGAGUAAGAUCAUAACCUACCCAUGUAGUUAAGUAAACCAGUUGAAAAGAAGAACAUAAGUCAAUGUAAUCCCAGAGAUAAGCUGACAUGGUGUCCUAGUUUAAAAUCAUACAUAUUUUCCACCAAAACAUGUGUCACACAUUAUACUAUAUAUGAAGUUACCAAGCAAAACAUCUUGCACACGUUGUCAAGUGCACCUAAUAGCUUAACCUGGGUAUGCUCCUGAUUGUGAUAAAGUAUCUCAAGAUAUGAAAGUUAAUGGAUAGAAUCCCUAACCAGGUGUUUAUUUCCUACAUGUCUAAGUUACUUUGAAACUCCUUAUGCACUCCCUAAGCUGGACAUGAUUGGAAUCCCUGAUUUUCCUGUGGCCUUGGAAAACUUUGGAUUGGUCACAAUCGGAGAGGGGGGUUUGCUUUUGGAUGAAACGUCUACAACAUCCACCAAACUGCAGCAAGUAAGGACCGUAAUUCAUAAAGUUAUUUUUUACCUUUGUUGUCACCAGUUACUACUCACGAUUUGAAAAAUUAUGGUAUGCUACCCCACUUAACCGAUGUAUAAGAUAGAAUCCCUAACCCGGUGUUUAUUUCCUACAUGUCUAAGUUACUUUGAAACUCCUUAUGCACUCCCUAAGCUGGACAUGAUUGGAAUCCCUGAUUUUCCUGUGGCCUUGGAAAACUUUGGAUUGGUCACAAUCGGAGAGGGGGGUUUGCUUUUGGAUGAAACGUCUACAACAUCCACCAAACUGCAGCAAGUAAGGACCGUAAUUCAUAAAGUUAUUUUUUACCUUUGUUGUCACCAGUUACUACUCACGAUUUGAAAAAUUAUGGUAUGCUACCCCACUUAACCGAUGUAUAAGGCAAUCACAAUUUUGACUAAUGAUAACGUCUAAAUAUUACACCUUUUUCUUGAUGAUUGUGGUAAUGUGAAGAAAUCCUUUGUUCAUUGAUCUCAACAUCUAUUAUGUUUAGAUUGCAGUUAAUGUGGCACAUGAAUUAGCUCAUCAAUGGUGUGGCAAUCUUGUAACCAUGGAAUGGUGGAAUGACAUAUGGCUAAGUGAGGGAUUUGCUACAUGGGUAUGUUGAUGAUUAAAAUAUCAAGAAUUGAAUACCAAGUUAUUUGUGCAUGCUGAAAGUACUAGUUUUUAACAGAUGAGCCAUGAAGCAGUAGAUUCUUUUUUUCCUCAGUGGAAUAUUUGGCUGAAGUUUCUUGUGGGCAGAGUUGAAACUCUUAGAUUGGAUUCAGUGACGGGGUCUCACCCAAUCGAGGUAAUCACAUUGCUCGUUAAUGUUUCAUGACAUGUCAAGCGAUUUAAUUGUUAUGAAUUUCAUAUGACAUGGAGUAAUGUGUCUACCCAUAUAAUCUAUGGUGUAAUAUUAUUGUUAAAAUAUAAGAGUCUCAUGAAUUUUCAUUUUGACAAUAGUAAAUGAUAAUCAUUUUAUAUAAUAUUUUAAUCUGACAUCUCUAUAAUAUCAUUGGUUGAUUCAAGGUUGUCUCUUGAAAAUUCCAUGACAUGUGAGUAAAUUUUAAGAACUACACAUGUAAAAAAUUAUUAGCAAAAAUAAUAAUGAAUUUAUCAUUUUGCAGCACCGAAAUGAAAAAAAGUAGUUAAAAAUUCGUAUGAACGUUGUCUUAGCUAAUUGUGAUCAAUCCAUCAAUAUUUUCAUAUAAGAGUCAUGCACUCAACUCGCUAGGUAUUCAUCCAACCUACAGCCAAUGCAAAAAAAAUAAGACCUUCAACCAAACCUGGUUUAGCUCGUCUAGAUUGUGAAUCUCACUUGUUAGGUAUCAUUCAAAAGAACACCACGAGUGUGCUUGUGAAAUUUGAAGGAUGCCUCAUGGCCCAGAAGAAAAAGGAAGGAACGUUGUGUCCUCUCACUCGAUCCAAUUGAUGGAGGGGUCUAGGUAGGAGGAUGUAUCCUGCUCAUAAAAGUACUUUCACAUGCUCGCCCAGGAUGUACUCCAAUGGGCUUAUGCUUCGCCAUCAGGAUGCACCUUUCUGUAUUAAUUUUUUUAUUGACACGACCCCUUGCUCCCAUGUCUCGUGUUUAGUUUGAUCUCACCAGGGUAGUGUCAAAUAAAUUGGAUGAAUAGAGAAAUCAUUUGUAUCGCCUUCCACUCUUCUAUAUACACAUCACUAAGCCCCACAUAUUCUCAUUUGGCCUUUCUAGGUGAGUAUGAAAAAAGGAGAUGAUGCUUGCUAGUGCAUGACAACACUACUCUAGAUUGCUUCAUCGUGGAUGAUUGACAACCGCUCACAAUGAUGGUUGUCCGGUCAAUCCGCUUUUGGUAUUCACUUAGAUGGCAUCAUGCCUAGAAAUUUAUUAGUCCAAUUAGGAUAGAUCACUAUUUCAGUUGUUCUUCUUUCAACCAUCUUGUAUACUAAUGAUGCUCCAAGAGUUGGGGUGUGGGGGUGAGUCAUAGAUUGCAUUGAGCCCUAGUUGGAUAUCACACUCAUGCUAAUGUGGUAGAGAGGCCAUGCCAGUGGUGGAGGUAACAUGCUUCACAUCACUAGAAAACCUUGUUCUACACUACAUGCCAUGAGAACAAUUGAGCUUCCCUCUUGCAAUUUAUCUCUCUUACCAUUUCCAUUUUUUUCUUGGAAAAUAUCAUUUUUUGUACUAAUCAUUAAAAAGGUAAAAACAAUUUAUUAAUAAAUAUCACUAGAGAUUUUGAGUAGUAAAGACUCAAUUUUGCGGCUAUGUGCUUGAUUUAUCAUGUGAGAGUAUUCACAAGAAGAAUGAUCCUAUAGAUGUAAGCAGUUCGGCGGAACAAAGGUUGCGGGCUGUGGUGGACUAUUGGUUUGUGUGGUAUUAUAACACCGAGAGAGUUCGACAACAGUUCUUUCUAAUUACUCCUCCCUUCCCGGUUUUUUGGGCUUAUCACAUUUCUUGGUUUUUCCAUUUUUUAAGUCCUACAUUCACUUCUAUCCACCACAUGUUCACAUUCCGAGUCGCGUUAAAUUGAUGCAUGCAAGGAUUAAAAUGAAACCAACCAAGGCAUAUAACAAUUCCUACUCAUUCGCGGCCACCCAUGAGUAGUUAAUGCAGAUUAAAGUUUGAGUAGUUUUACAAACUACAUGAUACAUUCCUCCACUCAUCAUCUACUUUGGUUGAUGAGAUUUCAAAUAUGAACUCUCUAUACCGGAAAGGAUGCAGUAUACACUAGAAGAUUCUUUAGACAAUAUAGGUUUAACGUAUUGAUGGCAUGUUUUUAAACACCCAUGUUUUGUACAAUCGAUGGGUGCUUAAAACACUUAAAAUUAAUGUACUUUAUUAAAAAAAUAGGUUCUAAGAUGUCUGUAAGAGAGUAGGAUUUUGUAAUAUGUUUGUGAAAAGCAUCUAGGAUGACAUUCCUGGAGGGAAGCAUCCAACCAAGUACAUUACCAUGGGUAGGGGGGUCGCUCGCUAUUUAAUCUAUAAAAUCUAAUGUUUAGUUGCUACUUCGAUCAUAAUUUCCCUUUUCAUGUGUAAUUUUGUUAAAUAUGGAAGUUGAUAUUAAAACUCUUUUAAUUUCAUAUGUUAUGUUAGACAUCCGUUGUCUUGCCAAUUUCGUCAACAGAGAUUAAAUUGGAUGCAUUAACAUUUUAACUUAUCUAAAUCAUGGCAUGUAAUUCCUUUCAUGUUUUCAUUAUUAUUCUUAUAUAUGUCAGGUUGAGAUACACCAUACUAAUGAAAUCAAUGGUAUUUUUGAUGAAAUCAUUUAUGUUAAAGGUGCUUCUAUUAUUCGCAUGCUACAAAGUUUCUUGGGGGCAAAGCGUUUCCAGGUCUCGAAUCUACUAUUAUUGUUGUUGAUAGAAUACAUUUUAGAAUGUUACUUAAAAGUGUACAAAUCAAUUUCUAAAAUUCUCUUGUUCAUCAUAUUCUGGAAUGAAAUUUUAGAAGACCAGUUAUAUUUCCAUAGUCUCAUACAGUAAAGAUGAAUAAAUUUAUAUGUGGGCAUAAUUGAUUAUGUUUCAUGAAUUUUUUGUUGUUGGUUCUCUCUCUCCCCCUGGUUUUCUUGAUGUUAGUUGGAUCUGCAAAAUUUUCUCCCACUUCACUAUUCUAUACUGAACCUGAGAAACUAUUGUAGAAAGCAUUGGCUUCGUAUGUAAAGAAAUAUGCAUACUCGAAUGCUAAAACCGAGGACCUAUGGACAGUGAUUGAAGAGGAAACUGGUGAACCGUUCAAGGAUUUGAUGACUCCUUGGACGAAGGAACCAGGUGUUGGGGAACGUAGUAAUUUCAAAAAAAUUCCUACGCACACGCAAGAUCAUGGUGAUGCAUAGCAACGAGAGGGGAAAGUGUUGUCCAAGUACCCUCGUAGACCGACAGCGGAAGCGUUAUCACAACGCGGUUGAUGUAGUCGUACGUCUUCACGAUCCGACCGAUCAAGUACCGAACGUAUGGCACCUCCGAGUUCUACACACGUUCAGCUUGAUGACGUCCCUCGAACUCCGAUCCAGCCGAGUGUUGAGGGAGAGUUUCGUCAGCACGACGGCGUGGUGACGAUGAUGAUGUUCCACCGACGCAGGGCUUCGCCUAAGCUCCGCAAUGGUGUUAUCGAGGUGUAAUAUGGUGGAGGGGGGCACCGCACACGGCUAAGAGAUCUCAAGGAUCAAUUGUUGUGUCUCUGGGGUGCCCCCCUGCCCCCGUAUAUAAAGGAGCAAGGGGGAGGCAGCCGGCCAAGGGGAGAGGCGCGCCAUAGGGGGGAGUCCUACUCCCACCGGGAGUAGGACUCCUCCUUUCCUUGUGGGAGUAGGAGAAGGGAAGGGGGAAGGAGAAAGAAGGAAGGGUGCGCCCCCCUUCCCUAGUCCAAUUCGGACCAGACCAUGGGGAGGGGUGCGGCCACCUUUUGAGGCCUUUCUCUCCUUUCCCGUAUGGCCCAUUAAGGCCCAAUACGAAUUCCCGUAACUCUCCGGUACUCUGAAAAAUACCCGAAUCACUCGGAACCUUUCCGAAGACCGAAUAUAGUCGUCCAAUAUAUCGAUCUUUACGUCUCGACCAUUUCGAGACUCCUCGUCAUAUCCCCGAUCUCAUCCGGGACUCCGAACUCCUUCGGUACAUCAAAACUCAAUAAAACUGUCAUCGUAACGUUAAGCGUAAGGACCCUACGGGUUCGAGAACUAUGUAGACAUGACCGAGACACGUCUCCGGUCAAUAACCAAUAGCGGGACCUGGAUGCCCAUAGUGGCUCCCACAUAUUCUACGAAGAUCUUUAUCGGUCAGACCGCAUAACAACAUACGUUGUUCCCUUUGUCACCGGUAUGUUACUUGCCCGAGAUUUGAUCGUCGGUAUCUCGAUACCUAGUUCAAUCUCGUUACCGGCAAGUCUCUUUACUCGUUCCGUAAUACAUCAUCCCGCAACUAACUCGUUAGUCACAAUGCUUGCAAGGCUUAUAGUGAUGUGCAUUACCGAGUGGGCCCAGAGAUACCUCUCCGACAAUCGGAGUGACAAAUCCUAAUCUCGAAAUACGCCAACCCAACAAGUACCUUUGGAGACACCUGUAGAGCACCUUUAUAAUCACCCAUUUACGUUGUGAUGUUUGGUAGCACACAAAGUGUUCCUCCGGUAAACGGGAGUUGCAUAAUCUCAUAGUCAUAGGAACAUGUAUAAGUCAUGAAGAAAGCAAUAGCAACAUACUAAACGAUCGGGUGCUAAGCUAACGGAAUGGGUCAAGUCAAUCACGUCAUUCUCCUAAUGAGGUGAUCCCGUUAAUCAAAUGACAACUCAUGUCUAUGGCUAGGAAACAUAACCAUCUUUGAUUAACGAGCUAGUCAAGUAGAGGCAUACUAGUGACACUCUGUUUGUCUAUGUAUUCACACAUGUAUUAUGUUUUCGGUUAAUACAAUUCUAGCAUGAAUAAUAAACAUUUAUCAUGAUAUAAGGAAAUAAAUAAUACUUUAUUAUUGCCUCUAGGGCAUAUUUCCUUCAGUCUCCCACUUGCACUAGAGUCAAUAAUCUAGUUCACAUCGCCAUGUGAUUUAACAUUAAUAAUUCACAUCACCAUGUGAUUAACACCCAUAGUUCACAUCUCUAUGUGACCAACACUCAAAGGGUUUACUAGAGUCAAUAAUCUAGUUCACAUCGCUAUGUGAUUAACACCCAAAGAGUACUAAGGUGUGAUCAUGUUUUGAUUGUGAGAUAAUUUUAGUCAACGGGUCUGUCACGUUCAGAUCUGUAAUUAUUUUGCAAAUUUCUAUGUCUACAAUGCUCUGCACGGAGCUACUCUAGCUAAUUGCUCCUACUUUCAAUAUGUAUCUAGACCGAGACUUAGAGUCAUCUAGAUUUAGUGUCAAAACUUACAUCGACGUAACCCUUUACGACGAACCUUUUGUCACUUCCAUAAUCGAGAAACAUAUCCUUAUUCCACUAAGGAUAAUUUUGACCGCUGUCCAGUGAUCUACUCCUAGAUCACUAUUGUACUCCCUUGCCAAAAUCAGUGUAGGGUAUACAAUAGAUCUGGUACACAGCAUGGCAUACUUUAUAGAACCUAUGGCCAAGGCAUAGGGAAUGACUUUCAUUCUCUUUCUAUCUUUUGUCGUGGUCGGGCUUUGAGUCUUUACUCAAUUUCACACCUUGUAACACAGGCAAGAACUCUUUCUUUGACUGUUCUAUUUUGAACUACUUCAAAAUCUUGUUAAGGUAUGUACUCACUGAAAAACUUAUCAAGCGUCUUCAUCUAUCUCUAUAGAUCUUGAUGCUCAAUAUGUAAGCAGCUUCACCGAGGUCUAUCUUUGAAAAACUCCUUUCAAACACUCCUUUAUGCUUUGCAGAAUAAUUCUACAUUAUUUCUGAUUAACAAUAUGUCAUUCACAUAUACUUAUCAGAAAUGCUAUAGUGCUCCCACUCACUUUCUUGUAAAUACAGGCUUCACCGCAAGUCUGUAUAAAACUAUAUCCUUUGAUCAACUUAUCAAAGCGUAUAUUCCAACUCCGAGAUGCUUGCUCCAGUCCAUAGAUGGAUCGCUGGAGCUUGCAUAUUUUGUUAGCACCUUUAGGAUUGACAAGACCUUCUGGUUGCAUCAUAUACAACUCUUCUUUAAUAAAUCCAUUAAGGAAUGCAGUUUUGUUUAUCCAUUUGCCAUAUUUCAUAAAAUGCGGCAAUUGCUAACAUGAUUCAGACAGACUUAAGCAUAGAUACGAGUGAGAAACUCUCAUCGUAGUCAACACCUUGAACUUGUCGAAAAACCUUUUUGCGACAAUUCUAGCUUUGUAGAUAGUAACACUACUAUCAGCGUCCGUCUUCCUCUUGGCGAUCCAUUUAUUCUCAAUUGCUUGCUGAUCAUCGGGCAAGUCAACCAAAGUCCACACUUUGUUCUCAUACAUGGAUCUCAUCUCAGAUUUCAUGGCCUCAAGCCAUUUUGCGGAAUCUGGGCUCACCAUCGCUUCUUCAUAGUUCGUAGGUUCGUCAUGGUCUAGUAACAUAACCUCCAGAAUAGGAUUACCGUACCACUCUGGUGCGGAUCUUACUCUGGUCUACCUACGAGGUUUGGUAGUAACUUGAUCUGAAGUUUCAUGAUCAUCAUCAUUUACUUCCUCACUAAUUGGUGUAGGUGUCGCAGAAACCGGUUUCUGUGAUGAACUACUUUCCAAUAAGGGAGCAGGUAUAGUUACCUCAUCAAGUUCUACUUUCCUCCCACUCACUUCUUUCGAGAGAAACUCCUUCUCUAGAAAGGAUCCAUUCUUAGCAACAAAAGUCUUGCCUUUGGAUCUGUGAUAGAAGGUGUACCCAACAGUCUCCUUUGCGUAUCCUAUGAAGACACAUUUCUCCGAUUUGGGUUUGAGCUUAUCAGGAUGAAACUUUUUCACAUAAGCAUCGCAACCCCAAACUUUAAGAAAUGACAACUUUGGUUUCUUGCCAAACCGUAGUUCAUAAGGCGUCGUCUCAACGGAUUUUGAUGGUGCCCUAUUUAACGUGAAUGUAGCUGUCUCUAAUGCAUAACCCCAAAACGAUAGUGGUAAAUCUGUAAGAGACAUCAUAGAUUGCACUAUAUCCAAUAAAGUACGGUUAUGACGUUCGGACACACCAUUAUGCUGUGGUGUUCCAGGUGGCGUGAGUAGUGAAACUAUUUCGCAUUGUUUUAACUGAAGGCCAAACUCGUAACUCAAAUACUUUUCUCUACGAUCAGAUCGUAGAAACUUUAUUUUUCUUGUUACGAUGAUUUUCCACUUCACUCUGAAAUUAUAUGAACUUUACAAAUGUUUCAGACUUAUGUUUCAUUAAGUAGAUAUACCCAUAUCUGCUCAAAUCAUCUGUGAAUGUGAGAAAAUAACAAUAUCCGCCACGAGCCUGAAUAUUCAUUGGACCACAUACAUCUGUAUGUAUGACUUCCAACAAAUCUGUUGCUCUCUCCAUAGUUCGGGAGAACGGCGUUUUAGUCAUCUUGCCCAUGAGGCACGGUUCGCAAGCAUCAAGUGAUUCAUAAUCAAGUGAUUCCAAAAUCCCAUCAGUAUGGAGUUUCUUCAUGCGCUUUACACCAAUAUGACCUAAACGGCAGUGCCACAAAUAAGUUGCACUAUCAUUAUUAACUUUGCAUCUUUUGGCUUCAUUAUUAUGAAUAUGUGUAUCACUACGAUCGAGAUCCAACAAACCAUUUUCGUUGGUGUGUAUGACCAUAGAAGGUUUUUAUUCAUGUAAACAGAACAACAAUUGUUCUCUAACUUAAAUGAAUAACCGUAUUGCAAUAAACAUGAUCAAAUCAUAUUCAUGCUCAACGCAAACACCAAAUAACACUUAUUUAGUUUCAACACUAAUCCCGAAAGUAUAGGGAGUGUGCGAUGAUGAUCAUAUCACACUUGGAACUACUUCCAACACACAUCGUCACCUCGCCUUUUACUAGUCUCUGUUUAUUCUGCAACUCCCGUUUUCGAGUUACUACUCUUUAGCAACUGAACCAGUAUCAAAUACUGAGGGGUUGCUAUAAACACUAGUAAGUACACAUCAAUAACAUGUAUAUCCAAUAUACCUUUGUUCACUUUGCCAUCCUUCUUAUCCACCAAAUACUUGGGGCAGUUCCGCCUCCAGUGACCAGUUCCUUUGCAGUAGAAGCACUUAGUCUCAGGCUUAGGUACAGACUUGGGCUUCUUCACUUGAGUAGCAACUUGCUUGCCGUUCUUUUUGAAGUUCCCCUUCUUCCCUUUGCCCUUUUCUUGAAACUAGUGGUCUCGUCAACCAUCAACACUUGAAGUGGUCUCGUCAACCAUCAACACUUGAUGUUUUUCUUGAUUUCUACCUUCGUCGAUUUCAGCAUCACGAAGAGCUCGGGAAUUACUUUCGUCAUCCCUUGCAUACUAUAGUUCAUCACGAAGUUCUACUAACUUGGUGAUGGUGACUAGAGAAUUCUGUCAAUCACUAUUUUAUCUGGAAGAUCAACUCCCACUUGAUUCAAGCGAUUGUAGUACCCAGACAAUCUGAGCACAUGCUCACUGGUUGAGCGAUUCUCCUCCAUCUUUUAGCUAUAGAACUUCUUGGAGACUUCAUAUCUCUCAACUCGGGUAUUUGCUUGAAAUAUUAACUUCAACUCCUGGAACAUCUUAUAUGUUCCAUGACGUUCAAAACGUCUUUGAAGUCCCGAUUCUAAGCUGUUAAGCAUGGUGCACUAAACUAUCAAGUAGUCAUCAUAUUGAGCUAGCCAAACGUUCAUAACGUCUUCAUCUGCUCCUGCAAUAGGUCUGUCACCUAGCGGUGCAUCAAGGACAUAAUUUUUCUGUGCAGCAAUGAGGAUAAUCCUCAGAUCACGGAUCCAAUCCGCAUCUUUGCUACUAACAUCUUUCAACAUAAUUUUUCUCUAGGAACAUAUCAAAAAUAAACACAGGGAAGCAACAACGCGAGCUAUUGAUCUACAACAUAAUUUGCAAAAUACUAUCAGGACUAAGUUCAUGAUAAAUUUAAGUUCAAUUAAUCAUAUUACUUAAAGAACUCCCACUUAGAUAGACAUCCCUCUAAUCUUCUAAGUGAUCACGUGAUCCAUAUCAACUAAACCAUGUCCGAUCAUCACGUGAGAUGGAGUAGUUUCAAUGGUGAACAUCACUAUGUUGAUCAUAUCUACUAUAUGAUUCACGCUCGACCUUUCGGUCUCCGUGUUCCGAGGCCAUAUCUAUUAUAUGCUAGGCUCGUCAAGUUUAACCUGAGUAUUCCGCGUGUGCAACUGUUUUGCACCCGUUGUAUUUGAACGUAGAGCCUAUCACACCCGAUCAUCACGUGGUGUCUCAGCACGAAGAACUUUCGCAACGGUGCAUACUCAGGGAGAACACUUAUACUUUGAUAAUUUAGUGAAGGAUCAUCUUAUAAUGCUACCGUCAAACAAAGCAAGAUAAGAUGCAUAAAGGAUUAACGUCACAUGCAAUAAGUAUAAGUGAUAUGAUAUGGCCAUCAUCAUCUUGUGCUUGUGAUCUCCAUCUCCGAAGCACCGUGCUUGUGAUCUCCAUCUCCGAAGCACCGUCAUGAUUACCAUCGUCACCGGCGCGACACCUUGAUCUCCAUCGUAGCAUCGUUGUCGUCUCGCCAACUUAUUGCUUUUACGACUAUCGCUACCGCUUAGUGAUAAAGUAAAACUAUUACAUGGCGAUUGCAUCUCAUACAAUAAAGUGACAACCAUAUGGCUCCUGCCAGUUGCCGAUAACUCGGUUACAAAACAUGAUCAUCUCAUACAACACAUUAUAUCACAUCAUGUCUUGACCAUAUCACAUCACAACAUGCCCUGCAAAAACAAGUUAGACGUCCUCUACUUUGUUGUUGCAUAUUUUACGUGGCUGCUACGGGCUUAGCAAGAACCGUUCUUACCUACGCAUCAAAACCACAACGAUAGUUUGUCAAGUUGGUGCUGUUUUAACCUUCGCAAGGACCGGGCGUAGCCACACUCGGUUCAACUAAAGUGAGAGAGACAGACACCCGCCGGUCACCUUUAAGCAACGAGUGCUCGCAAUGGUGAAACCAGUCUCGCGUAAGCGUACGCGUAAUGUCGGUCCGGGCCGCUUCAUCUCACAAUACCGCUGAACCAAAGUAUGACAUGCUGGUAAGCAGUAUGACUUAUAUCGCCCACAACUCACUUGUGUUCUACUCGUGCAUAGCAUCAACGCAUAAAACCAGGCUCUGAUACCACUGUUGGGGAACGUAGUAAUUUCAAAAAAAAUCCUACGCACACGCAAGAUCAUGGUGAUGCAUAGCAACAAGAGGGGAGAGUGUUGUCCACGUACCCUCGUAGACCGACAGCGGAAGCGUUAUCACAACACGGUUGAUGUAGUCGUACGUCUUCACGAUCCGACCGAUCAAGUACCGAACACACGGCACCUCCGAGUUCUACACACGUUCAGCUCGAUGACGUCCCUCGAACUCCGAUCCAGCCGAGUGUUGAGGGAGAGUUUCGUCAGCACAACGGCGUGGUGACGAUGAUGAUGUUCCACCGACGCAGGGCUUCGCCUAAGCUCCGCAAUGGUGUUAUCGAGGUGUAAUAUGGUGGAGGGGGGCACCGCACACGGCUAAGAGAUCUCAAGGAUCAAUUGUUGUGUCUCUGGGGUGCCCCCCUGCCCCCGUAUAUAAAGGAGCAAGGGGGAGGCAGCCGGCCAAGGGGAGAGGCGCGCCAUAGGGGGGAGUCCUACUCCCACCGGGAGUAGGACUCCUCCUUUCCUUGUGGGAGUAGGAGAAGGGAAGGGGGAAGGAGAAAGAAGGAAGGGUGCGCCCCCCUUCCCUAGUCCAAUUCGGACCAGACCAUGGGGAGGGGUGCGGCCACCUUUUGAGGCCUUUCUCUCCUUUCCCGUAUGGCCCAUUAAGGCCCAAUACGAAUUCCCGUAACUCUCCGGUACUCCGAAAAAUACCCGAAUCACUCGGAACCUUUCCGAAGUCCGAAUAUAGUCGUCCAAUAUAUCGAUCUUUACGUCUCGACCAUUUCGAGACUCCUCUUCAUAUCCCCGAUCUCAUCUGGGACUCCGAACUCCUUCGGUACAUCAAAACUCAAUAAAACUGUCAUUGUAACGUUAAGCGCAAGGACCCUACGGGUUCGAGAACUAUGUAGACAUGACCGAGACACGUCUCCGGUCAAUAACCAAUAGCGGGACCUGGAUGCCCAUAUUGGCUCCCACAUAUUCUACGAAGAUCUUUACCGGUCAGACCGCAUAACAACAUACGUUGUUCCCUUUGUCACCGGUAUGUUACUUGCCCGAGAUUUGAUCGUCGGUAUCUCGAUACCUAGUUCAAUCUCGUUACCGGCAAGUCUCUUUACUCGUUCCGUAAUACAUCAUCCCGCAACUAACUCAUUAGUCACAAUGCUUGCAAGGCUUAUAGUGAUGUGCAUUACCGAGUGGGCCCAGAGAUACCUCUCCGACAAUCGGAGUGACAAAUCCUAAUCUCGAAAUACGCCAACCCAACAAGUACCUUUGGAGACACCUGUAGAGCACCUUUAUAAUCACCCAUUUACGUUGUGAUGUUUGGUAGCACACAAAGUGUUCCUCCGGUAAACGGGAGUUGCAUAAUCUCAUAGUCAUAGGAACAUGUAUAAGUCAUGAAGAAAGCAAUAGCAACAUACUAAACGAUCGGGUGCUAAGCUAACGGAAUUGGUCAAGUCAAUCACGUCAUUCUCCUAAUGAGGUGAUCUCGUUAAUCAAAUGACAACUCAUGUCUAUGGCUAGGAAACAUAACCAUCUUUGAUUAACGAGCUAGUCAAGUAGAGGCAUACUAGUGACACUCUGUUUGUCUAUGUAUUCACACAUGUAUUAUGUUUCCGGUUAAUACAAUUCUAGCAUGAAUAAUAAACAUUUAUCAUGAUAUAAGGAAAUAAAUAAUACUUUAUUAUUGCCUCUAGGGCAUAUUUCCUUCAGUCUCCCACUUGCACUAGAGUCAAUAAUCUAGUUCACAUCGCCAUGUGAUUUAACAUUAAUAAUUCACAUCACCAUGUGAUUAACACCCAUAGUUCACAUCUCUAUGUGACCAACACUCAAAGGGUUUACUAGAGUCAAUAAUCUAGUUCACAUCGCUAUGUGAUUAACACCCAAAGAGUACUAAGGUGUGAUCAUGUUUUGAUUGUGAGAUAAUUUUAGUCAACGGGUCUGUCACGUUCAGAUCCGUAAUUAUUUUGCAAAUUUCUAUGUCUACAAUGCUCUGCACGGAGCUACUCUAGCUAAUUGCUCCCACUUUCAAUAUGUAUCUAGACCGAGACUUAGAGUCAUCUAGAUUUAGUGUCAAAACUUGCAUCGACGUAACCCUUUACGACGAACCUUUUGUCACUUCCAUAAUCGAGAAACAUAUCCUUAUUCCACUAAGGAUAAUUUUGACCGCUGUCCAGUGAUCUACUCCUAGAUCACUAUUGUACUCCCUUGCCAAAAUCAGUGUAGGGUAUACAAUAGAUCUGGUACACAGCAUGGCAUACUUUAUAGAACCUAUGGCCAAGGCAUAGGGAAUGACUUUCAUUCUCUUUCUAUCUUUUGCCGUGGUCGGGCUUUGAGUCUUUACUCAAUUUCACACCUUGUAACACAGGCAAGAACUCUUUCUUUGACUGUUCUAUUUUGAACUACUUCAAAAUCUUGUUAAGGUAUGUACUCACUGAAAAACUUAUCAAGCGUCUUCAUCUAUCUCUAUAGAUCUUGAUGCUCAAUAUGUAAGCAGCUUCACCGAGGUCUAUCUUUGAAAAACUCCUUUCAAACACUCCUUUAUGCUUUGCAGAAUAAUUCUACAUUAUUUCUGAUUAACAAUAUGUCAUUCACAUAUACUUAUCAGAAAUGCUAUAGUGCUCCCACUCACUUUCUUGUAAAUACAGGCUUCACCGCAAGUCUGUAUAAAACUAUAUCCUUUGAUCAACUUAUCAAAGCGUAUAUUCCAACUCCGAGAUGCUUGCUCCAGUCCAUAGAUGGAUCGCUGGAGCUUGCAUAUUUUGUUAGCACCUUUAGGAUUGACAAGACCUUCUGGUUGCAUCAUAUACAACUCUUCUUUAAUAAAUCCAUUAAGGAAUGCAGUUUUGUUUAUCCAUUUGCCAUAUUUCAUAAAAUGCGGCAAUUGCUAACAUGAUUCAGACAGACUUAAGCAUAGAUACGAGUGAGAAACUCUCAUCGUAGUCAACACCUUGAACUUGUCGAAAAACCUUUUUGCGACAAUUCUAGCUUUGUAGAUAGUAACACUACUAUCAGCGUCCGUCUUCCUCUUGGCGAUCCAUUUAUUCUCAAUUGCUUGCUGAUCAUCGGGCAAGUCAACCAAAGUCCACACUUUGUUCUCAUACAUGGAUCUCAUCUCAGAUUUCAUGGCCUCAAGCCAUUUUGCGGAAUCUGGGCUCACCAUCGCUUCUUCAUAGUUCGUAGGUUCGUCAUGGUCUAGUAACAUAACCUCCAGAAUAGGAUUACCGUACCACUCUGGUGCGGAUCUUACUCUGGUCUACCUACGAGGUUUGGUAGUAACUUGAUCUGAAGUUUCAUGAUCAUCAUCAUUUACUUCCUCACUAAUUGGUGUAGGUGUCGCAGAAACCGGUUUCUGUGAUGAACUACUUUCCAAUAAGGGAGCAGGUAUAGUUACCUCAUCAAGUUCUACUUUCCUCCCACUCACUUCUUUCGAGAGAAACUCCUUCUCUAGAAAGGAUCCAUUCUUAGCAACAAAAGUCUUGCCUUUGGAUCUGUGAUAGAAGGUGUACCCAACAGUCUCCUUUGGGUAUCCUAUGAAGACACAUUUCUCCGAUUUGGGUUUGAGCUUAUCAGGAUGAAACUUUUUCACAUAAGCAUCGCAACCCCAAACUUUAAGAAACGACAACUUUGGUUUCUUGCCAAACCGUAGUUCAUAAGGCGUCGUCUCAACGGAUUUUGAUGGUGCCCUAUUUAACGUGAAUGUAGCUGUCUCUAAUGCAUAACCCCAAAACGAUAGUGGUAAAUUGGUAAGAGACAUCAUAGAUUGCACUAUAUCCAAUAAAGUACGGUUAUGACGUUCGGACACACCAUUAUGUUGUGGUGUUCCAGGUGGCGUGAGUAGUGAAACUAUUUCGCAUUGUUUUAACUGAAGGCCAAACUCGUAACUCAAAUACUUUUCUCUACGAUCAGAUCGUAGAAACUUUAUUUUUCUUGUUACGAUGAUUUUCCACUUCACUCUGAAAUUAUAUGAACUUUUCAAAUGUUUCAGACUUAUGUUUCAUUAAGUAGAUAUACCCAUAUCUGCUCAAAUCAUCUGUGAAUGUGAGAAAAUAACAAUAUCCGCCACGAGCCUGAAUAUUCAUUGGACCACAUACAUCUGUAUGUAUGACUUCCAACAAAUCUGUUGCUCUCUCCAUAGUUCGGGAGAACGGCGUUUUAGUCAUCUUGCCCAUGAGGCACGGUUCGCAAGCAUCAAGUGAUUCAUAAUCAAGUGAUUCCAAAAUCCCAUCAGUAUGGAGUUUCUUCAUGCGCUUUACACCAAUAUGACCUAAACGGCAGUGCCACAAAUAAGUUGCACUAUCAUUAUUAACUUUGCAUCUUUUGGCUUCAUUAUUAUGAAUAUGUGUAUCACUACGAUCGAGAUCCAACAAACCAUUUUCGUUGGUGUGUAUGACCAUAGAAGGUUUUUAUUCAUGUAAACAGAACAACAAUUGUUCUCUAACUUAAAUGAAUAACCGUAUUGCAAUAAACAUGAUCAAAUCAUAUUCAUGCUCAACGCAAACACCAAAUAACACUUAUUUAGUUUCAACACUAAUCCCGAAAGUAUAGGGAGUGUGCGAUGAUGAUCAUAUCACACUUGGAACUACUUCCAACACACAUCGUCACCUCGCCUUUUACUAGUCUCUGUUUAUUCUGCAACUCCCGUUUUCGAGUUACUACUCUUUAGCAACUGAACCAGUAUCAAAUACUGAGGGGUUGCUAUAAACACUAGUAAGUACACAUCAAUAACAUGUAUAUCCAAUAUACCUUUGUUCACUUUGCCAUCCUUCUUAUCCACCAAAUACUUGGGGCAGUUCCGCCUCCAGUGACCAGUUCCUUUGCAGUAGAAGCACUUAGUCUCAGGCUUAGGUACAGACUUGGGCUUCUUCACUUGAGUAGCAACUUGCUUGCCGUUCUUUUUGAAGUUCCCCUUCUUCCCUUUGCCCUUUUCUUGAAACUAGUGGUCUCGUCAACCAUCAACACUUGAAGUGGUCUCGUCAACCAUCAACACUUGAUGUUUUUCUUGAUUUCUACCUUCGUCGAUUUCAGCAUCACGAAGAGCUCGGGAAUUACUUUCGUCAUCCCUUGCAUACUAUAGUUCAUCACGAAGUUCUACUAACUUGGUGAUGGUGACUAGAGAAUUCUGUCAAUCACUAUUUUAUCUGGAAGAUCAACUCCCACUUGAUUCAAGCGAUUGUAGUACCCAGACAAUCUGAGCACAUGCUCACUGGUUGAGCGAUUCUCCUCCAUCUUUUAGCUAUAGAACUUCUUGGAGACUUCAUAUCUCUCAACUCGGGUAUUUGCUUGAAAUAUUAACUUCAACUCCUGGAACAUCUUAUAUGUUCCAUGACGUUCAAAACGUCUUUGAAGUCCCGAUUCUAAGCUGUUAAGCAUGGUGCACUAAACUAUCAAGUAGUCAUCAUAUUGAGCUAGCCAAACGUUCAUAACGUCUUCAUCUGCUCCUGCAAUAGGUCUGUCACCUAGCGGUGCAUCAAGGACAUAAUUUUUCUGUGCAGCAAUGAGGAUAAUCCUCAGAUCACGGAUCCAAUCCGCAUCUUUGCUACUAACAUCUUUCAACAUAAUUUUUCUCUAGGAACAUAUCAAAAAUAAACACAGGGAAGCAACAACGCGAGCUAUUGAUCUACAACAUAAUUUGCAAAAUACUAUCAGGACUAAGUUCAUGAUAAAUUUAAGUUCAAUUAAUCAUAUUACUUAAAGAACUCCCACUUAGAUAGACAUCCCUCUAAUCUUCUAAGUGAUCAUGUGAUCCAUAUCAACUAAACCAUGUCCGAUCAUCACGUGAGAUGGAGUAGUUUCAAUGGUGAACAUCACUAUGUUGAUCAUAUCUACUAUAUGAUUCACGCUCGACCUUUCGGUCUCCGUGUUCCGAGGCCAUAUCUGUUAUAUGCUAGGCUCGUCAAGUUUAACCUGAGUAUUCCGCGUGUGCAACUGUUUUGCACCCGUUGUAUUUGAACGUAGAGCCUAUCACACCCGAUCAUCACGUGGUGUCUCAGCACGAAGAACUUUCGCAACGGUGCAUACUCAGGGAGAACACUUAUACUUUGAUAAUUUAGUGAAGGAUCAUCUUAUAAUGCUACCGUCAAACAAAGCAAGAUAAGAUGCAUAAAGGAUUAACAUCACAUGCAAUCAAUAUAAGUGAUAUGAUAUGGCCAUCAUCAUCUUGUGCUUGUGAUCUCCAUCUCCGAAGCACCGUGCUUGUGAUCUCCAUCUCCAAAGCACCGUCAUGAUCACCAUCGUCACCGGCGCGACACCUUGAUCUCCAUCGUAGCAUCGUUGUCGUCUCGCCAACUUAUUGCUUUUACGACUAUCGCUACCGCUUAGUGAUAAAGUAAAACUAUUACAUGGCGAUUGCAUCUCAUACAAUAAAGCGACAACCAUAUGGCUCCUGCCAGUUGCCGAUAACUCGGUUACAAAACAUGAUCAUCUCAUACAACACAUUAUAUCACAUCAUGUCUUGACCAUAUCACAUCACAACAUGCCCUGCAAAAACAAGUUAGACAUCCUCUACUUUGUUGUUGCAUAUUUUACGUGGCUGCUACGGGCUUAGCAAGAACCGUUCUUACCUACGCAUCAAAACCACAACGAUAGUUUGUCAAGUUGGUGCUGUUUUAACCUUCGCAAGGACCGGGCGUAGCCACACUCGGUUCAACUAAAGUGAGAGAGACAGACACCCGCCGGUCACCUUUAAGCAACGAGUGCUCGCAAUGGUGAAACCAGUCUCGCGUAAGCGUACGCGUAAUGUCGGUCCGGGCCGCUUCAUCUCACAAUACCGCUGAACCAAAGUAUGACAUGCUGGUAAGCAGUAUGACUUAUAUCGCCCACAACUCACUUGUGUUCUACUCGUGCAUAGCAUCAACGCAUAAAACCAGGCUCUGAUACCACUGUUGGGGAACGUAGUAAUUUCAAAAAAAAUCCUACGCACACGCAAGAUCAUGGUGAUGCAUAGCAACAAGAGGGGAGAGUGUUGUCCACGUACCCUCGUAGACCGACAGCGGAAGCGUUAUCACAACACGGUUGAUGUAGUCGUACGUCUUCACGAUCCGACCGAUCAAGUACCGAACACACGGCACCUCCGAGUUCUACACACGUUCAGCUCGAUGACGUCCCUCGAACUCCGAUCCAGCCGAGUGUUGAGGGAGAGUUUCGUCAGCACAACGGCGUGGUGACGAUGAUGAUGUUCCACCGACGCAGGGCUUCGCCUAAGCUCCGCAAUGGUGUUAUCGAGGUGUAAUAUGGUGGAGGGGGGCACCGCACACGGCUAAGAGAUCUCAAGGAUCAAUUGUUGUGUCUCUGGGGUGCCCCCCUGCCCCCGUAUAUAAAGGAGCAAGGGGGAGGCAGCCGGCCAAGGGGAGAGGCGCGCCAUAGGGGGGAGUCCUACUCCCACCGGGAGUAGGACUCCUCCUUUCCUUGUGGGAGUAGGAGAAGGGAAGGGGGAAGGAGAAAGAAGGAAGGGUGCGCCCCCCUUCCCUAGUCCAAUUCGGACCAGACCAUGGGGAGGGGUGCGGCCACCUUUUGAGGCCUUUCUCUCCUUUCCCGUAUGGCCCAUUAAGGCCCAAUACGAAUUCCCGUAACUCUCCGGUACUCCGAAAAAUACCCGAAUCACUCGGAACCUUUCCGAAGUCCGAAUAUAGUCGUCCAAUAUAUCGAUCUUUACGUCUCGACCAUUUCGAGACUCCUCUUCAUAUCCCCGAUCUCAUCUGGGACUCCGAACUCCUUCGGUACAUCAAAACUCAAUAAAACUGUCAUUGUAACGUUAAGCGCAAGGACCCUACGGGUUCGAGAACUAUGUAGACAUGACCGAGACACGUCUCCGGUCAAUAACCAAUAGCGGGACCUGGAUGCCCAUAUUGGCUCCCACAUAUUCUACGAAGAUCUUUACCGGUCAGACCGCAUAACAACAUACGUUGUUCCCUUUGUCACCGGUAUGUUACUUGCCCGAGAUUUGAUCGUCGGUAUCUCGAUACCUAGUUCAAUCUCGUUACCGGCAAGUCUCUUUACUCGUUCCGUAAUACAUCAUCCCGCAACUAACUCAUUAGUCACAAUGCUUGCAAGGCUUAUAGUGAUGUGCAUUACCGAGUGGGCCCAGAGAUACCUCUCCGACAAUCGGAGUGACAAAUCCUAAUCUCGAAAUACGCCAACCCAACAAGUACCUUUGGAGACACCUGUAGAGCACCUUUAUAAUCACCCAUUUACGUUGUGAUGUUUGGUAGCACACAAAGUGUUCCUCCGGUAAACGGGAGUUGCAUAAUCUCAUAGUCAUAGGAACAUGUAUAAGUCAUGAAGAAAGCAAUAGCAACAUACUAAACGAUCGGGUGCUAAGCUAACGGAAUUGGUCAAGUCAAUCACGUCAUUCUCCUAAUGAGGUGAUCUCGUUAAUCAAAUGACAACUCAUGUCUAUGGCUAGGAAACAUAACCAUCUUUGAUUAACGAGCUAGUCAAGUAGAGGCAUACUAGUGACACUCUGUUUGUCUAUGUAUUCACACAUGUAUUAUGUUUCCGGUUAAUACAAUUCUAGCAUGAAUAAUAAACAUUUAUCAUGAUAUAAGGAAAUAAAUAAUACUUUAUUAUUGCCUCUAGGGCAUAUUUCCUUCAGUCUCCCACUUGCACUAGAGUCAAUAAUCUAGUUCACAUCGCCAUGUGAUUUAACAUUAAUAAUUCACAUCACCAUGUGAUUAACACCCAUAGUUCACAUCUCUAUGUGACCAACACUCAAAGGGUUUACUAGAGUCAAUAAUCUAGUUCACAUCGCUAUGUGAUUAACACCCAAAGAGUACUAAGGUGUGAUCAUGUUUUGAUUGUGAGAUAAUUUUAGUCAACGGGUCUGUCACGUUCAGAUCCGUAAUUAUUUUGCAAAUUUCUAUGUCUACAAUGCUCUGCACGGAGCUACUCUAGCUAAUUGCUCCCACUUUCAAUAUGUAUCUAGACCGAGACUUAGAGUCAUCUAGAUUUAGUGUCAAAACUUGCAUCGACGUAACCCUUUACGACGAACCUUUUGUCACUUCCAUAAUCGAGAAACAUAUCCUUAUUCCACUAAGGAUAAUUUUGACCGCUGUCCAGUGAUCUACUCCUAGAUCACUAUUGUACUCCCUUGCCAAAAUCAGUGUAGGGUAUACAAUAGAUCUGGUACACAGCAUGGCAUACUUUAUAGAACCUAUGGCCAAGGCAUAGGGAAUGACUUUCAUUCUCUUUCUAUCUUUUGCCGUGGUCGGGCUUUGAGUCUUUACUCAAUUUCACACCUUGUAACACAGGCAAGAACUCUUUCUUUGACUGUUCUAUUUUGAACUACUUCAAAAUCUUGUUAAGGUAUGUACUCAUUGAAAAACUUAUCAAGCGUCUUCAUCUAUCUCUAUAGAUCUUGAUGCUCAAUAUGUAAGCAGCUUCACCGAGGUCUAUCUUUGAAAAAAUCCUUUCAAACACUCCUUUAUGCUUUGCAGAAUAAUUCUACAUUAUUUCUGAUUAACAAUAUGUCAUUCACAUAUACUUAUCAGAAAUGUUGUAGUGCUCCCACUCACUUUCUUGUAAAUACAGGCUUCACCGCAAGUCUGUAUAAAACUAUAUCCUUUGAUCAACUUAUCAAAGCGUAUAUUCCAACUCCGAGAUGCUUGCUCCAGUCCAUAGAUGGAUCGCUGGAGCUUGCAUAUUUUGUUAGCACCUUUAGGAUUGACAAGACCUUCUGGUUGCAUCAUAUACAACUCUUCUUUAAUAAAUCCAUUAAGGAAUGCAGCUUUGUUUAUCCAUUUGCCAUAUUUCAUAAAAUGCGGCAAUUGCUAAACAAUUCUAGCAUGAAUAAUAAACAUUUAUCAUGAUAUAAGGAAAUAAAUAAUACUUUAUUAUUGCCUCUAGGGCAUAUUUCCUUCACCAGGAUAUCCUGUGAUUAAUGUAAAACAUGAAGGGGAACACAUCCAACUUGAACAGGUAAUCUUAUCUAAAAUGUAUUCUUCAUUUGUUUUAUGUUGUGCAUCUAUAUCGAAUUACUAACCAUAGAGUACUUACAAACAUGUAUCAUUUGUUUUGGAUGUCCCUAUUUAUUUAGUUGACAUAUUUUUGGUGUAGUUUGGAUUAGUCCUUCUCUAGAAUUCCUAUGAGCAUCUAUUCACUCACAUUGAAAAUAUGUGGAUUGGACCUUUAUUUUUGUUGCUUACUCCUAUUAUUUUUUGGAGGUGGUUUGGUAGAAUUCCUCUGAAAAAGGAACUGCGGCAUGUUUUGGGGAAUAUCCUGUAGUCCCUAUAUUGAUAUACCCAAACCUACUAAAAACUAACAUUCUUAUAUAGGGAAUCACGUUGUGCAAACCUUGCAAUGCUAAGCCAUUUUUUCUUCCCCUCUUGACCAAAUUGCUCUAUAUCAUUUAUUACAUGCGACGGUAGCUGUGUCGCAUAGACCUCGGCGUUCAUGCGAGCUAUGGGCCACAGGUACAUUGUCUAGAUAGUAGACGUCGCAUGAGGAGAGGGUCUGCAAAAGUAGUCAUGUCGUCCAGGCUUUGAAGUCCACUCGAGGGGUGCAUUCCAUGACCAUAUGUCAUAGAGAAGGCCAGGGACUCAUUUAAUCAAUUUUAAUAUUGUACAUUUCUUCACAUAUAUUGUUUCGUUUCAUUACAGGCCAAGUUUGAGUUAGAUGGAUCCUCUCGAUCUAGCUUGUGGGAUGUGCCAAUAACUCUAAGAUGUACAUCAUCAACAGAAAAGUUCAUUUUGAAACAUAAGCAUGACAAGUUGGAUUUAUGUUGUAAACGACAGAAGGAUAGAAAUAUUUGGAUUAAGUUAAACAUAAAUGAAACAGGAUUUUAUCGAGUGAAGUAUGAUAAAGAAAUUACAACUGCACUUUCAUAUGCAUUAGAGGCCAGUGAGUUCUCUUCAAUGGAAAAAAUUGGUAUGCAUAGCAUCUUUCACUAUUAAGUUUUGUUUGCAAUAUCUGGGUGAUAGCAUAAUAUAACAUCGGUUUUCCAGGAAUUUUGGACAACGCACUUGUGCUUUCCAUGUCCUACGAACACACACUAGCUUCGUUGCUACAUAUAGUUUACGCUUGUCGUGAAGAAACCGACUACAAUGUUGUCCCACACAUAUGUGAUGUAUGUAUAUUCCAGUUUUCAACCUAUUUCCCCUAUAUUCCUUUUAUACAUAUUAAUUAUCUAUGUAUUUUCCUUUGGCUUUGCAGAUAACUAGAAGCGUUUCCCAGAUAACUUUUGAUGCCGCACCUAACUUGGCUGGUGACAUCAGACAACUUCUCAUCAAAAUUCUUUUGUCACCUACUCUGUAUGACAUGUCACAGUUUUAAUCUUAUGUUAACCACUACAUACUUACUUAAAUAUUCCUAUUUCAUGGCAAAUAUGCACUCUAGCAUAUAUGCAAUAUUUUCAUUAUUACUAUAUCUUGGCUAUAACCUCAUUUGUGUACUCUUCUUUUACAGAAAGUUAGGCUGGGACCCCAAGGAUGGUGAGGGGGACCUAGUUGUAGGUCUUAGAGAAACUAUCUUGGUUGCCCUUGUCAAACUUGGACAUGAUAAAACCAUUAAUGAAGGUGUUAAGCGCUUUCACAUAUUAAAGCAUGAUAACAACUCCUCUAUUCUUUCUCCACACACUAGAAAGGUUUGAUAUUUUUCCCUUACUUCACAUGGUCCUCAUAUCUUGCUUCUUCCAUUUUUCUGCCGUGCAAUUUACUAUAGGCUGCAUACCUCUCUAUGAGGAAAAAAUCUAGUAGCUUAGAUAGAUCUGGCUAUGAUGAUCUUCGACAACUCUACAAGGACUUGGGAGAUGAGGAGGAAAAGCUACGCAUGUUAGGUACAUAACUAUUUUACCAUCCUAAAUUAAAAAUCUUCUUUAUGAUGGUUGUUGGUUAUCUUGAAAGAAUCCUCUAAUUGUUUCUAGGUGUAUUGUCUUCUUGCUCGGAUAUGGAAAUUGUUCUCGAGUCAUUGAAUUUAAUAUUCACUAAUGAGGUUGCCAAUGAACCUAUUUGCUCCUUCCUCGGUUAUACAUGAUUAAAAUAAUCAUGCAAUAUAAAUUACAUUUUGGACUCACCUCUCUCUCCUCCUUGUAGGUACCAAAUCAACAUGCAAUUGAUGUUCUUAAUGGUAUUACAAUAGAGGCACGUGAAAUUGCAUGGAUAUGGUUGAAGGUACAUUCUAUUUUAUUAAGUAUGGUGGGCAUACUGUUUAGAAAGUUGAAACUUUAAAUCAUUAUAGAAAAAAUUUAUUAUGUAGGAAUUUUGGACUAAAUUAAAAAUCCACGUAUAGUAUUCUAAUGCUUACCAAUAGGUUCCCAACAUAAGAGAAAUUAUUAACUGAGCUCAUUUCUAGUAAUUUUAUCAAUUUAGAAGUUGCGGGAGUUUAGAUGCUAACCAUUAAUAAAUUGAGAUCAAUUGCAUUAUGUCCUAAUAAAUGUACAAAUUUGAACAAAAAAUUCAAGACAUACAACUAAUUAACUCACACCUUAAAAUGUUUAUGUUAAAUUGGUUUGUUGUGUUUUAAGUACCAUAUCAUCGGACGCCAAACAUUUAGAAGUACGCUCUUAUAUAAGUGAUUGACAACAUGCACAAGUUUUUUGUGAAUAUGACAAGAUGUUCAAAUUACUAUGUGUGGACACUAGUUUGUUUGUGUCGAUGCAUAAGAGAAUAGGUAGAGGCCAUUGUUUAACCAAAUCUGAAAGAUUAUUGGCCUAUUACCAUGUCGAUAAUUGUAUCAUCACUUAAGAAGACUAAAACAUUGGCACCUAGUAGGUGCACUACAAGAAAGAUUAUUACUAAGCAACACAAUACAUUCUAAAAUUCUUUUCUAAAGUCUUUUUAUAUGCCCUAGUUUGAAUCAAUGUGUGAAACUUAUUCACUUAACACCUAAUUUUGGAAAUUGAUUAUUUCCCUAUAUCAUCUAUUUGCCUGGUAUAUGGUAAAUGCUUCAUGUCAAUAUUUUUAGGUCGUUAGCUUUUUUAAAACAUCAUCCUUAUAUCGUCAAAUUUGUGUCUUUACUUCCAUUCACAGGGAAAUUGGGACCGUAUCUUGAAGGUUGUUCCUAAGAAGGACCUAUGGUCAAGUAUUGUCGACAACAUUGUUCCAUUGGUACAUUCAUAGGAACUUCCUAUGCCCCGAUUUGGCAAUUUAUAUACUUCUUAUUAAUCAAUCUUUAGCCGUUGUUACCAUUAGAUUGUUUCUAAUGUGCACUGCCUUUUUUAUGUUAGUUCAACUCCAAUGAUAAGGUAGAAGAGAUCAUCAAGUUCUUCACAAAGUACCCAGAGCCGAGUCUGCAGGGUUUGCUACAAAACAAACUUCGUAUGGUACACAUCAACAUGAAAUGGACUAAGGGUAUCCAGAGUGAGCCCAUGCUUGAACAGACGGUGCAUGAAGUACUUCACAAGCCCUAAUGUGGGUAUUCUGGUAGCAUUAUGAUUAUUAUGAUGUACUGUCACAGUGAACCUAGAAGCUGCUUCCUUGUUGUACUAUUAUGGUUCGCAAUAAAAUGCUCUGCUUCCUUAUUAUGUAUAGAAGAUGUCUCUUUCGGCUUGUAUAAUGUUCAAAAGGCAUGAAGAUAAACCUAUAGAAUUGAAGAAAAACUAUAGCUGCAAAUAAGAGAAUGCCCAUGGUGAAAUAUUGUUCACAUCAAUCAAAAUAAUAGUUUAUUGCAACCGUAGAUGAACAAGUCAUUCCAAAAUCUCAUAGGCAAGGUUAAGGGCAUGCCACCUCUGCACUAACUAACACCUCCUAUGGCUUGUGCUCCCGAUGCAUCACCGACUAUGCCGGCUCCAACAUGGAACCAGACUGCUUUUCUUCAUGCCAUGAAUGCCCACACCAACCAAAACAAUUGCGGUUGGCUCUUCAAGUUGGGCAUAAUUCACAUAUGUAGGCCAGAAAAUGGUAUGUUUUCAACACAUCUCCAAAUAUCCUCCUUUCAUCCCAAUCACAGUUGGCAAGAAGAUCCAUCGGAGUCAACAUCCUUACAUCCAUGCCAUCUUCUUUGUUUUCUUCCUUACCAUCCAUGUUAACCUCAAUCUAAUAUAUUUUCCCUAAUUUACAUGUUGUUCCGAAGGAGGGGAAAUUGCCAAAAGUUGCAGAAAAGCACCAAAACAAGGAACAGUGAAGAAAAUAUUUUUCUGGAGCCCAAAUAAAUCCAACAAGAUCAGAAAGUUAUUUUCAUGCGGGGAGAGAGUCAUGCGGUCACACUCCCUCUACAGGCCUUUGUGGGGCCCACAUGGCCACACGACAUGGCGAGGCCAAGUGUCGUGAGCCAGGGGCACAUGGGGCCCACAGGGCACUCCCUCGAUGCUCUCAAGUACUCCUGGUCCUAUUUUACCCUGAAAACUCUAUCUCUAUUUGAUGAUUUUUUUUCUACCACCAUCUUUGAAGGGGAAACUGAGCGGAGCACUUUUUUGCUCCUGGAGGGUUGUUUCUUUGGGGUCCUUCCCUCUAGGUAGGGGAAUUUGAAUCCAUCGACAUCACCAACACUCUAUUCAUUAUGGGGAUCAUCAUCAUCACCACCAUCAUCAUCAUCAUCAUCACAAGCACCAUCUGUGUACUCAUACAUCUCUAGACCUAGCCGCAAAAUGUAAACUAUUAUAUGAGACCAGUUGCGGUGAUCACUUCCUGGUGUUAAUUACUGCUUAGUACAUUAUCCUUAGUGAUUUGUUGGUAAAAUAUAUGUAUGCUCGUAUUGUUUAUAAUACCAUUAUCACACUGAUCAUGAUUCAUAUGAUGUCUUGUGAGUAGUUUUUUAUGUUCUUCGGGACUUGGGAGAAACCUUGUUGCUAGUAACCAUGUGAAUUGAGUAAAGUUCAAUGUUUUGAUAUUAUGUUGUGUUGUAAUUCUCUAUGGACGUCAACUGCAUAUUGCCUCACCUUUGUGGGCAUAAAGGAGAGUAUUAUGUGAUAAGUUUGCUUAGGAUGGAUGGUCGAGUGACAGAUAUUACCAUGUCGUACUGUUAGUAUGCUCUCUAGCUGGUAGGCAACUUAGAGGUGAAGCUAGUCAGCUUGGUAGUCAUCGUAACCAACUUAGAAAGAAAUCCCGCUGAUAGGUAGUCAUAGAAGGAAAAAAAAAGAAGUUUCUUUCCUAUAGCACUAAAGUUGCCUCCGUAGCACCCAAACUUGCCCUUGAAAAAAGUUUGACAAAACCGACCCAUAUGGGAUCUAGUUUUUAAGAACUCGUUGUGAUAAACCUAGUGGUGAAAAUGGAUCAUAAUUCCAACGCUAGGAUCAAAAGUUGUGCCUUCCAAUUAUUUUUUUGAAACACCAAAGAAAUGCAUGUGGGACAAGAUCUUGACUGAUUUCUUUGAUAGCAUGGGAUCGGAUACUUUCAUUUAUGGAUUUUUGUUGGUCCUGGGAUCACGUGGGCACGAGAGGGGUGGUCCGAAGACAUCAAUUUUCUUUUUUAGAAAGUGAUAGCCUGGCAUUCCAUAUAUGGGCAUCUGCUCGCCAAGACCAUCAAGCACGUGGGGGCUUCCUAGCCGCAUCCUAGUAAAGAAAUGUAGGUGGCAUGCUUGUCUUCUUGAAAUAGACAAGUCUACAGAUAUUAUAAGUAUAUCUUAUUAAGACUGGAUUUUCAGAAACUUUAUGUCUCUUUAUAUAGACAAAAAAUAGUGAUAUUAGUAGAGUAGAAAACUGAAUGUUUUUAUUGUUCACACAUUUGGUCAAUAGAGCCAGUAAAUUUGUGUAUGCAUACUAUUUUCAUGUUCUUAGACAAUGUUUUUCUUCAUGAGAGUUUCCUAGUGCGAGGCCUUAUCUGCAACCUUGAUAGUGCAUUUCACUGAAAAAGGUGUUCGCCCCGCUUUAUAUAUAAAGCAACUGUCACAAGCCGAGUCCAACAAGAUAGCAAUACAAAAGAUGACGCACACCAUAAACGAACACAAAAGGUAGCACAAAUAGGGGUUAUGUUGAUGUCCGGCUCCGGUGGUGGUGGAGGAAGCAGAGGCGCCAAGCGAAGCGCCAGAGAACUAAAUCUGCCAGUGAUGGUGUCGAUGGCAUCACGCUCCUGGCCGCGGCUAAGCGGCUUCCACAGCUUCAGAAAGCCAUAAAGUUCAUAAACAGCGUCAGUAGGCCGCCGAAGAGGAGUCCGUUCAAUCACAAGCUUAUUGUGAAUUUUCCACAAUUUCCAUGUUAGGACCCACAUCACCACCACCUAAUGUGGACGUACCCAACGGUUGAAUCUUGCCACUACUUGUAAAUGUCGGGGAAGUUAGUGUGGCACCACCUGCCACCCAUCACAUCCCGGAAGCAUGACCCGAGGAACUGAACUGAAGCAAAUGUGAAAAAAAAUAUGGUUGGAAUCUUCUGUCGUGCCACACAGAGGGCAGAUACCAUCGCUAGGGCCAUUACGCUUAAGCACCUCCACCCCUGAAGGUACUCGACCGCGAAUCCAUUACCCAAGGAAAAUCCUAAUUUUCAGCGGAAGCUUAAUCGUCCAAAUUUGGACAAGGGGCGCUAGGGCGGGUGUGAGGGCAAUGACCUGAUACAACAAACUAGUAUCAUGAAACCUGGUCUGGUGCUAAGCUGGGAGUGUGUAAGGCGACACACUCCAACAAUUCCUUGGAUACGACACCUUGGAUACACCCGGCCAUCUUGGCCUUAUCUUGAAUGGUCGUAAGGGCAUCUACCACCAUGUUGAAUAGGAAAGGGGAGUAAUGAUCUCCUUGGCCACCACACAAAACAUGAGAAAGUACGAGUCGAUUUCCCCAUUGAUGUUCACAAUCGUGUGACCACUCGAUACCACCUGCAUGACGCGGGUAACCCAGCGGUAGUCGAAUCCCUUCCAAAGAAGGACUUCCCAAAGAAAGGACCGGUGAACUGUGUCGUAAGCCUUAUGAAAGUUAAUCUUAAGAAAGACUUCAUGUUGACGUUUACACUUCACCUCAUGGAUAGCCCCAUCCAGAAUAAAUUUGCCUUGAAUAAAGGCCGAUUGGUUCGGAUGAGUAAGCCGGUCUGCCACAAGGGCCGCCCUAUUGGCGCGCACCUUCACCAGGAUGCGCGCAAAGAUCACACACCAGGAUGCGCGCAAAGAUCACAUUAAUGACCGUGAUCGGGCCGGAAAUGACGGAUGCCCGAGGCUCCCAACACUUUCGGAAAGAGUAAUAAUCCCGUAGUUAAGUCGGGACUGGUCAAGCACUCCGACAUACUAGAAUUCUUGGAACAUGUCCAUUAGGAGGUCUUUCACCGAAGACAGGAAGAACCUAAUAGAACGGGACCUCCUCCGGGCCCGGGGCCCUGCCCUUGAUGGCCGCAAGGACCUCCUCCUCCGAGAACGGGACAAGUAGAGCCUUGUUGAGAGCCCAAAAUGUUAAAUGCAUGACGGGAUUCGAUCCUGUGACUUCAGGUUACAGUGUGAGGGUACCACCAACCAACUGCAUUUUCACCACCAGAUAUCAUUAAGAUGGCCACAUCAACUGGGUCGAGGCUAAGAAGUGGUUCUUCAAUUAUGGAUUAGAGCCUUGAAAAGGUCCUUUUCUCCUCCAAGGUCUUUAGUUUGUGUCGGUUUUCCAUAAGUAUAGUGAACUAAACAUACUUGGGCAAUUUUAUGGCGGCAUGUAAUGUAGUGCAGUGUGGCUUUUCUGCUCACAGGCCUACAGCAAGUCCCUGAUCAGAGCUACCGAUGGACAGGGACGUUUGAUCAGCAUCCCAAAUCGCCAAAAAAAAUUACCUAAUCUGAUCUCCCUUGGCAGCAAAGAAGAUAUCUCAGCCGAUAUUGGGCCAAAAAAAGAAGGGAAAGCAAAAUUUUAAAUUGGCCAGAUAAGAAAUGAUGGCAUCUGCACAAUAUGAACACCUUCAAUAAUUUCCAAAUUGCAGACCAUUUUUUGUCACAAAUGUAUAAAGAAAAGGUGAUCUCAUAUACAGGAAUAACACGUCAAGUUCAUUUUGUUUAUUAUUCUCUUUUCUUCUUUUAUACAGGGUGGCUGAUCAGAAGUUGACAUGACACAAAACGAUGAAAUCGAAGACAGAGAACCACCAUGCUAUUUAUUUCAAUUUAGCAAAUAUAUAGCAAGUCAGGCUCCAAAUUGUUCACAAUAGAUAGGACAUCACUCUGCAGCUAAAUCUGUCAAGACUACACCUCUGCUGCAAGGGAAUGCCAGCCCACAAAAACGAUGUGAAACGAUGUAUGGACCCUCAAAUAAAAUGAGCAUGAAAAGCCUUGAAAAUGAGGUGGUCACAGAGAAAUACUCUGUGCUCAGGAAAUUCAGUUAACAGCUACUAGUACUACUUUGUAGGUUUGCACCCAUCUAAAAAAUUGAAGCCCAGGAUUGUCGAGUCGAGGUGAUUAUGUCCUCCGGAACUGAAAUGAGGCAUGAGCCUGCUUCACAGCUUUGGAUCAAUCCCUCCUCAGCAGUCUGGCUUUAUGCUGCCGCCGGAUGAUCAGAGACUGCUGGUAAAGGUUCAGGUCAAGGCCAUCAACGUUCCUGCCCACACGUGCUUGC